UUUCUUUUUUUCUAUUUUUUCGCAAUUUUAACUCUCGAGUUCCGAUAUGCUUUGUUUCCAUUUAUUUUUGAACUUCCUGGUAUAUACUUAGCACAUUGCUAGGCACUCACUAGCUACAUAUUUCUAGCCUGUUUAGAAUAAUCACAUUAUAAAUGUAUAAUGGCACCAUUUGGUGACCGUGCCAGGUACUUGUAAUCUUGGCAAAGCCUUAGGGUGUGAUUGGUUACUUGGCUUACUCCUAGCCUGGCUUAUAGUUAUGCAUGACCAGCCCAAGCCAGGCUUAGCUAGUACUGUUGGGCCUUGUUUGGUUGGCUGCAUUAGCAGUUGGGCUGCAUUGGUGGAGCUGGACCUGGGUUGUUUGGUUGCCUGCUUAUGGCGCUCUCUUUCCCCAAGCUUUCCUUCUGUUCAUCCCGAGCUCGAGCAGAACCGCCGCCGGCGGUCAAAAUCCGGCCAACUCCGGCCACAUCUCUCCAAUCCCUUGCACCCAUAGCACCGCAACCUUCGUAUCUCUCUCCCCGACGCAUUCCCUCUCCAACUCAGCCGCUCCCUUGCCGUGAAUUUCAGAUCGUGCGGCGCCAUUGCCGCCCAAGCCGAGCUCCACCCGCCACCGCUGCCGGACACCUCCGGCCCUUUUCGUUGUUGUCCAAUCCCUCAAACGGAACUCCGGUGAGCUCCUGCUCCUCAUGGCUUCGCUAGCUCGUGUCGCUCGCCAUCAUAGCACCGGGAACGCAGCCGUGCCGCCAUGGUCGGGCCGUCCACGCGCGGGGGGAUGGAGUAGGACACGCCGGCGUUGCGCCCGACGGCGGGGGAGGUUGCCAGCCGCAGCAUGGCCGACACGUACGCGUCUCGGAGCUGCACGAGCCACCGGCACGGCGACAACGCGCGGAGAGGCACCGCCCAAGCUGGCCGCGGCGCACGCGCCACCCGCGGUGCCGUCCUCCGGAUUCGACUGGGCAACGCCACCUCUGAGCUCCGCGGUGGGGAGCGGCGGGCGGCGCCGCGCGACGGCGGCUUCGACAGUACGCAAGAUGCGACGGCGGCGGCCGAUGGCGGUGUCGGCGAACGAGCGAGGCAGGAGCGCGGUGGUCUGAGGGUGGCCAGGCAGGGCACAAUGCAGCCUGCAUAACCGGAGACGGAGCUCAAAUGCGUCUCCCACAAUGCAGGCCGUACCGGACGUUUUGCAUAACAUAAGCCUGGCUAAGGGCCCCAUUCACCCCAUCCAAACAAACCGGCAUGCACUAUGCAAGCCUGGCUAGCCCUUAAUGCACCCUACCAAUCACAACCUUAUUAAUCAUACCCAACCAUACAGCCAUGCUCGUUUUGCGAGAUAUGACAACUUUCUAACAACUUGCUCCUGUAUCUUAGGUUGUUCCUUUUACCCCAAGUGCUGGUGUUGUUGAAUGGGUAAAUGGCACUGUUCCACUCGGUGAUUAUCUACUGGGGAGGUCUCUUUUUACAUGAUCUCAGUUCUAACAUGUAAAUUGUAUUCUGAACACUUGGUAUUUAUUUGCUAUUUUGUGUGUUUAUGCAGUACUAGAAUCAGUGGAGCACAUGGACGAUAUGGAACGGGGGACUGGACAUAUCUUCAAUGCAGAGAGUACUUGAUGAGUGUAUGUUGAAAUGUUCUGGAGUUUUUCAAAUUUUAUUUUUUCUAAUAGAUCGUGAUGAAUGUACACCUAAUUUGAAGGAUUUAUAUUUUAUAGGAAAAGGACAAAAGGAGGGCGUUUCUUAAAAUCUGCAACAACUUUAGGUCUUUUCUUGAUCUCUACUUCCAUUUGCCAAGAAUCUGAUAUGUACACAGAUGCGAGAUGGGAACAUAUAAAGCAUAUCAUGCGUUUCUCUUACACUUUUCUCCUCUUUCCUACAAAUAACCAGGCCUGUAAUGCACCACUUCUUUCUUGAGAGAUUCUUGCUGCCUGCUGAUUGGUUCCAAAGUAGACUUGCUUACACAAGAAGUGUGGCAGCAAGCUCAAUGGUAAUUUCUUUUAGUUUUCAAAAUGCAACUCACAUCAUUGUCUCGGAUAACUACUAAGAAUACUGCAUGUUGCCUAUUAUUUUCAUGCGUUCAGGUAGGAUACAUCGUGGGACUUGGGGAUCGCCAUUCCAUGAAUAUUCUAAUUGACCAAGACACAGCCGAGGUUGUACACAUUGAUCUUGGUGUUGCAUUUGAACAGGGUCUCAUGCUUAAAACACCUGAACGGGUAUGUAAUGAACCAGAACCAUUACAUUUGUAUGUUCUGAGCCUCUGUGAGUAAUGACUGCUAGUUCUUCCUUUGUGAAACCCUGUUCUUUUUUUUCACUCUGCUCGUAGGUUCCAUUUCGACUGACAAGGGACAUUAUAGAUGGCAUGGGCAUUACUGGUGUUGAAGGUGUGUUUAGAAGAUGUUGUGAGAAAACACUCUCAGUCAUGAGGGCAAAUAAAGAAGCGUUGCUCACUAUUAUUGAAGUAUGUAUAUUACCAAAUUUUUUCGUAAUUUUAAGGGUGUUCAAUACUUUAACUCCUCCUAAGACUGGAUUGAAUGUAUCAGGUUUUCAUUCAUGAUCCUCUAUAUAAAUGGGCACUCUCACCACUGAAAGCUUUACAGCGUCAAAAGGUAAGUAAAUUUGCUUAACUUAUUUUCAUAACACUCUGUUAAUACAGCUGGAAGCUGCCGGUGCCUGUUAGGACGUUUUUUCCUCGAACAGCUGGAGAGCUGCUAUCAUUUCAUUAUAAAAGAAGAGUUGGGGUAACCUUUCAUGAAUUACAAGCGCACCCAUGACUAAUAUUAAACGACCUCAACCUUGGGCCAAAAUCACCCACCAGGUACUAGGGCAGUCGAGUAAGAAAGUCCUUGAGCCCCAGCCAUGCUCCACCAGCAUCUCCUCACUAUCUAAUAACAGCGCACCUGCUAAAUUGGGAGAGGCGGCAGGCGCCAUCAAAAACACACUGGUUACGGUGUUUCCAUAGAGACCACGCCCCCAGGAUGACGAUGGAGUUGAGGCCUUGCUGCACCUGGCCGUUGGCCAUGGUGCUUGCUCUGCUCCACCAGUCAUCAAAGGAGAGUUGUCCCGGUUGAGGCCUUAAGGCCUGGAGGCUAACCUUCUGCAGAAGCUGCCUGUUAGGACUUAAGAUAGGUAACCAGUACAAUCACUAGCAGCCAAUAUUAGGGACGUGUACUCCCUCCGUCCCUAAAAGAAUGCAACUCUCGUUUCCCGAGGAGUCAAACAAUUUCAAGAUUGACCAAAUUUAUACAAAAAAUUACUAACAUUUAUUUCUCCAAAUAGAUUUAGUAUGAAAAUAUAUUACAUGAUUAAUCUAAUGAUACUUAUUUUGUAAUAUAAUCUAAUGAUACUCCUCGAGAAGCGAGAGUUGCAUUCUUUUGAGGACUGACGGAGUAACUUUUUUCUAAUCAAAUGAACUGUUGAAAGCUAAGAAAAUUCGAAGAUCUGAAACCUAAUAAAACAAUAAGUUUUUAUCCCAAGUUUUUUUUGUGCCACUGAUAUUUGCACACUGGUCUUUGAGCACGCUGUUGAACACAGAUAUUCUGUUGGUAGAGAUUAGAAUCCUCAUGCAAGGCAACCCAUUAAACUAGUAUGCAUUUUUUGCAGGAAACAGAUGAUACUGACUCAUGCUUGGAUGACUCUCAAGAGGCUUACGAGGGCAACAAGGAUGCAGCUCGUGCUAUACUCCGUGUUAAACAGAAGUUGGAUGGGUACGAAGAUGGUGAGAUGAGAAGCGUGCAGGGCCAGGUAACCAUCUUGGCCUUAAGAUCUUUAUACUUUUGCCAAUGCAAAAUUACAUUCAUCUUUAUGUUUGCCUUUUAGGUCCAACAACUCAUACAGGAUGCAGUAGAUGUUGAUCGAUUGUGCCAAAUGUUUCCUGGUUGGGGACCUUGGUUGUAAGCUCCAUGAAAAUGGAUGUAAAUUUUGAUCAAAGGCAAGAACAAUUUGUGAUUUUUGAAGCUUUACUCUUAUGGGCUGUUUUUCCACUUAACCCCUUGGACCCUCCUUCGCAACCUUCUACGGGGACGACUUUGCUGCCUUCAGUGCCUGAGCAUUGUUGGGAAGGGAAGCAUUACAUCUGGAUGGUCAAUGGGUUGUACAGUUAUACGGUUAUACCACUGCUGAUAGCAGUUUGAACUUUGAAGGCCUGUGCUCAAGAGCCACCGACGUCUGGUGGUAAUCCAAGUCAGUUCGACAAGCCUGCUUAGCAAAGGAGGCCACGGUCUCGCUUUUUUUUUCUAAACUUCAUUCGUUUAAGAUCUCUAGUUUGAAAGCCAUAGGGAUAGGCGCUGCAUCACUUGUACAUACCGUCUUGCAGCGUAUGCAUGUAACUGUUGUACUAUCAUGGUAUGGAUAUCGAAAGUGCUCGUUUGAUCAUUGAUGAAUGAUGCUGUACUUCAGUAGGUCAGUACCAUCAUGGCAUUAUAGAGAAUUAUGGCCCAUAAUUAUUUAAAAUGGUCUUUUUUUAAAAUCUAUUCAAAGGUCUUGAAUAUGCAUUGGUUGUUUGGAAAGCAACAAAAGCUCACCUCGUUCGAUUUUAAUCAUGGCUAGAAGUGUUUGUUGGCUACAGGGUACACCGCUACAGCAAGCUAGUAGUAAGUUACAUGAGGCUCCAGCAAGCUAGUAUUGCAUACCGAAGUCAUGAACGAGUAGAGGAUGGUGCCAGCGAUAAAACUUACGAUGCCCCAUCAAAGUAUUUCUGCUUGUGCGAGCAUUCAGCACGACAAUUGGAAUAAAAAAUCUUAAGCACGACUUUUAUAGGGUGUUAGGGCCUCGUCUCGCUGGAGCGCACUCAAGGUGCUCGCCUAGGUAUAUUUACCUCCUAGAUGAUUGUCUAUAUUCUUAUUGAUUCCCUUAAUAUUAAAUCCUAGCCCCACUCCUACCAGAAAUACCCUUUCUUUGAUAAACCAAGUAGUUUGCUAUUUAUAUAGUAAUUAUCCCACCGAAGUUUUACCGAAGGGAUGUUAUGCUAAUUACAAAACUUAUAUAAAUUUUUCAUCAAAAGAGCAUCAUUAUGAACAGAACACCAAGCCUUUCUUCGUUCUUAGGUACGCUGACCAUCUACCAAGCUGCCUUCCGGUGGUUUCUUGUCUACCAGAUCAGCACCUCUCCAUAAGAGAUGUUUUCUAUAUUUAUCCAGUUCGUUUCCAGUUGCUUGAUUAAUAUAGAAUGUAGCUUGAGGGUGCACAUUAAAAGGUUAGGAAGGAAGAGAGAAUUGACUUCACGAGAACUAAUCUUUCACCUUGUGACAACAAGUUUGAUCUGAGUAACAUUAUAUUUUCACACCUUUUUACUGGUGGGAGAAAAUCUUUUAACGACUGAUUUAUUUAAAUCCAGUAGUAAACCCAAAUAAGUAAAUGGUAGAGAGUCAAUGGUACAAUCAAAGUUUGAAGAAUCCACAAAUCCUAGAUCAGAUAAUCUAUUAUAGGUUUGUGGUUGUCCUAUUAUUUCGUCGAAUGACUCACAAACACUGGCAGAUUUUGCGACUGACAUCUCUCGAAGUUACUCGUAUUUGCUUGUGAUGGGGUAAAUGUUUGUGCGUGUAUAUAAGUAUUUGGAUCUCCACUGUUCUUUUAAUAUGCAUAAAAAUAUUAGUCGAAAUUCUACAUUUACGAAAUAUGAUCGAAGGGAGUACUAACCUUGGCGAUCCAGCGAUCCUGCGGCUGUUGCGACGCGCAACUCGGGAUGACGACAUCGAAGAGUCAUACUCUCAGAAGGAAGGCGUCGGGCACUUCAUUUUCUUUUUCCAUAAAACCCCUGGCCUCUGAGAGAAAUUGCGCAAACCAAACAAACACCCUCCAGCUCCUUCCUUGCCCCCAGUCGAAUCGAAGGCUCCCGAGACCUAGCACGAUGUCCGCCAUGGAGACCGACAUCAACGCGCCGCCGCCGCCCGCCCCCGCCCCCGCCGGCGAGGGCUCCUCCGCGGCCGGCCCGUCCUCAUCCUCCUCCCGCAAGCCCAACAAGCGCUUCGAGAUCAAGAAGUGGAACGCCGUCGCGCUCUGGGCAUGGGGUUUGCACGCGCGCUCCUCCUUCCACCCUGGAUUUCCUUCCUGUAGAUUGGAAUUUAGAUCCAAUCUGAUCUGCUGUUUGUCGCCUCUACUCCCCUGCAGAUAUCGUCGUCGAUAACUGCGCCAUCUGCCGCAACCACAUCAUGGAUCUAUGUAAGUUCUGGGGUCCUUCGGCACCGUGUUAGUCAGGGUUAGGGGUCUAUGGGUUUGAGCUUCUUCGUUCAUUGGGUGCAGGCAUCGAGUGCCAGGCAAACCAGGCCAGCGCCACCAGCGAGGAGUGCACUGUCGCUUGGGGUACGAAUCCGAUCUCCUAUACCCCUUCGUUUUAUUUGCUUAUGUUUUUUUCCACUUAAUAUAGAAAUACAAACAGAAAAGGGAGUAUAGAACACUGUUCGCCUACACGGCCGUUUCGCCUGUGCAAACGCCACGCAAUAGCUAGCUGUGUCCGUUUAAUUAAUGACCGUUUAACCCGUUUAAAUAGAUUACCGUUACCGUUUAGGCUUACACUGGCAUAGAGGAUUGGCUCAUUACAUUAAUAUAAGACAUGGAUAUAGCCAUAGUGUCUUAUCCUUACCCCUCGUCAUGUGGAAGAAUUAGCAAUGAAUUGUAGGUUACACAUAGUACUACUUGCAUGUCUCAUUGUGCUAAGUUUUGGGAUCUCAGUUUUGUGUGCCAAUUUAUGUAGCUGACAACUAUGAUUACGGUAUUGCUCUAGCUGAUGAGUAAUCUCAUUGGACAAAAUGGUUUCAACUCCUUUUAACUGCAGAUGUUUAAUGCUCUUUCCAACAAGUCUACUAUGUGAACUCGGUUACUUUAAUUUGGUUCAUAGUGCAAUUCAAUAAAUUAGUUCCAUAGUCAUACUGAAGCAAUGCCAGUAAUUUGACAAAUCUCAAAAUUGCAUCCCCAAUUGCCUCUUUAGAAAUGUAAAGCUCAUAUUACUUGAAAUGCUGCAAAUGUAGGACACUAGGAAAAAAAUAAUUUAGCAGUGAACUCUCAUUUAAUUACAAUCUUAGAUAAGUGGCUGAUGUGUUGCUUAACCUCAUUAGGCUUUUUUUAGUAUUCCUGAUCAGGCUUUUAUCAGUAAAUUACUGCUGCUUAAUGUAACAUGCUCAGCUUACUUGAAACGCUGCGAAUGUUUGGACACUAGGCAGCAUGUGUAUCUCUUAAAUUGCUAGAUACCUGACAUAGUGGUAAAGUAUUAUGGCAUAUCAGUUGAAAUUUUGAUUUAGUUGGGAACUUUCAAAUUGAAGUAUAAUCUUGGUAAAGUAUUAUGGCAUAUCAACAAUUUCUUGCAACACACAUGGCCUAAUUAAACAUGCACACUCGGAUCUGUCAAUCUUUGCAUGCAUGUACUGCGCUCCUUUCUGAACUAAGGCCGUUGCAAGCCCAUCACAAUAUCCGCGCCAGAAUGUUUGUGCUUUGCUCUUGUAGCCUCUGCUCAUAUGUUUGAAUGUUCCGCUUGAGCUCCUGUUCAGUGAACUUUUCUCUGUAUAGUGUUGAUGUUAGAAACUUGUCUCACCCAUAUCCACAGUUGGACAUGAAGAGAAUUGAUGCUGGUUCAAAAAAUAAAAGUGGAAAGCUUGUAUAAAGCUUUUGUAUUUUUGUCUGGACAAAUGAAUUAUUGGAACAUUCGACAUGGUUCCUACUUAUUAAUGUCAAGUGAAGUUUUUUACUCAUGUUUUUGCAUUAUGUGAUAUUGUGAUGAUGAUAUUUGGCUUAGUUGAUUAUUCAGCUUCAUUAGGUCUAAUAAGGUAUAUUUUCCAUGCUGCAGGUGUCUGUAAUCAUGCUUUUCACUUCCACUGCAUCAGCAGGUGGCUUAAGACUCGCCAAGUGUGCCCAUUAGGUAGCCGCAGCUCCUCCUGUGUAUGAUUUGAUCUUGUAGUUCAUUCUUCUGAUCAUCGCAUACUGACAAACCACACUAUCUUGCAGACAACAGUGAGUGGGAGUUCCAGAAAUAUGGCCACUAGGGCCUGGGUCACCUGCAUGUGCCGUUGGAGCUUGUUUCUGGCCACUGCUGCUGCAAUCUAAGUGUUUUUGUCUGCCAAACAGCUCGUUCUUUUGCUGCUUUCAAUGCUUGCAUCUAUCGCCCGUCAAUUAUCGCUGGUAGUAUGUCCAUCCUGGGCUUGUAUUUGGAUGAUUCAUUGAGGACCAUAUUAUAGUAGUACCUUCUUAUCAAUGUUAUGUGGAUCUGCAUAAUUGAGCUUGAAUUGUGCUGUGGUAUCAUUUCUAAAGUCUGGUGCUUUUACAUGCUUCUGCCUCUUCCUUAAAAUUCGUGUAUACAUUACCUUGACUUGAAGUAAGUGGGUCGGCUAAUUUUCGGCUGAUUGUGUUCGUUUUAGGGACGAUACCAGAUUCCGGUGGAAUGGUAGCUAUCGAAUGCCGCCUAGAUGUGCUAGGAUCUCCAAUACUCAACUUUUGAAUUUUAACAAUCUAUUAGUUGAAUUAUAUAUAUGUUUUGUAUGAAGCUUGUAUAUCUAUAUAUCCGUAUCUCAUAAUUUUUAAUACAGAUGAUAUAAUGUAAGAGAUUGAUGGUCACAUUCAACUUAUGUAAAUAAAGCAUACCAAUAGGCAUUCCAUAGAGCUUUUUAAUGGUGAAAGCAAACUUCUAAAGACUUCUCUUGAUACGCCUUGUGAAGAAGAAAAUGGAGGGAGUAAAGAUGGAAAGGUGUAGAGUUGAGGUCGAGCGUCGGGGCUAUUCUGUGCACCGUCAUACUGCACCUAAAGGGACGCAUCUGAUUCGGCCCAGACUUUCCACGCUUCAGCCAUCAAAAUUUAUAAGGAACACAUGCAAUUUAUUCAUGCGAAGGCAUGAUUUACAUUCCGGAGGGGAGCUAGAUGGACACUAAUGCUUCAUCUAGCUCCAGAAUGACCAAUUGACCAUGGAAACCGGGAGCAGUGGGCACGUCGCCUACCAGGCUACCAGCCACACUUCAUAUCUUAGAGCUCCCACUGUGCACCAUGAUCACAGCAACCUAUAGGCAUGCGUAUGUAUUAUCCACUUAUGCAAGGACAGGGCUCAGGCCAGAUGAUGGUUGUAGGCUCGCUGCGUAUCUCCUCGCCCACAAAUCAUAAUGGAUAAUCUCCUCAAGCGAUGGGCUUGUUACAAGCUCGUUCCUAUGGGCGUCACAUGUAAGCUCCACCACCUUGAAGAUGUCCAGGUAGCUAAUCCUGCAAAUCAUGCGAAACAGGGGAAAUGAAUUAGUUGUAUGCAUAUGUAAACCGAUGAUAGCAAACAUGCGUUCUUGAAGCGCUGAAUGCGGCAACAGAAUUUCUCCUAUUUGAACUAAUUUCGUAAAACUAAAGCCAUGUACUUUAAAUCAUGAUCAAGUACUCUUUUUAUUAAAUUCUAGAGCAUGACCACCUAAUAGAGUAUGUGUGUAAAUCAAUAUAUUUUCAAUUUUCACACAGAGAAACCCAUCUCUAUGACCGAUAUAUCUCAAUGCCAAGCCAUCAUAAAUGGCUAUAGGUUGGCAAUAGAAACAGCAGGCAGCCCAUUGUUACAAUAGUUUAGAUAAAGAUUCUAUAGAGUUAUUCUAAUCCAUAAUGUAGGCUCAAAAGGUGCUUGAGAAUAAUAGCUUUAAGGACAUACAUUCUCCUUCCAACUCACAUUUUUUAAAGUAAAGUGCAGCAGAUGUCUGGACUUUGUUUGGCCCAAAGUUUUUUUUUCAAUUGCAGCAAUCAACAUAACAUAUCUCGCCUUAUAAGUUGCAGAAUAUUUCACAAACCAAAUCCAAAGAUGGCAAUAAACAUGCAACACUUCAUCUAGAAGAAAGCAGACAAAACUUGACAAUAUGCAGAAAGAAUCAUACUUUUCAGCAAUGAACAACUCCACAGCCUUCUCAUUAGCAGCGCUCAGGACACCUGUCAUGGUGCCCCCAGCCCGUCCAGCUGCAUAGGCGAGGUCCAUUGAAGGGUAUUUUACAUUGUCAGGAGCUUUGAAUGUCAGUGAACCCAACCUGCAUUAGCCAAUUGGAAAUUAAAUCUUGAAUGCUCAAAAAUUGUUAACAUGGCCUGCUUACAAUUUAACUGAUUGUUUGUAGUUCCCUUAAUUUCUUAACCUUUUGUCGUUUCAACAUCCUUAAAGAAGCAUAUUGUUGUUUCGCAACCUAACCAUGGUUACUACUUGGUUAUUAGUAGUAACCAGAUAUAGGUUAGCCAACCAGUUCAAAUCAUAUGAUCAAUUGAAAUUAUUGCAGUAAGUUUAAGUCAACGUCCAAGCUUGAUGAGCAUAUUUAUUUUCUGUGGCUGUCAUAAUAUUUGCUCGUUAAAACCCAACUUAGAUCCAUUCUUAACUCAUACAAAGCCAAGCUUCUCGCCUGGACCGCUUAGAGCAUUGAACUCCAGGAAUAGUUGAAACUCCUGUCCCAACCCGGGUUCGAAGCAAGGCACCUUCCUAGAAUAAUGCCCAGGAGGAGUCUUAACUCACACAAAUGCACACACCAACAGCAGACUCGGGUUCCGCUGACCCAUACACAUCUAUCAAGUUUAAUCAAGAAAAAUAGGACUCAAAGUUCUUGGAGGUCAUUUCCAAAUAAAAGCAUAAGCUGUAUUGCAAAGAGCAAAGGAGUUGUGAAGAUGUCAUACUUGCAAAGAUCCAGACGGGGCCAGGUGACCUCAGAGCAAUAGAUUCUAUCUGGCCAAGAUAAGGUGUACAAGAUUGGUAAUCGCAUAUCUGGCCAUCCCAGUUGAGCUAGGACAGACGAGUCCUGCAAAAAUAGAACUUCAUGAAUGCUAAAAAAGCAAUUUUAAGCCAUGUGUAAAGCCAUUACUGAAACAAUUUUGUAUGUACCAUAAAGACCUGAAACAAUCAUAAACUUGAGAUUAUGCUCAGAUGCUGGCAUGCGAGAAUGGCAGGUGGAAAUAAAAAUCCAAAGAAGGAAUAAGCAGGGAUAUGUUACAGGUGUAAGUACUACAUCUGAGCAAAAUACCUAAACAUUUGCUUUUUUAAGUAAAGCUUAUAACGAUGCUCACCUGGGUUUCAACCAUAGAGUGUAUGAUAGACUGUGGGUGAAUCACAAUCUCAAUGUCAUCGUAUUCAGCGCCAAAUAAAUAAUGUGCUUCGAUUACUUCUAAGCCCUAUAAGAAUCAAGUUGUCACUUUAAUAGGAGAAAAUACAGGUUCAGUAAAAUUUCAAAAAAAAAAUGAUGGAGCUCUAAGACACCUUGUUGAAUAAAGUAGCAGAAUCUACUGUGAUCUUCUUCCCCAUAUUCCAGUUUGGAUGCUUUAAUGCGUCAGCGACUUUUACAUCUUUCAAUUUGUCAACCGGCCAGUCUCUGUCAUGAUCAAUUGAUAUGAGAUGGAUUCGUAUGUUUCCAGAAGUACAUAUACACAUAUGGGAAUGGACUUGCCUGAAAGCACCACCUGAUGCAGUUAGAAUAAUGCGACGAAGUGCUCCUUCAGGCAAACCUUGUAUACACUGGCACAAGAGAAGCAGCCUCCAAUAAGCAAAGGAUGUCAUAGAAAUAUAAAAUGUAACAACACAUUGAGAGAGAUAACACCACCAUUGCAUAACAAUUUGUUUAAACAUCCAAAACCAGUACAUAUCUUUCCUAAUCUCACACCAAGCAUGCAUAUAGUAAUGAAAAAUCUAGCUGCAGCAACAAGUAAUCAUUUUGUGAUAUACCUGAAAUAUUGCAGAGUGCUCAGAAUCAGCAGGAAGAAUUUUCACUUUGUGUUUGUGCGCAAGGGGAAGCACGAAAGGGCCACCUGCAAUAAGUGUCUCUUUGUUUGCUAACGCUAUGUCUUUACCAGCUUCAAUUGCAGCAACCGUUGGCUAAGAGAAGAAAAGUUACGGAGUCAGACAGAUUUACUGAUAAUUUAGCUUGCUAUCUUUUAUUUGGGUACACUUCACUUAUUUACAUCUCUACCCAAAACAGAAGAAAGAAAAUGUAAGAAUUAAAAAAAUCAAAACAAUAUGGAAAUACAAAGAUAAUAUUUAGAUAUUUGACAGUCUGAAAGUAAAAGUAAAACCAUCUAGUUAUGAUUCCUCCACUUCUCCUGAUACUGCAGUAUAAUAAAAAUAGGGGGCCAUGGAACUUGGUUCUCGAACAAAACAAAUAUGACAGGUAAUAUGAUAAUGACAUAUAGACCACUACCAAUUGAGUUGUUGCAUCAAAUUUGGGAUGCCAAAGAUACCUAUCUAUGUAUGGCAACAAAGUAAUGCUCCAUAUUCAUAUUUUAUAUGAUAUUGUGGUAAUUUUACCUGUACUCCUUUUUAAUACCUUCUAACUGUAUAACUAUAUCAACCCAAAAUAGUUCAAAUAUCUAGACCAUUUUUUACUAGACACUUCUUAACUUCAAAAGUUAACUUGCCAUGAGGUCAACUAAUUUGAGCUUAUACCCAAUGAAACAUUCAUGCAACAAAAUGACAUCAGAGUAGCUUUCUCUUUUCUAAAAAAAAAAAAGUUUCCUAUGGCAAAGCUUAGUGCAGAUAAAAAUUUAUUGACCUAAAAUAUGGAUAUAUUAUAUGCAAGCACAUAAAUAUCAUUUAUAUGCUAAAAAAUUCAUGAAAUACUUGUGAAGUACUCCCUCCGUUCCAAAUUAUAGGUCGUUUUAGCUUUUUUAGAUACAUAAUAUUUCCUAUGUAUCUAGACAUAGUGUAUAUUUAGGUGCAUAGCAAAUGUUUAUUUAUCUAGAAAAGCCAAAACAACCUAUAAUUUGGAACGAAGGGAGUAUCAAGCAACAGUAGAUUCUUGGAAUACCCAACAUAAAGGAAAGCACAAAGAUAAAUAUGCUAAAUAGAAGGGACAUUACCUUCAGCCCUGCACACCCUACUAUCCCUGUGACAACUGUAACUGCAUCUGGGUGUCGAGCGACCUAUUAUUCAAGGGUUAAAUAUUUAAGAAUUUCCAGACCAAACCUUUAGUUAUUCGCAGAUAUAGGAUAACUAGAAAUGUCUUACCUCUAUGACACCUUGCUCCCCAGGAAUAAUUUCUGGCUUCUCUUCACAAUCAGCUAAGGCUUCUUUUAGCUCAUCAACUAAUGAUUCGUUUCUUACAGCAACCAGUUUUGGUUUGAAUGUUUUGACCUAUUAAACAGUAAAUUACAUCCAGAAAACUCAAACAAGUGCAUAAUUUUGUCUUAUAAGUUGAAUGCUCAAAUGAGCGCAAAAUUUUCUCUUUCAAGUUUGAUAAAAAGAAAAGGUUAAAAGGGAAGGAUCUGCUCCAAAGAUCACUGUACCUGAUCAGCUAGAAGAGUCACAUUGGAGCCAGCAGCAAGAGCAACAACUCGGAACUUAUCAGGAUUCUCCGCAACAAUGUCCAGUGUCUUUCCAUUAUGCAAAAGAUGGAAUAUUAGUGCUGCAGAAUAUCACUGUCCCUAGUUAUAGCUAUCAUUAGGUACAUGUAAGACAUGUUCACUAAUUCCAAAAUAAAAUGUUAUUAGCAACACAGGUUCAUAAGACUUGAAACCUAAAUAAAGCCCACAAGUUACAGAAGGAUGAGAAAUUUGUUACAUUGAACUACUACAAAUGGUCUGAAGGGAAAAUAUUCUAAAGUAACAUGCAAAAAUACUGAUCCUACUGGUUUCAAACAGAUGCAUGUGCACCAAUUCACCAAUGUUUGAUGUAUCAACUACCAACAUUAUUUGCACAGCUACCAGAACAUUGUUAUUGACUAACAAAUUUCAUCCGUAAGUCUUCGGUUAAUCGCUUUACCUGUGUUCCUAUGGAACCAGUUGAUCCAACAAUCGAGAUAGGCUUCGGGCCAUCCCACAACCUCUGGCCAGGCUCAGCAACAGCUCGCCCAGGCCAUGCUGGUGGUGGAGCCUGUUGCAUAGAACAGCAUGUCCUUCUCAGCGAAAUUGCUCUUUUGCUCUUCCUUUGAAAUGUAAAAUCCACUACAAUGAGACAGAUCAAAGUAAGAGUUUAAGACUACAAAACUGCGCUAGUAACCAAAAUUCACACUAGAAAUAAGUCUCUACGGCCAAGAAAGACCACUGCAAAACAAGCAUGACUGCAAUAUGGUCAACAAAUUUAAACCAUGAAUUAUUGCACAACUUUGACCGAUUUAUCUUCCAGUUGGACAUGCAGCUCGUGUGCUCAUUCAUGUGAAUAUCAGUUCCAUGUGCACCAGACUAAUUAGCCUAUCAGAGCGUGUGACGACAGCUUUGCUACCACCUACUGAUCAUAUCAAAUCACUAGAAAGUAUAAACUGAAUUGGAAUCUAUGGAGAAUAUAUUCUAAGAACAUUAGAUAUUCCAACUGCUGAAGUAGCAAAGGGCAAGUUGAGACCCAGAUAUUUCAGAAUUUAAUGCACCCAGGUGACCACGAAAGAAGCGAUUCCAGACACACGUAAGAAGCGAUUCUCGACCAAGAAAAGGUCGUAUAACAUUCUGGAAAUUUCAGCCUUGGAAGCCAUGUUGGAGAAAAUUCCGUCUGCUGUCUCAAACUAAAGUAAAGGAGUUAUAACUUUUUUCUCAGAACCGAAAAACUCUACCUUUUAGGAUGUCAAAAUCAUAACAGUUAGAAUCAAAGUUUGCAACUUUACAAUGACUAUACCCUCCAAAGCUCGCAGUUCCCAUGCACUCUAUACGGAGACGGGGCCCAAAAUAGCUCCAAAGAAGAAGUCACGAACUAUACUAAUCCAACCCAAUCCUGCAGGCUUACAGUCAUCAAACCUUCUGCACCACUAUUAGUGUUUUCUAAUUGCAGAUGACGCAUAGACGCCAAGGAGGGAAUAGACCAUUGAAGUGAACCAUGAACAACAGGACGGCAAAAAGACUAGUCUUUGCUGACUGACACUAAAAAUUUCUCUAUCUACCAUUGCAAUCCUCUUGGAACCCAAAAAUAUCUGUUGAGUCAAUCGGAAUGGAUCAUGAAAGCAUCAAAAUGACCGGAAAACACGGGAUAGCAAAGGCGAGGGCAUCAGGCCGGAAAAGCAAGAAGAUAAGCUCAUGCACCGAUCGGGAAAGAGGAGGCACCGAAAGAGGAAAAGAUCCAACCUUUGUGCUGGCCGAAAGUUCCCCUGCUGGAGUCGAGGAAGGAGACGGAGCUGAGCUCCCCCGGGAACGACGCCUUGAGUGCAGCCAUCCCGACCGGCUUGUUGGCGAGGCUGCGGUAAUGGCCGCGGGGGGAGUGGGGAGAGGAGGAGAGGGAGGGGAGCUGUGGUGCCGUGGUGGUGGCCGUCGCUGAGGUCGUCCGUGGGAGGGAGCGGUGGGAGAUUGAGCUGAGUUAUAUAAACAGGAGGGAGAAAUGUGAGGAGAUAAGACGAGGUGGGAAUCUGAGAGUCCUAUGGGUGCCACGGCAACCGGCCGAUGCUCGCGCUCUCCCUCUCGCUCUCCAUCCGUUUUUGUAUUGCUUGCUUUGUGAGCUGUGAAUAGUGUGGACAAAAUAGUGGGCUGGUGGUAGUGGCUAGUCGCCUAGAGGCCUCUGCCGUCUCGCCACUCAUGACUGUGUCACUAGGAUAACCGAGUCGUCAAAAAAUACUACUUUGGAGUCUUCUACUUUCGUUGUACAUAUACUGAUGGUACAUCCCAGUAUUUAAAUUCUAGUGUGUGGGACGGCAAAAGAUCCUUAUUGGGUUACUUAGUGUUUAUACCAUGUUUAUAAAAUUAAUUGUGCUAGUAGAUAUACGGUCAAACUAUUUUUAACCUAAUAUUUAUUUUAAGAACAUUUAGAUCGGCACAUAGAGAUACUAUGGGCGGACUGCUGCAUCAAGUACUUUUCCCAAUUCUUAUUUUGUUCCGUUUAAAAUCAACAUAAUCUCUAGCAUACAUCUUCGAUCAUUCUUUUUUUAGUAUUUGCAUCGUUGAUUUUGAAUAAUUUAUAUGACGCAUCAAAACGGGGACAUAGAUUGUAUAGACUUUCUUAUACAUGAGAGAAAAAAAGUUUCCCUUAAGGAUACAAAGUGUCGUUUCUAUCCCAACUUUAGGCAUCGUGUGGCUUUUUGUGAUAUUAUUGACAACCUAAACCGCCUCACUAUUAACUAGAUCCCUUUGUCCCUCUUAAAAAAACUAGAUCCCUUUAUCUCCUUUAACUACUAUACGUUACUAUUCACAACUUUCAACACUAUACUAAUUUGCCAUAACUUGAUGCCCUAAACACAUAAUCUCUCUUUGGCCAUCACCAGGCAUUCAUGAAACAACAAUCUAACGAGUCUAGGUACCUAGUUUCUAAUUGUUGUUAUACUAAUAUAUGACUAAUUAACCAGUAAAAUCGAUGGCAUCACCACCCUACUCUAUUAGCAUCAUGUGUUUUUAGAGAGUAUCACCGACUUUGUUCAAUACUUCUUUUUUUCCUCGAGAAUAUGCAAUGCAUGUAUUUCAUUAAGUGAAGGGGCAUAAACAAUUAAACACUUGAGCAAACAAUUGAUAUCUAGAUAAGAACCAUCAAAAGCACGAAAAAGGAAAAGGAUUUACACUAAGAAACUAAACAACCUUGUGAUAUAAAUAAAUCUCAUGACACGAAAUGUUUAAUGCCAGGAUGGUCUCCACAAGAUAAAGGUGAAGAUGUUGCAAGGAUGCGAGAUCUUACAAUACUAUGUAUGGUAGUGGGAAACCUUAAACCAAAGGUAACAGAUAAGGAUACAGUAGACAUACCACGACACAAUGACCCAUCAAGUUAGUUGAAGAAUGAAGAAUGCCCCUAAAGGCCAAUCAGGGGUUAUCAUGACCCUCAGGAUCACCGCCAACUAUACUAUAGAACCAUUCUGACAAUGAAUAUUAGAUCCUACACUGGUGUCUCAAAAGUCCAAACUAACCAUCCACUUCCUAAUUGGUACACACAUGCUGGUGAUGUGGGUGUCCGAGAAGUAAGUCUAGGGAUCAAUCACCAAUUAAGGUGAAGCAACAACGACAAUAUCGCAAGGCAAAGACCAGCAAUGACUCAUUUUCACGCAUGAUCCUAUCUUCCACAAUGAAGAUAACAUGACAUGUUCCAACAUAUUAUGGAGACAUGGUCUAGCAAAAGAAUGAUAGAAAUAGAUGUCAACAAAUCUAAGGCAUAGAGAAAUACUACUAGAGAAAAAAGUGUACAUAACCCCACAACCUAUUGCAGCUGGAUUACUUCACCCCCCCCCCCCAAACUAUAAAACUGGAUAUUUAACAUACUUAACUUUGCGAAAUCAGACACUUAGCCCCCUUUCCUGGUUUUGCCGAGUGAUUUUGUAUACGUGGCGUGCUGAGCUGGAUAGAAAUACUGAGGUGGACCAUCUGACAAGUGGAGCCUGCUAAUGUUAGGAUACUCUAGCCGCUAAUGCUCUCGGCUAUCGAGCUAGACAUGCUAGGUCUGCUAGAUCUAGCCAUGGAUGUUGGUAACAAAUCAAAGAGAUAGUAAGACUUGGGUAACAAUGAUAGGUGGGUUGCCUUGGGAUUGUGUACCAUGAAUUGUGGUGGCAACCAACAAGGAAGUAUGGCUAAACAAGAGCAUGGUAGAGGGGUGUGGAUACAAGUGGCAUAAAUUAAAUUACUUGAAGGAAUAGCCUAGCAAUGAAUAGGGUGUUGGAGCAAUGGCAACCUAGGAGGGUGGUUGACACUGACAAUGGAAGGUACAUGGUGAAGGGGAUUGAUGUGGAUGUGAAGAGUAUUGCAAAGAGGCAUGGAAGAGGCUCCUUAGUUGGAUUGUCGGCUUAAGAGGCAAUGGAGAAAUUCUAGGUGGGUCAUACCCUAUAUUUCCACAAGGGACCAUAUGCCUAAUGAUAGUAACAAGUAUGUAUAUAUUUAAGGUUAUCCGCAACUUUUUUUAUUUGCAUGGUGUAUGGCUGUAUGAGUGAAUUUUAGGAUGUGGUAUCAAUAAUAAUUUUGUGACAGUAGGAAUACCCAUUCUUAAAUACAAGAUGCUUUUAAAUUUAUUUGGGUAUUUUGGUUUUAUUUGGUAAAAUUUUAAAACUUUAUAUACAAACAACUUUUAAAAUUUUAGUAUACAAAUAUAAAACUGAGAUACAUAGGCAUUUCCGUAACUGCAAGUUUAUUAAAUUCAUAAAUAUACUUUAAUAGAAAACAAUGCUCUUGAAGACCAUUACAAGGAAAAAAGUACCUGUCCCAUGAAGGAUGCAAAAAUAGAACUUAUGAAAAACACUAAUGGUGAAGAAAAACGACAUAUGUAAUUAUUAGGGAAGAGUGUUGCAUUUAGAAUUUAAAGGAAAGAACUCAAUUAACUUGAUGCUUUGAGGAAAGAGUGUCUCUAAUUAAUUGUAUAUGUAUAGAAGUUUAAAGACUAAGUGGAUCUUAAAUUGGUUUGAAAGCUAUGAUUAUACUCCCUCGGUUCUGAAAUAUAAGGCAUUUUGAUUUUUCCUAAGUCAAAUUAUUUUAAGUUUGACUAAAUUUAUAGAAAAGAGUAAUAGUAUUUUGAAUGUCAAAUGAGAAUAAUUAGAUCCAUUAUGAAAUAUAUUUUAUAUUUAUUGAUGAGUUAGAUGUUAAUAGUCCUCUCUAUAAAUUUGGUCGAAUUUAGACUACGUCAACUUAGUACAAACUAAAAUAUUUUAUAUUUUAGAAUGGAUGGAGUAGUUUUUAGCAUAAACUUUGAAUCUUAGGAUUGCAUUUCUUGUGGUAUGAGAGAGGGUAAUGUUUUUUUAAUGCGGCACAGUACUAACACUAUGAUAGUAUAAAAUGGGACAGCACUAGACACAUGGUUUUUCGGUUUAACAUCCAUGCCGCCGCCUUUGGUCGGCAGGCGAAAGGCGUGGUCGGCCGCGCUGGGCCAGAGGGACCGACCGGCUACCUAACAGGUGGCCGAUCCGGGGGCUCAUGCAUGUUCCUGCCGCCACUCUGCUUCUCGGGCUCCAUGCAUCCGUGGACACGUGUGCGCCUGCAGCCUGCGUGCCGGUCGCCGUUUAGUAGUGGAGUGCUCCCAGCGUGAUCAGAUAUUCAGAUUAGAGGGUUGAUUAGGGAGAGAUUGUUGGGUGGUGGAUCCACUGCGCGCAGCAACCGAAAGCGACGGGGAUGCCGGAUACGUUAUUACGCUAGGUCCUUUUGACUCGCUUCAACGCGAUAGAUAUAGAUGGAGAGCUCGCACGGCGAUAACUCUUUGCAUUCUAGUCCUUUCUCUGAAGAAAUUUUAUGUUUGGACCCCUAGAUGAAGUAUAUCCAGGUUUGGACCCCGGGGUGGCGCCCACGUAACAUGUAUCGGCGCCGUGACUCAUAGCGCUGAGGUGUUUGCCUUGAUUCUACCGUGGCGCUUACGUGGAGGAGCUCGGCUCUCGGCGCCGUAAACCGUGCCGCCGAGCUCCCUAUCAAGAAGCGCAACCCUUUCUCCUGCCCAAGGCUCCUUCCAUUUGUUCUUCUCGGGUCCUUUUUUUCUCUUCCCCCAACUCGCCCAACCUCACCAAUCGAUAUAUUGAAUCUUGGAAAUCUUGAUUUAAUCCAUAGAUCUUCAUGAGCAAGGUAACCUCUCUCCCUUCCUCAACUUUUAUGCAUUAAUUUGGUCUAUAUUUCAUGUAUUAUUGAACCGUAGGUACAUCAUUACUUAGGGUUUAGUAAUUCAUAUUUAUAAUGCUACCGUAGAAUGCCAAGGCGUGGUAAAUCUAAUAAACCAAUGGUGAUGACGGGAACAACCUUCACCCAUUUGCCGUUGCCCAGUGGUCUUUCUGUGCCGAUGUGCUACUAUGGUGAUCCUUGCAAGCUAGCCAAGUCUGAUGAAGAGAAAACGUAUAAUCAGAGGCAUUGGAUGUGUGAUAAUUAUGCAUCCAACCCUACACCUCGUCAGAUCCGUAUAGGUUUGAUGGUAAGAAUUUUAUUUUUUGUUUAACUUUUUCCGUCAUAUUCUCUUAUUCUUGCAAAGACCCACGAGGGUGUGAAUGCCCAUUAGACGGUGAAUGGACAUGAGGUGUGCGAUCAAUUGAUAAUUUUCACACAAGUAAAUCCAAACGUUAAAACUCAUUCUUCAUGACGGUCUUGAUAUACUUCUCCCAAUCACCCUCACAUGCAACUGGGACCAGCCACCUAAAAAUUCAGCCCAAUUUACCAUAGUGAAGUACCCCUUAAACUGAUAUGGCAUCCUCAUUUGAAUUGCAUUGAAGCUCAUCGCAAUUCAAUAAACAACGGCCGAUCAUCGAAUAUCAGAGGGACCCUGUACAUUCCAUCAAAACUGACGUUCCCAAACUCAUCUUCCUCGACACUUUAGUGACUACAUUGUCUGUCUAGUUGGUAUGCAGAACACGAAAGUUAUAACAGUACAAUAUAAAAAAAUAACCCAUAACAUUGACUAACUACCUACAUUUGUUAACUAACUAAAUUACCUAACUAUGUAUCUAACUACAUAACAAUCUAAAUUUUCUAACUCCAGUUGCUAACUAUAUAUCUAACUAAAUCCUCCGAACUACAGUUAACUAUCUAAAUGAAUUUGCUAACUAUAUUACGUAACUAAAGUACUUAAACUAAAUAACCAAAUUGCCUAGCAACAUUUGCUAACUAACUAAAUUACCUAUCUAUAAUAAUCUAAAUUUUCUAACUAACUUAUCUGACUACUACGGCGGAUAACUAUAUAUCUAACUAAAUUUGCUACCUAUCCAAAUGAAUUUGCUAACUAAACUAUAUAAACUAAACAACUAAAUUAACUAAGCUAAUUUAACUAAAAAAUACCUCACCUUUCCCUGGUGGUGGACGGCGAGGGGAAGCUGCGGCGAGACGGGAGGCCGGCCUAGGUGGCGGCACGACCUGCGGCGAGACGGGAGGCGGGCCUAGGUGGCGGCACGGCCAGCAGCACCGAGCUGUGCCUCGGGCAUGGGCAUCGAGCGGUGGCGCGAGCGACCUGCGGUGCGGCCACGGGUGCCAAGCCGAGUGGAGGCCUUGGCGCCGAGCCGCGCGACGGGGUGGGGAGGCGAGCGGAGGCCCGGGUGCCGGCGCGGAGCCCGGCCUCGGCGCAGGCGGCGGUGGUGCAGGCGAGUGACGCGUGGGGAGUCGAGCCCCGGCCCCGGCACGGUCGCGAGAGGCGGUGGCGGCAUGGGGAGGCGAGCAGAGAACGCGGCGCGGGCGCGGGCACGGGCACGGGAGGCGCAGGCGAGCAAAGAGAGUGCGGAGCGAAGGAACGCAAGAGAGAGAGCCCUGAGCGAGGGAGGAAACGGUGGCGCCUACAUGGCAGGGAUCUCGGCACCACGGAUCUUGGCCAAGAGCUUGGCGUCGAUAUCUGUGACGCCGAGAUCCCUGCCACGUAGGCGCCACCAUAUCAGCCACGUGCAGCAGGGGAUCACACCUCGGCGUCAUGAGUCACGGCGCCAAGACGUGUUACGUCGGCGCCAUUAAUCAUGGCGCCGAACCCCUGGGAUCAAACCUGAGUUUACUUCGCCUAGGGGUCCAAACGUAAAACUUUUUUAAAAAAGGGUCAAAAUGCAAAAAAUUAGGUCGCACAGCAGUGUUGAUGGCAAAGAGGGAAGGAAAGAGACCGGCUCAGGUGCUGCGUCUGAAGAUCAUCUGACGGCUAGUAGCUGAAGAGACCAAGUAUCUGUAUCUUUCUCUCUUUUUCGACAAGGGAAGUCUGUAUUUUUAUCUGUGUCUGUUUCUGUAACAUCUAACAAUUCUCUACCAUGUCUGACUCUGCUACCUGAAGAUGUGCUGGGAGAGGCUCAGGCUUGGAAUGUACUCCUUUUUGCAUCGUGUAAAACAAGGCCUGAUCCAGUCAGUCUGCGUCGGAGUAUCCAGCUGUAUAAGCUGACAAACAACGUGCUGAUCCUCGUCGUCCGCGUGGUUUGAUUUCAGCUCAGCUGGCGACCUUUCUCCAGAGUCAAAAUGAUUCACGUGCGGCGCGAAGCGACUCCGCCCUCCCACGAGUUUGAAAGUCCGAGCCCGGCCUGCUCGGUUCCCGGCACAUGUUCAACUCGGGGACAAGUCAGCUCAUGUGGUUUGAAGUCUGAACUUCUUGCAGUCUCCCGGCACGGGAGGCCGGAGACUUCCUGUGCCACGAGCUCGGAAAAUCCCUGGCCUUGGGUGACCGCCUCUCGUCGUCUUCAGAGUUUUCUGCUUCUGUCUUCUUUUAUCCUUUUGGUGACGGCCGAUCCCAAGCCCCUGCUGGCUUUUUAAUUCUCUUCCUCCUCAUGAUCAUGUGACGUGACCGCCGAUCCGGAGCGUCCCUCCUUCACCUGCCACAUGUAUUUUUUUUUGUGACGGCCGGUAUUCAGCGCUGCCCCGCCGCCCCGCGCGCACGAAAAUCCGCAUGGAAAACAAGACAGCGAAGUGCCGAAGUAGUUGCUCGCCAGUCGCCACUGCUGCAGCAACGCCAAGAGGAAAAGAAUGUUUCCAUUUUUUUUGCGUGCAGGGUUCGAGAAUACGACCGGGGACCAAAACGAGGCCGGCGACAUUUUUUUCGAGCCCUGAAAAUCAUCUUUGGUGUUGCCCCAAGCCCCCAAUAAAAAUCUGAACUUUUUGUUUCAGACCAAAGCAAAGUCUGAAUUUUAUUUCAGUGCGUUUUCCAGCCCAUGCCUCUGGCCCAUCCUUUCGCGAUAAUAAAAUUCAACAGGGCCCAAAACAAGAGCACACUCGAAUCCAUUUCCUGAUCAGACAUACAGCCAAUUAUUAUUUUCAGUGUAUACACGUAAACUUGAUCAGUGGCAGUGGUAUAUCUACAUACAGUUGCAACUUUAUACAUGAGAUGGAUAAACUUUCAGAUCUACUGUACGCUAAACACAAAUAGGUGCAGCAAAAAACCCAAAUAUACCAUUCAGCAAUGGAGGUAUGCAAGGGCGUCACCAAAAUAUUCCCUCAAGCGGCUUCCUGCUGCUGCUCUUCACUCCCACCGCUGCUGCUGGCGCUGGCUGUCACGGUACCGCCAUCAGCUGCCAACUCUCCACCGGGUGCUCCAGGGGUGCCGUUCCUCUGCUCUGUUGUCGCCACGGCGUGCUCAGAUGGUCUCGGAACAUCGGUACUCGGGUGACCAUCGGCUGGCUGCGACUGCUGCCUUGGAACGGAUCUGGGCUGCCGGAUGGCGGCUGCGGCCUCUGGCAUGAUGACGCCCGGGGGCUGUGGGGGAGCCCAGCGGCGCUGGAAUUCCACUGCAACCGCGGUGGGGUCAUCAAUGGCAUUGCUGGCGUGGUGAUUCGACGAAACCCCUUGGUAGUUGCCCCGCAAACCGAGGUUCUGUCGGUCAUUGCUCACCUGGGGCUGGAAUCCGUACCCUGGCCUCUGCCCACGCUGUUGGAUCACAAAAUCUCAAAUUUAAGGCAACUACCUUCUACUAAGAAUGAAAUGUCACAUGAGUCAGUGUAGUUUUGCCACCAAUUAGUUACGUCACUCUGCUAUAGGGACAACAGGUUUUAUCUACGUUUGGAUAAGCUGAUGCAUGACACUUAAACACAAAUAUGAAAUUCCUAAUUACGUCAGCAUGAUCCCGGGAUUACCUCAGUGUAAGAUCCAGAAUAUGAUCCAUAAGUGGGUUCUGCAGGCAAUGGCAUGAAUGAAUGCCUCCCUGUUCAAGAUAAACCAUGAGUGAAGAUGUAACAAGUGUGACAGACCAAAAACCUUUGUCUGGGAGCUAAAAGAAAUAUCUUUGGUGGGUUCAUGGUGAGAUGGUAGCUCAACACAGUUCUUUACCUGGGUCAAAACUGCUGUUUGGUGGUGUUGGAUAAAUAUUAGUUUGCUAAAAAUAGAAACAUUGCGUGAGAUAAGAAAAUAACAUAAAGUUUGUGAAUAUUGCUCGAAAGGAUUGGUAACUGCAAGUCUUCAAAUCGUACCUGAGAAGCUCUCCCUUGAUAGUCAAUCAGCCCUACACAGAGAAAAUAAUAUCAACAUGGUGAGAGCCGUGUUUACACAUAGUUAUUUAAAGCCUGAAAUUUAAUAGUUUAUUCAUAUAUGGUCCACUACAGGGGAUUGAUGAGCAUAACCAGCUCAAAAUUUACAAAUGAUUCUCCCCAAAAUGCUAAUAUAAGUAAUCUAUCUCUGCAGUUCAGUAUGAUGUAUCAGUCAUUAAGUUUGACACUGACCAUUCCAUGGUGCAGGCUGAACAUGCUCUUCCAAUAGGUUGUAUUGUGAAAACCGAUUCUCCCUGAUAUGAUUUAAUAAGGUCUCGUUCAAGGACUUAAACACAUCUGCCUGUGACUCAAAUGCUUCUGUUAACUUCAUAAGUACCUUCCUAUCUGUAAAAAAGAGAUAAAUCAUUCAGAUAACAAAAUUCAAAUAACAAUGGAUAUUGUACCAUCAAAUACGAUAAAUUAUCAAAAACAAAUUCUGGAACCUUCAACUUUUGAAGCAAGCACUUCUUGGUUUGUUCUAGCUAUAUCAGAAUAGGCUGAUGCAGAAACAUUUAUGGCUUUCCUAAUUUCUUCAUAGAGUUUGCAAGUGAGUUCAUCCUUUGCAUUCUCAUCUUCUUCAGCAACGACUGUACGGGUCCAAGAUUUUAGACUAGGAAUGAACCAUUUCUGUGAAAAAUUUACAUGGAAAUAAGUUAACCAUCUGAAAUAAUUUUCUAAAUAAGCUAGCACCUUGCAUAAUCACCAGAUGUACCUUGAGGGUUAUGGCAGCACUAGCCCCCAAACCAAGAAAAAGACCUGCACCAAGGAGUGUGUUGAGCCAGCUAAAUUGUGCCUUCGUAUGCGGGGCAAUAGUUCCAGCAGUGAUAGAGCCAGUAGCAGCUUGUGGUUCUGUAUAAGGUUGCAGUGCAACAGAUUGGUUGUGGUUGUUUGCUGGAAGAAACAAAGAAAACAAGACAGUUACUAACAGCAGAACUUUUUCAGUCUAUGGUAUGAUUCUCAACAAAAAGUUUGGAGUAAAAUGUAUGAACUAUCAUCAACAAAAAAAAAAUAAUCAUAGUUAGGCCUAUAGAUACAUCAAGAGGAAACAAGAGCAAUUGCAAUUGAGGAAAUGAAAUAACAGUGAAGUAGCUUCAUCAAGCAGAAACAGUUACUGUAAGUUUCACGAGUGUUAUUUGUUUGUCAGUUUUCCUGCCAAAGCUUAGAAAACAGGAAGUAAAUCUUCAGUGUGCAGGUGAAAAAGAAAAUUGUGCAAGAUCAAGCUUCUAUAUGAUUUCUAACAAAAUCUGAUCUGAUAUUGUGGUAUCAACUUUACAACAAUAGUAUACUGAUAACUGGGACUCUUUAUAAUCAGAAGAUCCAAACAAUACAGAUCACACUGUAUCUAGGACAAUAAAAUACCUUGUUGCGAACCAGCAGAUGCAGUUUCAGUUCCAUUUGGCUUAGGGUCCUAUAAGGCAUUAACUUUGUUCAGAAACACUUGAUCCUCUUUUCAUCCACCGUAAGCAGUAGGGGGUAGCAGGAAAAUAAAAUCUUACAGGAACCCUACGAAAGGCUUCAUCAAUUUCCUCAUUUGUAAGGCCUUUCUUUUCAAGGAAAGACCGCCUGUGGAAUACUGGAGAACCCUUCACCUUCGGAUGUGAAAGAAACUUAACAGCAUUCUGUAUGUAAUCCUCCCUCAUCGGCUGUGAAGCUUGAAUUACCAGAUUGUCGAAGGAUUCAGUCCCACCAGAACCAUCUGCAGAGCCAGAAAAAACAGAAUGUACCAUUUUGUUUUGAGAGCAGUUGAAGCAUAAGGCAUAAGCACAGUGAGCCGUUAAUAAGAGAACAACACAAACCCUCAGGGCUGCUACUUUUUCCACAGCAUUCCAUUUGCAGAAAGCUGCUUACAAAUUCCAAACAGGAAUCAAGUCGUGUCCCACUACCGACAUCUUCUGAUUUUUGUUUAGGACCAAGAUAUGCACUGGUUCCAAUUUGGUUUGACGCCUUACAAUCUGAUUUCUCAGCCUUGCAACAACCCGCAGCUGUUAGGCUGCUGUCCACAAAAGGGCAUGUCAGGACUACUAGAGAAAAUAUAUAUGAGGAUCAAGAUGAAGAUCCAAUGGUCCAGAUACAUAAAGAUAUAUGAGAAGCAUUCGAGGGGAGUUAUGUUUAGGAAAAGGUGUAUUUUCCAUCCCUUAAGUAUUGCCAAAGUGUUUAUCCCUUACAUUUCAAUCAGUGCAAAUAAAUCCCUUACUAAUUAAACCGGUGCACAAAUCAUUCCUAUGUAGGCUUAACAACUGUUUGGUGCAAUCUAGCAAUGGUUUAGGACAUUUAAUCAUUUGAAAAUCACUGGUUAACCAUGUCAUAAUUGCUAGAGUGAAAUAAGCUUCUUCAUGCACUUACUAAUAAGAAACAAGGAUAGAUUCUUAUUCAGUUUGUACGUUGAGCUGAACAAACUAUUAUAACAGUCGGUGGGAAUAGGUUUUGUUAAUUUUCCUGUAAAAAAAAUUCUUUCCCCUUUAUUGCCACCCAAAUCCUUGCUGGCUACCAGAGGACACUAAACCAUUGUUAAACCAAGGUGUGUAUGAUUUGUGCACCGAUUUAGUUAUUUAAGGGAUUGAUUUGCACUAAUUAAAAUGUAAGGGAUGAAAAUCACACUUUUAUAAUAGUUAAGGGAUGAAAAAUGCACUCAUGUUUAUCACCAAAUUACUGCCGUUAUGUUUACCUUUUUAUUGUUGUGACCUCUAGGGUAUAUAAGCCCAGGAUGUACUGUUUGUCUUCUAAGCUGAACAAUGAAAAUAUUACGGUCUCUUAUUAUCUGUUCUUACUUUCUUAUUCUAGCAUAGAACCCUAGUUCAUCUACCUUUAUCUGCACUUUAUCUCUGCAAUUUCUUAGUUCUAGCCUACAGUUUCAGUCCUUGGGAAUCCAUUCUCUGUUGAUCCAUUCCACGAAUUCGAUGAAUCCCUAGUCUUUUACUCCCUCCAGCCGGCAGCCGCUGUACCCAGCUGUCGGAUUCCACCAACGCCACAGGCACCAAACCCUCGCCGCCGUUAAUACUCGACGAGAUGCCCAUAAAAUCCGCAACAAGGUGUUACUACUUAAUUAAUCAGGGAAGAAUUGAGAAAUCAAUCCGGCACUAGAGUCCCCACGGCAAGGAAAGGCCACGGCUUGGCACAAGAAUCGCACGGGCUAUGAGCUGUUUCCAACAAUUGACGCGACGGGAAAAGGAUCUGACCUUGCGGCGCGGAGCUUGGAGGCUGCUCCGCCAUCGGAGAACCUCACUGCGUGGAUGGCGGAUGGAGGAACAAAGGCAACUCUCGACUCGAGGGACACACAGUCGGAGGACGACGACGACACCGUGCGUAUCAGUCAGGUCGGUCUUGUGUAUUCAUGACAUGUAUUUUAUCUUUUGUUGCCUAUAUUUCCCUGCAAUUUUUGGAUUCAUCGCGCCUAAACGAAGCAAAAACUGGAUGAUUUAUUUACUCUUCUCGGAAAUAAAAAUUAGGAUUCACACGUGCUGAUGUUGCCUAUGCCGUUUUAUUGUUGUGCCAUCCCCGAUCCCUACCAACUUGACUACUAACGCAACAUUGGAACAUGAACAUGCUCUUCAAUACAACUUUUUAAAUAGCAACAUCUAUAAAACUACAUAGUGAAUUAUAACUUAUGAAGAUAUAAUGAUAUCAACAUUGCGUAUAAAUUAGAUAACUAACGAAAGAUGAAAUGUUUGAAAUCUAGAAGCUUCUCUGUUUUUAAAUAUAUGACGUUUAAAAUGGGCUGUAAUCAUCUUAUUUAUAAUGGAGAGACUACUUAGAACACGAUGAGUUGAAUCAUUUUAAUUUUAUGGUGUACCUGACAAAAAUGUGCUCUUGUAAAUAGUAGCGGUGAACUGGUAGUCUGGGUGGCAAAUUUUUUAGGGCAUCUGUGAUGGCAAACUGCCAAAGUGGCAAUGGGACGGGACGCCGCAUUAUCAUCAACAGUAUUUGUCAUGGUCAUGUCAAAUAAAAACUUACCUCCCUGAACUUUGGGACGACCCACUUCCCAUUGCUCGAUCGUUACUCGUUAGUGACCGAACUGGUGAAGAUGUUUGAGAGUGAUUUGGACCUUCAUUUUAAAUUCUUUGACUGACAGGAUUCAGAAUACUCACACUAUCUUUUUGAAUCUUUUUUGGAGUGGAUAUAUGUGGUUGAGCCAAAGGCAGAUAGAUCACAUUAGCCUCUCGUAGUGUUCUCAGUUCAAGCUUUUCAGUUCCGAACAAACAUCCAAUCGAUUCAGACACACACUACUCAUUUACUGCCUGCACACGUAUUUGCAAAGUGCGAAGAGUACCAUAACAACUGAAUUCGAGAAGCACAAACAGAGUUUAAGGAAGAGCUGAAUUAUAUUACAGUUACUGAGGCUCUUUCAUGUUUUCCAUCACUCAAAGCAAAUGGCAUCCAUAGAUAAUAACCGGAAGCUGCCUGCCUGCCUCUAAUCUCUACAUUACUCAAGGCAUCAAUGACGGAAAUAAUUUACCAACAAGAGAAAAGAAGAAACUAAACCAUAGCAUGCUAAUGCCGCAUAAUAGAGGGCUGGGGCGCGCAUAGAGAAACAAAGAAAUUCGAAAAGAGGUGCAUAUUGUACAUUGCAUCAACGAACAAAGGCCGUAUCCGAGCCUCAUACUUUCAGAGAUGCAGAUCGUCUCAUGGAGCGAGGGAAGCACCGAAGAAGGCUCUGAUGGUGAUGGUGGUGGUGAUGGUGGUGGUGAUGAUGAUGAUGGCUGUGGUGCGGUGGAGGUGGUAUGUAUGACAAGAAGAAUGAUGGGUCGUCGUCAAGGGCUUCUUUGUAGCUCUCAAGGAUCGCAACUAUGUCGUCAAACUGAGGUCUUUUGUCCGGGUUGGUCGCCCAGCAUUGCAUUAUCAGGUGGCUUAUUGCCACAGGGCAUGAAGCAGGCAGUGGUGGCCUAGCAUUCUGCACAAGGUUUAUCAGUUAGAAGAUGAAUUUCAAUGUUUCUGCAAACGAUUUUCCACAUGGAUACAUAAACACAUGAAGAUAAACAAUGUGGUGGUGUAUCAAUAACCAUACCUUUAGUGCAACAGCAACAGCAGCCUGCUCAGGAGUCAUGUCACUGAACGGAACCAGAGAAGUCAAAAUCUCCCACAUGACGAUUCCGAAGCUGUACACAUCAACUUUCCUAGUAUGAUGUUUCUCUUUGAUCAUUUCUGGAGCCAUCCACCUGUAGGUUCCUGUAAACCCCUUGCCACUUCCACACUGUGAUUCCAAGCAUGAAAUCCCAAAAUCUGCCACUUUAACAGACAUAUCUUCUCCCAGAAGUAUAUUCUCUGAUUUCAGGUCUCUAUGAAGUAUACCCUGAGAGUGGAGGUAGCUCAUCCCUCGAGCAAUAUCUAAAGAUAAUUUCAGCACUAAUUCGAUGGGAACUGAAUGAGGCUCCUGCUGAUGCAGAUAUUUACGAAGGGAGCCCCCUGCCAUGUACUCGGUGAUGAUACAGAAUACUGGUGGCUUCUUGCAUGCUGCAACAAACUGGAAAAAAAACACUAAGAUAUUAGACAGAACUGCAUAUCCAAUAGAGUUUUAACAAAAUGAGCUCACAUAAUUGACUAAAGGUGCAAUAUAGGACAGAUCAUGAAACAAAUGAUGUUUAAGUGAUCAUAUGCAGCAUGCCACUCAAGUUCACAUAAGCUAAUGUAUUUUCAUGAUAGGUUCAUUGAAAAAGAACUUGAAGAGAUUAGCCAGCCAUUGGAGAACAUGGAAUUGCAAGUUUGCAACUUGCAUCGAUAUAUCAUUUGAAUUCUCAAGCUUACUCAAAUAUGUAGGCUUCAUAAAGCAAACCUUUUCCCAUGUGACUUGUGGGGUCAAGUGAACAAGGCAGGCACUUUGUAAAGUGAAAAGUUAGACUGAUGCUUAUUUGUACAUGAACUAUCACUCUCUGUGUCAAUUCACCCUUAUUUAUUGCUAGCAAGAUACACUUUUCUCUACAAGCGCAAACAACUAAGCUUGGAUGUUAAUGUUAUCCAUGGUCCACCUCCUAUAUAAUGAAAGACACCAUCGUUUCAAUAACUUGCCAACCAAGCAUCUAAUGGCAUCACCUAUGGUGCAGUAAAUAGCAUGAUUGAUCAAGCAAGGACAACAAUCUCAAUAUAACCAUUGGCCCAUGGAUCUCUUUACCCAACAUCCAUCACACUGAAGCCAAUACACAUCCUACCAGUAAAAUGGUACCCCUAGAUAGCGAUUGAACUAAUCAAAUUAAUCUAAAUAAUUAGACAUUUUUUGCAACACAAUUGUGCACAAAUAUUCAGAUAUUCCACCAUCGACAUAAGAGAUUUCACAGAGUACCUUCAAACAACAGCUAAAUCAAAGUUUUUUUGUCAAUCAACUUCUAUAGUUGAAGCAGGGUUUAUGGAGUUUCCGAUGUACUUAACUUUUACGUGAACUGAUGCAAGGUUCCACUAAAUAGCAGUACAGAUAGUGCCAGAAAACAUUCUGAAAACAAACUGACAUCAUUUGACAGAAGUGCUAUUACCAACUAACAGCACUGCUUAUGGAUAGAAGGGGUUGAUUAUAAAAGAUGACAAAGGACACACAGUAGGGAAGAUUUGUAUUUACUGAACAAUUCUACGGUCAAAUUUUACGUAUUUGUCAAUAAUUUCACUAUCCCGAAUAUCAAUUUCAUACUGUUCCAUAGAAAAAGUUAUCUCCAUUUGACAGGUCACUGUGUAGGUAAGCACAAAUGGCCUCACACCAGAGGUAUCUUAUAUUUGCCUCCAUCCCUCCACCAAUCCAAGCACAGCAUAAAGGGUUUAACUUUAAUGUGAAGAUCAGUUAGCCUAACAACUCCUACAGCCUGCUGCACGGAUUGGAUCAACAAAGGAACAAUGACGUGGGACAUGCAAUUUAGACUGAAAAACAUGUUCAGACGAGUAAUAGUUCAGCAUGUUGUAGAGACAACAACCAACCAAACCAAAAGGCAAAAACUCAGCAAGCAUCUUCAUAUACUAACUUUUUCUCCCUUUUUUCUGUUCGCAUAAUUCAGUUUCCAAACAAAGUGUUUUUACAUAGAGAGCUCAUGAGGACCAUGCAGUGGGUGGGAAGCAGAAACUCCACUAGAAAUGAACAUAUGGGACCAGGAUACAUCACAGGCGAUGAAUUUAGUUUCAGCUGAACGAAUGCACAAAAAUAGUUCCAUGCCUCAGAUUCAGAGUCCCCACCAGAUUCCACUUUUCCCAGGACAGAGUUUGUCACACUAGCGGCAAAGGCAAAGAGACAUGACCCAAAAUUGCUGGUUAUCUGGCACUCAACUAAAUCCAUGACGACUCUUCUCUAUCAAAUACAUGCCGGGCAGCAAAGCUGUCGGCGGGUUUAAAAAUAAUCCAUGAGACCAUGACAAGAAUAAUUGUGCGGUAAAAGUUAAAGAGAAUGAUUUUAAAUUUAGAAAAGUGAAAAAAAAACACAGAAAUAAGUUCGUACCGAGAUGAUGUUGGGGUGGUGGAGGCGGAGGAGGAGCGCGACCUCGGAGGCGAACUGGCGCUCGAGCUCGGUGGCAAGCGCAGCGUCCUCCUCUGGCUGGCUGACCAUCUUGAUGGCCACCUCACGGCCGGAGUACCUGCCGGAGUAAACGCGGCUGUGGCGGCCUGAGGCGAACUUGCCCCGGAUCUCCAGCUUGGACAGGUCGGCGCUCCAGAGCUCCUCGCCGCCGCCGCGGAUCCUGGCGCCCGGCGGAGCUAUCAGGUACUUGGACCACGACACCGCCUUCUUGUACUCGCCCAGCGACAGCCGCCGCUCCAGCCGCUUCCCCGGCCCGCAACCAUUCCCGCCGCCGCUGCUCUGCUUGAAGCACUGCAGACUCUUCAUCUCCCCCCAAGCGACCGCAGCUUCGUCGGGGUGCGAACGGCGCGGAGAGUUUGGAUGGAUCUUUGAAGCAAUGCGAACGAACCGAAACGUCUGUGAAGACGAACCGGCUUCCUGGAGACUGGUGAACAGAAAUCUCGCACGUCGGAAAAGCUUCUUAAAAUCCAAACUUUACUGCAGGAAGAGUCGGAUUCGGGCUGAAAAAAGAUUGGAUUUUCGAUAGAGCAGGGAUUUUGGGGCGAUCUGCGGCGCCUACAUUUCUCUCACUGGCUGGAGUCGAACUCGCUGAGGGCGGCAGGAGAUCGAGAGAUUCAAUCCCGAAAGAUGAUUACGCAUGGGACUGGAAACGGACGGAGGAGAAGAUGCAAGGCAGAUCGUUGCAAUUGAGGAGGGGGCAGAGGGAGAGUGAUGGGUUUGGAGUUUUGGGGGAGAGAGAGAAUAACAUGCGAUGCAAUUUAGCGAGUUUUGUUGAGAGAGAGAGAGCUAGAGAAAGAAGAUGGAACAGAGAGAGAGAGACAGUGACCCUCAGCUGCGGCUGAAUUGCCGUACGGCCACUACCGUAGGGAGGAGAUGAAUCAUUAUCCUGUGACGGUUUCUCCUUGGGGCAGCCAUUAGACACAGAGCUGUUUUUGGUGGCAGUUAAAAUUAGAGAUGGCAAAGGAUUCUAAAUUUUAACCUAGAAGUCGGAUAUAAAAAGAUGAGACUCUAAUUUUAUUCAAUUUUAAGAUAAAUAUAUAUAAAGAUCAGUUGAAUUGUGAGGAGAGUCCUAAGAUCAUGAUCUAUUACCACCCGUAGUUACAACUUAGGAUGGAUAUCUGACGAAUAAACACAAGAUCUUUUUGCGCCAAUUUGACAACCAUGGAUAUCUAAAAGAAGAAAAAUGCAUCUCUUCUCACACUUUAAUUAAAAGAUACCGUUGCUCUAUUUGCUUGAAGUUUAUAGUCCCACUUGAAAUUACGAGGCCGUCGGCAAAACUCACUAAAAAUAUCUACGUGAAUUCAGUAAAAACAUAUGAGUAAAACCAUGAGGGCUGAGGAAUUCGAACUAGCUUUUGGUUGGUUGAGAGUGUAGUUGUACACCAAUGCAAGAUCAUCCAGGUUCAAAUUCUUAGUAAGUAAUUUUAGGUGCUUAUGUUUCUUUUUAGUACAAAUCCACCACGUUCUUUUUAGGCUAAUUUUUUUUCUAAAACCAUACGUGCUAAACUGACUCCAAGGGUGAACUUUUAGCCAGCUCCAUCCAGCAAUAAUAAUUCGACAUCUGUUAUUUAACCUCCUCCAUGGAAGCUUUCCUUCUUCUUCUUCUUCUUUUUAUUUUGAAAGGUGGAAGCUCCUCCAACGCAAAAAGAAUGCAGGUACCAUGAAAGCAACAAAUAUUUCCACAUCGUUCAAAUCAUAGUCAUCGAGCAACAAGGCAACAUGGUAGGCCCGCACAAAAUGUGGCUAUUUGAUUCCUUAAGUAGUGUAAUUCCAUUACCUAGUAUUUCUUCAUGCGGAUUAGCAGGCACUUAGAAACUGGUUCCAACCUGACUGCUCUAACAGUGUAAAAAGGACUUGGUUUCAUCGUCCGACGGCUACGUGAAAGGGACGCCCUGUUAUGUGCUCCCCUUUUUCUAUGUCAUUCCGAAAGCGAGCCACGCAAGAAGACAGUUAGAAGCAAAGUAGAAGAAACAAGUCCCUUUUUAUGACAGGAUCAUCCAAUCAUCAAAAAGCAUUCAUUAUCGCAAAUAAUAUCAUUAUUCCAAAUAAAUAGAUAUAAAUCUGUUUGGUAAGAGUAAAACAUAAAGUAGACGUCGGCUACUCUCUUCGUUCUAAAUUACAGGUCGUUUUGACAAAUGUAGAUAUAAAGAUUUUGCUAUAUAUCUAUAUAUAUAUAAUUGUGUGUAGAUACAUAGCAAAAUUUAUAUAUCUAUAUUUGCCAAAACGAUGUGCAAUUUGGAACGGAAGAGUAUGAAUUAAGACGAAGAGCGCAUGCAUAUAGGCAUCUACUUUGCCAUUGCUGGAUUUCCGAUUUUCUGAUGAUUGAUCUCCGCAUUUCUUUUUGCGGCUCUAAUUUUAUUUGGAAAAAAAAAGGCAGGCAUCCAUGACUUCCUAUAUUGCCCCUGCCAAAUCUCAUUCGGCCAGUCCUCACUGGCAGCAGGUAGGGUUGCAGCUGUCCGGUAGCUAGCUCCUAAAACCGAGUGCCACAUGCUGAUGGCAUGGCAUGGCAUGGCAUGGAUGACGCCGACAGUGGCGCCCGGAGCCCGGAGGUGCUGUGGUUACAUCACACGCCUGCUGAGGAGAACAAUUUCUGCUAAGCCAUUUUUACGGUAAUUUCGGCCAAUACUAAGCAUGUGCCCAUUGGAAUAUAAAACCGCAGAUUUUUCACAUUCUUCGGUUUGAAUUUCUGAAUUUAUGACUAAUUCUUCUUUAAAUGGUCGAUGUUCAUAGGUCAUCAUCAUCUUGUCUGUAUUGUGUUUUCUAAAAAAAAGGCAGAUCGAGCACGACCGGUACGACCGUAUGAACUGUUGCAGGAAUCGAAAUCUUAUGUCUGGGGGUAUUUAGAGAUCCUAACUAGUUUCAGUUACAUCGGAUAUUUGAUAUUAUUAAAUAUAGAUUAAUUAUAAAAUUAAUUGUAUAAAUGGAGACUAAUUCUUUAGACGAAUCCAUUAAGUCUAAUUAGUCCAUAAUGUGACAAUGUUGUGCUACAGUAAAAAUAUGCUAAUGAUGAAUUAAUUAAAUUUAAUAGAUUCAUCGUAUCAAUUAGUCUUCAUUUAUGCAACCAAACAUCUGAUGUGAUAGGACUAAAAUUUAGUGUAAAAAAUAGACUCUUAGUUAGACUUACCACAAAUGUAACUCCUGAUAGAUCCCAACGGACUCCUCGAUUACUCGAGAGCAUGUGCCCUGCAUGCAUCCGGGCGUGUGGGGGCGAUGAUCAUCGAUCGAAGAAUAUAUCAUUAUUAUUAUCAUCGUCAUCAUCAUCGUCUUAACGAGAAGAUGCAGCUGCGAGGGCCCACCGCUUACUGUAUGCUAGCGCGUGACAGCAGGGGCAAUAUGAUAAUGACCGGAUCAAUGAUCGUGCAGGCAGCCGAUCGAGGUGUGUUCGUGCGUACACGAGGCCGGGCCGGGCCAGAGGCCGGCACAUGGUGAUGGAGAGCGAGAGCGGGAGGGGGUUCGCUCGCGGUGGUGGUGGUCCGGCCUUGAUUUUGUCUUGUCGGGUGUCGGACUCGGACCACCACCCGUCCGUAACUCCGUAGCAUACGGAUGGGACGGAACUCGACGUACGCUUCCGUCUCUGACCAGGUCCAUCAUUAAUCGUGCCCACUUCCGGUAAUGCGGUUUUGAAUCCUCGUCAGGCACCUUACCUACUUUCGCUUUUUUUUUCAUUCUCAAUGACCUUUCGCCACUGGUGGUUCGUCGUUGUAAUAAGCUUUUAACCAUUUGUUUCGAGCCCUUCUACGUGUUGGUCCGGUUAAGAGAUCGUGAUCCUAUUCUGGUAGAUGAUCAACUUUGUAUGUUACUGUUUCUUUUUUUAAAAAAAAGCUUAGCUGGGUUCCUUGCAUUGUGGUGGAAUCUAUUCACCUUCAUUCGAGUCUGUGUGAUUGUAUUCGUGGCUAGUUAUUUUUAUAUUAUUAGGGACAUUCUCGUUGACAAUAUCAUAUGGUGGGUAACGACGUUGUUAAUCUCAAAAUAUGCCAACUCAGUCUCAUAGACGUACUCAUAAAAGGUAGAGUUCGUGCAUAUGAAUAUUGACAUCUGAUAAUAUCUUGCAAAAAAAAUUAUAUAUGAUUGUUGUAAUUUUAUUGCCUAGUUAUUAAACUUUAAUCUGGGUUCACCUGUUAUUAAAAAACAUAAUCUUUUGAAUGCGUUACCAAAAAGAAGUUAAUCCCCUCUCUUUCUCAAUCAAUCAAUCAAUAUUGCCGGUGUGUAUCUUUGCUAGAAUAUUUCUUUUUGUCAAGUUCUUGGAGCCGCAUGUCGUUUUCUCAUCCCUCGAUGCGCGACAUCCCCACCCAUCAUGUGCAGCAUUCUUCAAACUUCCAACCAAUCACAUGCAGGGUGUGUCAUGUAGUCCCUUUUCCGUAAUAUAAAACAAUAUAUCCGGCUUAAGAAUAUUUGAAAGGGACGAUUUGCGCGUAAACCGGAUUAUCAUGACAAUUUCGGAAGAAUAAAAAACUUUAGUGUACUACGUAUCGACCUAAUAAUGAUAGCAAAUAUGACUAGUUGCUGCGUGGGGACCAAUGCAAAAGUUAAAAUAGCUAAAAACUAGUGGACAUAUGUCUCCAAGUAGUGGACAGUGUGGGAGGGGCUUGUAUUGUACGUACCUGCCACGAGGCUGUGUACGUAACGUAGUUUAAACAGACUUAUGAGAUAAAGUUCAUCUUAUCUUUUAUUUACCUCAUUUAUCUCUUAUUUAUCCUGUAUGAAUAGGAGAUAAAACUAGUCGGUACAGAAGGAAUCUACUCGAGUUGUAUUCGGUUACGAUUCCUUAUCUAGUAUUGGACUACGGUUCUUGUAACAUGACCUCCCGGAUAUAUAAGGGGGGCAGGGACCCAUUCAAAACACAACUUCUACAGCUAAGGGAAUACAAACCACCAUACAGGACGUAGGGUAUUACUCACCUCGCGGUCCGAGCCUGUCUAAAUUUUGUGUUCCUUGCACCUUCGAGUUUCUGAUCUCGACGUCUCCUCACCUAAAACUUAUCACCUUGAGUAUACCUCUCGAUGUGCAUCCGGUAAAACACCGACGGUACCGUCACUAGAAAAGCCUACAGAAGAAACCAAAUUGAGUUCAAGUAUGCGCACGGUAACAUGUGACAUGAUUUUGCUCCAAACUUCAAAGUAGCAGAUGAUUUUUUUCAUUGUUAUAUGUCACUAGAAGAGAGAAGUGGUUCAUUAUUCUUUUCCCUUGCAAAAGAUGAAAAUAUCGUUAAUGUGCAGCUUUCAUAAAUUGCAAAAUAUCAUCGCAGAAGAACCAGAGCUGGAAAAUACCAUCACGCGAAGAACCUAUCAGUUCAAGAAUGGUACGGUACAACGUCAUUUGAAUUGCACGUAAAAUGUUAUGUUUUCCACCGUACACCGCUACUAGAGAACAUUUUUGGUAGAACAGCUUUACUUUUUUAAAAAUGCAAUCUUUACAAAAUCCAGAACUUUUAAAGUUUUUUAGAUAUUUGAACUAAAUAAUUAUUUUUUAAGUGGGGGUUAGCACCCCCUAAAACAAAAUAAGCCAUUUUACCAACAAAUGAAACUUCUAAAACAUUGUGAUAAAGUUUUAAAACGGAUUUCCUCAAUAAGAAUCAAAAUAGUUGCAGCCCACAUGUAACGAGGAAAGAAGAAUUUUAGCAUAGGAGUGGUAUUAAUAUUUUAAAAAAUCUUCGAUCUCUCACAAAACUCUCUAAUGGCUGUAUAUAGGGAGAUCUAACAAUAGCAACCGAGCCCUUUUAUGGUCCUUGAAAAAGUGCCAUCAGGUAUGCGAGCACCACCAAAUUACAGCUAAACAGGUAGAGAAAUUUUAGCGCCUGCUCCAGCUAGGUAUCAAACUUUCUAUCUCCAUUAUUACGUACAACUUUAUGCAUGAUACCUCCCCAGAAGCAAUCAGAACCGUAAAACUAGCCACAGCGCGAUGUUACAGUGCAGAUGGUAGUCUCCAUCCUAUGCUGAUUUUCUUCACCCUAGCUAUCUAGCUAUCUUGUGUGAACUAGCAAUUACUGAGGUACGUUCUACAGUACAAAUGGUAAAUCUAAAAUCUCCAUCAGUCUAUCCUAUGCUUUCGUCGGCUCCCUGUGCUGACUGUUUUUCACCCUAGCUAGCUUCUGUGAGCUACUAGUAACCACCAGUACUGAGGUGCUGUGAAUUUGACACCACGAUCGGCUGAUUCACAGCGGUCGAAUAGAGCGCAGCCACGCGGAAAGGGCGCGAGAAAACAUGGGGCGCGAGGAGUGUGACCAGUCUGACCUGUCGACCGAUCGCGCCGCGCGCUUCGUUCCCUUUCCAGAAAGGCCAAACGAUCACCAGGGCCCCGGUCACGGUCUCGCGCACGGAUCGCUUUCGGAUCGGACGCGCCGAGUGAGGGAAAGCCGGAGCGGCAAAAGUGCAGGGGUGCCUGAUCUUUUCUCAUCAUCAGCAAAGCGACCCCGCUAAUGCUACUGCUAGCUGUUGUGUUACUGCUGGCUGACGGUGCCGGGAUGGGAUCCAUGACCCAUGAUGAAUGAUGGUAGCUAGCUCGAGGUCACGGGAAGACCGGCGGCACUCUAAAUGGAGGGAGCUAGCGGGGACGACGGCGAUGGCGAUCGGUGCGUGGCCGAGGAGAUGAACGUGUCGGCAACUGCAGAGAUGACCUCCCUGCAGCUAAACUUGAAAUGAAACAUUUAUCUAAACUGAUCACUUUUCUACUACUCUAAUGGCAGCAGAGAAUCAGAAUAUCAGGCGGCUGCAUGUGCAAAAGCGCAGCUCGAUGGUCACGUUUAGACGGAAGUGGACAGGUGGAAGGCGAGCCCGGAGGACGGAGUGCUCACGGACUGAACAGACGGGGGCUUUGCUCUGCUGCCUCUGCUCGCUCACGCGCCACCACCGGCCUAUAGCUACACCACCGAGAACGAUCGAGUCGGUUGUUUUUGUUUGUUUAAACAAGCUGUUUAUCAUCAUCAAUUAUUAGUUUGAUGCUUGAUUACUAGCAGCUAGGUGCUCCGUACUCGGGCCGUGAUGAUGAUCGAUGAUGGAGAUGUCUGCAUAGUUGGCACCUGGUUUGGUCUCCUGCUGCUCCGGUCGAGCUGCAGGAAAACCACGUACAGGACACGUAUCUCGCUGCACACGGAUAGCUUGCUGCUACUCUGCUCUCCAUCCAGUAGAAAGAAAAGAAACCACCAUUUGGUUCUGCACUGCAAGCCGGAGCAUGUGAACUGCUGAAACUUUGCAAGAGUGAUCCUGCAGCUAAUAAAAAUUCAGUGCUCAUCAUCGAUCACCACGGCAAGUGCAUCACGGUUGCAUUGGACUCUGAAAAUCGUCAGGCAGGCAAAACUCCGACAGGCCAUUUCGUUCAACGAUUUCCCAUUGGUGAUGUUUGUGGCUGGCUGUGUGGCCUGUGGGCCAGCGGCGACAAGUACAGUACGGCGCUAGGUUGGCCGAUCUGGAUGAUACGUGCAUCUGAUGAGUGAUGAGGAUGGCCAUUUCAUUCGGAUUCAGGUGGUGGCCCGGCGCAUGCGUUCAGGGAGACAUAGCGAGAUGGCCUGGCAGGGACAGCCACCCUUGUGGCAUGUCGGGUGAACACCUUUACAAUGAUGCAAUCUCAGCUUUUCAAAAGAGAAAAAUGAUGAUACAAUCUAAUCUUCUUCCGGCAGCCGUACUGGUUAUCUUGAGACGAGUUGAUGGGAUUAGUCAGAGGAGGGCAGAACGGAGGAGGGUUGAUGGAAGGUUGACGUGGAGGUCACGGGGAAGCUUUGCAAAGCUUCAGCUUAGCUUAAUGGAGGAGCAGUGAUCAAUGCGUCGUGCCAUGCCUGCUGCUCCGUGUCGUCUCGCCUGUCCUGCUCUGCCACCACGUUCCGUGUCGGUCGAUCGGUCGGGGUCUGAGACGCGUGUCGGCGGCCCCAGCGUCGAGCCAUCCGGGAUGCUCCUCCUAUUUUUUCUUUUGUUUUCUUAGAGGAUUCAUUAUUUGUUUUUGCAUUUUUUGUGUGUUUUUUAGCUUUUCCUUUGAUUCUUUUGUUCUUCUGGAGGACUCCUUUCAUUUGCUUUUCGGAUCCCUUUUUCCUUUUUCUUGGGACCCUUGGAACGGCUCCUCACGAGGCUGGAGCCGGCGGAGCUUGUUAACUUUUUUGUUGAAUCCGCCUGAGCUCCAAGCAAAAUAGCUCCGGCUCUUCUAGCACGCCGCGCAGAAACGCGGCAGCGCUGCGGACGUUUGGUGUGGCUUCCCGCAGAGGCUAACCCCUCCAAACGGAAUCUUACCAUGGCACCUUGGUCUUGCUGCUCCGGGUCCAGAGUACGCAGCCCAAUGAAAAUGGGCUGUAUUGGGCCUCCACACCAUUCAUUCUCUCCAGAGAAUUUCUAAACGAGCCCGUCUACACCCUUUCCACUAGUCCAUGGUGCAGCUUCUCUCUCUGCGCAUACCGUGGGCAAUGUCACGCUUGCAGUUCUAAAUUCGCCAGCCAUGCCAUGGCAAUGGCAUGCUUCAUCCUUUCAUGGUUCGCGCAUCCCUGCAUGCAUAUCCCUACCCACUUGUCCUCCUCUAGCUAGAGGCGGAGCUAGCACUAGAUUUACCAUGGUGCACACCUAAAGAAGUAUAAAAAAGUUUGCAGCAGCAAAUGGUGAGCUAGUAGUGAAGAAAAAUUACUCUGGUGCAUGGGCACCAGGCAAUAAUAACGUGGCGUUGCCCGUAGCCGUAGCUAUUAUAGAUUCGGAGCUGCUAGUGUCCGGACGUCCGGCGGAGCAACUCCAAUCGGACGCAUGCAUCACCCUCUAUUUUAAAUCUAGCGGCUACAAUAGCUCCAUAAUAAAAUACCUAUUGCAACAAAAAAAACAGUUGCAAUAUUGAAAAUAUGCAUGGUUGCAAUAUGGGAAGAAAGAAAAAAAAAAUAGCUCAAGGUAAACAUACAUAUCCACGAGGAAAAAUUCUACCGCAACAUCGAACACAUGUUUCAUGCAACAUUUCUAAAACAAAAUCAUUGUAUGCUAGGUUUAGGUUCGCCUCGUAUGGGAACAAAACAUUGCAACAUGGGAAAUCAAAUGAUGAAACAUCAAAAGUUAACUGUUACAACAUCGAAACAUCUCAUAAAAUCAAUCGUGCAACAUCGCAAAAUGCAUUCCUCUGCAACACCCAGGACAUCUAUAACACUUGCAACAUCCAAAAACCUCUACUGCAACGUUAUGAGGUACCCAUUACAACAUCUUAAAAUCUCUACUGCAACAUCAUAAGAUACCUAUUGCAACAUAACCAUUCUGUGCUUCCCUACCACAGCGCUCGCUCCUGGCGGGGGAAGGCGUGGGGGAGCGGCGGCCCGGCCCCUACCGCGUGCGCCCCGCCUGCCGCCCGCCGCCCGGAGCUCCUCCGGCGGCCAGCGCGGGAAAGCCGUGGGGGAGCGGCGGCCAACGCGGCUCACCCUCACUGCGGGGGAGUGGCGGUCGGUGUGGGGCCACGCCCCGGCGCUCGAGCCCGCAUAGCGGCACGGCUCGCCCCCGGUGGGGGAGCGGCGGCCGAAGCAUCUUCUCCCGACACUCGAGCCCGCAUGAGAGAGAUGGGGGGAGAGAGAGAUUGGUGUGGAUGAGAACAAGUAGGAACGAGUGGAGAGAGAUGCACGGGGAACGAGUAGAUGAGAAACGGUGGGAGGGUAUGGUGUGGGCCCUGCAUCCGAUAUUUCCACCUCCGUCCGGCCGGUUGGGUAGUAGCAUUACCUACCAGCGAGCAAAUGAUGCUAAAUACAGUGUUUUGUUUAUCCUUGUUGCAAAAUUUGAGGCCCACGGUCGGCUGCGCAGAUGAACCCUAGGCCAUCUGAUGUUGCCAUGCUGGCAGCGGCCCGCUGAUUAAUGCCACGUGGACCGGCAGUCACCAAAUCACACCCACAAUAGAUCAAUGAACAUAUUUUCACUAUUUUCAAAUUUGGUGGAUAUACUACACAAACACUCAAAUUUUCAUACACGCGGUGCACUUUUUACUCUUCGUGCCAUCCUUCCUUUUUAUGAAACACAGUACAUGCAUAGAAAGCUAGCCGAUGUUGUUGAUGAAGUUACAAGCCAUAGCCCUGGCCUUGGCAUUUGGCAUUCAGUCUGGGCGUUCGGGCUACCCGAAAUUUCGGGUCGGGCUUUUCGGGCUUUUUAAGAUUUUGGGUAUCUGCAAACGCUACCCGAAAUCGGGUAUCUGGGAACACUACCCGAAAUUUCGGGUACCCGAAAAUUUCGGGUUCGGGUUCGGGUAGCCCGUUCUACCCGAACUUAGUAAACAUGUCACAAACUAACAUUUAACAACAACAAAAUCAGCCAUUACUCCAUUACAUGACUCUCAGACUCUGAAUAUCAAUGUCUCAAAGCAACAUUUUACAGCAGACAAAUGACAAAUCAACCAUUAUUCCAUCUCAAGUUUCAAAGACAAAUGACAAUAACAAGGACGUACAUGAUAAUUAGAGCUACGGCGCCACGGCGGAGGGCAGGGCACGGCCACGGCGGGCGGGCCGCACUCGAAGCCGCGCCGCGGAGGGAGGAGCGCUGCGGCCCGCGGAGGGAGGAGCGCCGCCACCGCCGGAGGGAGGAGCGCCGCCACCGCCGGAGGGGAGAGAGACGAGCACCGCGCCGCCGCCACCGCCGGAGGGGAGAGAGACGGGCGACGGCUAGGGCGCCGCCACUCGCUCGCGAGUCGCGACCUCGCCCUCGCGUUCCUGCUCGCUCGGGAUAGCCCGAUAGGGGAUUGGGGGUUGCCGGGUUGGACCACUCUCUUGCCGGCUUGCCGCAUUCCUCCAUGGGCCGGCCAUCUUAAUUGGGCCGAGUAAAUUAGUUCGGGUAGAUCGGGCUAUUCGGGUACCGCCCACUGAUACCCGAAAAAGCCCGAAAUAAGUUCGGGUUUUGGGGUUUGCUACCCGAGCAGGCCCAUCGGGUAUCGGGUAUCGGGCUAUUCGGGUUCGGGCUCGGGUAGUUCGGACUUCGGGCUUCGGGCUCGGGUUUUAUGCCCAGACUGAUUUGGCAUGUCCCUCGACAUGGAAUAUGUACGGGUACGUCGUCGUGGUGCAAUCAUAUCAGAGAAAACAUCUCCGCUAGCUGCUUUUCUGAAUCUAUUCCUAACGGCACGAUCGAGCAAAGCUAGCAGCGAGCGGGCGAUGAGAGCAUCGGCGCUCUCGAUCGCAUCCCCCACCCUCGCCGAUCAGCACGCACGCACGCGGCCGCUCACCCACGGCGCAUGCACACGCAGCGAGAUAUAUGCCGCGUUCCCAUCCGGAUUCAUCCAUCCGCCCGUCACAAAGCCAGGGGUAUGUGCACGGCAUAUCCCCUACCUCGGCGCCAGAAUGAUCCAGGCAACGAUUUCUUUCUCUCGCAGCGGCAUUGUUCGCCGUGCUUUUCCUUUCGGGCCAAAGGGAUUUCCGAUGGGGGUCGCAUCUGAAUCUGCCGAAUCUGCCGAUCGAUCCGUCCCUGUUCGUGCUUUUUCCGAACCCUUCUUUUGACCGGGGAAUCUCUCUCCUUUAGUUUCUUGGCAAAGCGACUGAUCUAUCUGUGCUCCCUGAAUUCCCAGCCCAGAUUGUGCUGCCUUGCAUGCAUCCGCCGGGGCGGACAAUACAGCUUCUAUGUUCUGAAUUUAGCAGCUUGCAAUCUGAUGAGGGGAAGAAGAAGCUUGCCUGUCUAGAUGAGCUGGAGCUGUCACUACCUAUCGAAUCUGCAGCAUGAUAAUGAGAAUUGGGUAGUAACUGAUAAAAGGCAUAUGUAACCGGAAUUCUGCUGACAGCGGGGCGCUUUUGCAGACAAACGACUUCAAUCAACAAGCAAGGCUAGUACGGAUGCAUGAACUUAAGCCUGUCAGCCCGUGUAUGAAACCCUGAACUCGUAUGUGCACAGGCACAGCAUCCUUCAUCAUCUUUGCAUGUAGCUGAGCAUCAACCGCAGCUUUGUAGAAAGUAGGGAGAGGAUAAAAGAACGGUGGCGAUGUCUGAUGACUGACACAAUGCAGCUCGAGCUUUCUUGACGACAGUUCAGUUGAGAGAAAGAAAGCACUUACUUAAAGCUUGGUACACAUGGUAUCCUGCACUUUGCUUUGCAGAUGAAUUCAGCUACCUUCGUGAAAUCCUGCAGAGAAACUGUGUUUUCCCUUGUGCACCCUAGCAUGCGCAGAUUUUUCAGAGAUGUUUCUUACUUUUCCCGGAACAGUGAAGUUCGUUCAUUCAAGGGACACAACUGAAGAGACACAGAGAGGGAAAAAGAACUGCUGUGAUAUCAAGUAAUCAGAUUCUUUCUCCGAACUUUCUCGAUAAUGCCGGCACUAAUGCUGUUACAUCUCAUGGAAAGGAAAGUGUGAUGCACAGCUGCGGGUAGCAUUGUGGCAGUCCAAGAACAACGUUUGCAUGCCACACGCUGCAGAAAGAAAGAUUAUUCAGCCAAGGAACAUCGGCGGAUAUGAUGUGCAGAUCGAUCGCAAUGACAACACAACUGGCGCGAGAGAGGAUCCGAUUCCACCCGGCUGCUGCGGCGUAUAAAUAGCCGGGCACCCGUGCGCAGCAUUCACCGCGACAGCUCGACCGACCACCAGUGGACCGGUUCAGAGAGUUUUGUUGGUGACCAACUGACUGAACUGACAAUGGAUAGCUCCUCCGAUGCUCAUGGGUGAGUUGCUUCUGCUGCUGCUGUUCUUCAGAUCAUGCCCCCGUUUUCUGCAUCUUCACACUCUGAAUUUCUUCAUUAGUUUCUCAACAAAGUGUGGUUAGGAUCUGCUUAAUAUCCAAAGAUACAUCAUGUAUGGAACACUACAUCUGGCGCAUGGCCCACUCGUCAUAGACACAUUCUCGAGCCAAACGUUACCAUGGCCUGACAGGCACGGAAUGUGUGACGUAUAUACUACGCUUUGAAUCUAUGCUGUGAAAUCUUAAAAAGCAACAAAAUAUGCUGACGAUCCAUGCUUUUGAUGGCACAAUUAGACAGCUUAAUUGUGCAGUGUCUCAGCCUAACCAACCCUUUGCAAAAUGUGAUUGUCCUCCUGGCAGGCGUCACAAGUGCGCGGCGUGCUUCCGGCAGUUCAACAAGAUGGAGCACCUGGUGGAGCACAUGCGGGCGGCGCGGCACUCGCCGCACGAGCCCCGCUGCGGCGUCUGCGGCAAGCACUGCCGCUCCUUCGAGGCGCUCAGGGACCACCUCGGCGCCGGCGGCUCCACGCUGCCCAAGGCCGCCAGCUGCGCCAGCGAGUUCGCGGCGCGCGGUUGCAAGCUCUGCCUCCGCGUCCUCGCCAGCGCCGCCGCGCUCCGAGCCCACCGCGGCUGCGAGCUCUCGCGCACCCCGCCGAUGGCGAGGCUGCAUCACCAGGCGCAGGCACCGCAGGGAGGAGGGCGGGCGCUGGCGCUGGGCUGCAAGAUGGUCGGCGCCGGGAGCGACGGCUCCCUCGACGUGGUGGCCCGGGUGUGCGUCGUCGACGAGCAGGAGGGCCUCGUAUUCGAGGCCUUCGUGAAGCCGCUCAUCCCGGUGACGCACUACCGGUACGAGACGACGGGGAUCCGGCCGGAGCACCUCCGCGAGGGCAUGACGGUGAAGAGCGCGCAGCGGCGGGUGCAGGAACUGCUGCUCAACGGCGAGCAGCCGUGGAAGGCGCGCACCAGCCGGGGCAGGGCCCGGCUGCUGGUCGGCCACGGCCUGGACCACGACCUCGACGCGCUCGGCAUGGACUACCCGGCCUACCUCAAGCGCGACACGGCCACGUACCCGCCGCUGAUGAAGACGAGCAAGCUCAGCAACUCGCUCAGGUUUCUCACGCACACCUACCUCGGCUACGACAUCCAGACGGGGCACCAGCACCCCUACGAGGACUGCGUCGCCGCCAUGCGCCUCUACCACAGGAUGAAGCGGCAGCAGCACCCCAAUAGCGGCGGCGGCGCCGACGGACCGGCGGCGAGCGCGGACCAGGCGUUCCCGGCGUGGAGGCAGCGGGAGCUGGAGCGCAUGACGCCCGAGGAGCUGCUCCGGCUCUCCACGCCGGACUACCACUGCUGGUGCCUCGACGACUAGCCAGCCAUGGCUAGGCUCCGGCGGAGCCAGAUCGAGAGCGUAUCGUUAUCACGUCGUCCCAAGACGACGACCGACGUGGACGGAUAUGAUUCUGCACCGAUCAGCCAUGCGUCAGCUCCGGCUCAAAGAAUUACUCUAUCUAGUAGCUACUCAUAAAGUGUGCGUGACCCAUCCGAUCCGUAUAUCGAUCGAGGGGGCAGAUGGAGGACUGAAUUUGGACCCAUUCCAUAUAUACGCGUGUAUGAUCGAGCAGUAUAUAUAGAGUGUACGCGGCCACCCGAGCCCGUUUAUCGAGUUCAAGUAGUACGAGUGUCACUGUUAAUCUGUUAUCUUAGGCAAAAUCAGUAUGGAAUUGGAUAUUGGAAAGUCUCAUAUUAGGGUUGUUUCAGCGCUCAUGUCAAUUCGUUGAUACUUUGUAAAUGCCCGCGGAGAUAUGGAAUUUUUUUCCAUAUUGUUAAUACUGUCUUAGGUAGAACCAAACUAUCUAUCUGAGUGAGUGUUAAAAAAAACCACCACGUUCGUCGAGGGGUCUAGAAAUUCCCACAUUAAUCUAGAAAAAAGAAGAAUUUGCACCGUUAGAUCUUAUAAAGAUUUAAUGGUCCAAACUAACUCAAGAGUCCAUAUCAAACAAGAUUAAUAAAUAGCUAAUUUCGGAUUUAAAAAAUAAAAAAAUAAGGAUAUGAUCAAAGAGUACAUGGCGAAUACGAUUAGAAAAUAAAAUUUAGAACUAAAUAAAUAAAAAAUUAAAACUUAACCAAGUAGUCCAUGUAGAAUAUGAUUAGUAAAUAGCUAAAUUUAGGAUUAUAAAAAUAAAAAAAUCAGUAUUAGACUUGAUAAAAAGAUAGCAAAAUAGCUAAAUUUGAAAUUAAAAAUAUAAUCAAAUUAACAGUUGAUCAAAGAGUUCAUAUCGAAUAUGACUAACAAAUAGAUAAGUGCAAGAAUUUAAAUAUAAACAAUUAAUAGUUAAUUUGUAUAGUGAUUAAGAAGCAAAUUAGAAAGGAAAAUAGCUAAAUAAAUAGUAUAGGUAAAAUACAAAUAAUAAAUUAAUAAGGGAGUGUUAAAAGAAGCCACCACGUUCGUUGAGAGGGUUUAGAAGGAUUUGCACUGUUGAAUUUUAUGAAGAUCUAACGGUCCAAACUAAUUCAAGAAUCCAUAUCAAAUACGAUUAAUAAAUAGCUAAGUUCGGAUUUAAAAAAUAAAAGAAAAUGAAGAUACGAUCAAAGAGUACAUGCCGAAUACGAUCAGUAAAUAGCUAAAUUCAGAACUAAAAUUUAAAAAAUAGAACUUAACCAUAUAGUCCAUGUAGAAUAUGAUUAGUAAAUAGCUAAAUUUAGAAUUAUAUAAAUAAAAAAUCAAUAUUAGACUUGAUAAAAAGAUAGCAAAAUAGCUAAAUUCGAAACUAAACAUAUUAUAAAAUUAGCAGAUGAUCAAAGAGUUCAUAUCGAAUAUGACUAAUAAAUAGAUAAAUGCAAGAAUUUAAAUAAUAAAAAUUUAGUAGUUAAUUUGUAUAGUGAUUAAGAAGCAAAUUAGAAAGGAAAAUAGCAAAAUAAAUAGUAUAGUUCAAAUACAAAUAAUAAAAAUGCAAAUUUGAGUUGGUGAUUGCUCUUAGCCCCAUCACCAAGUUGAUGAUGAUUACUCUAAUAUAGAUUGCAUUAUCUCUAUUACCAAAGUAUUACCAAAGCAUGACGAUGACCACUAGAGACAACGAAAAGCACCGUGACGGUGGUGUUUUGCUACGUAGCAUUGUCAUUUAUUGAUGCCGUUAGAUGAUAAAACUAUUGUAGAGUGAUGAUGCGAGAUUUAGAAUAAAGUAUCUUGAAAAUCGAUGUUUGACAUGCAUGCCCGUCCAUAGCAAGCCACGGAUGGUGUUCAACGAAAGGUUGUGCAUCUUCGAUUAUCGUGACAUAGCGGGCAAAGAUUCUUAGGAGCAUAAUAAAGAUAGCUAUACAUAAUAGAAUAUAAGAGCAAACUAUAUCAAAGGGUGAUUGGAGGAUAAUGAAAGAAAGUACAUUAUACUUCUAGUGUUAUAUAUAUAUAUAUAUUGAACCACUUACCUCAAUCUUCAAGUCUAAGGAUAAUUUGUUUAUUAUGCACGGUAACUACAGCACCCAAGAAAAAUUGUACAUCUCAAGUAUUUUUAAAAAAGUAAUAUUUAUGUUAAACUAAAUAGAUAAAUAUUUUGUUACUUUCAGUAAAUAUCUAAAAGAUGUGUUUCUAUAUAAAGCAUUCAUUUUUCUCGUAAAUUAUUAUAAAAAUACACUACAAAAUAAAAUAAAGGAAAAAAUAAUGAUUGCACCUUGCACCCGUAUCUGGACCAUUAGAUUAAAAUUAUUACAAAGAUACAACUAAAUAAAACUAUUUGCAUUUAUUUCUUUUAAAGUAAAAAAAUUCAAAUAUUUGAGGAAAAACUAGGUACCCGCGCAAAUUGCGCGGGGCAUCUUGCUAGUUAUAUUAAUAGGGAGUGUUAAAAAAGCACCACGUUCGUCGAGAGGGUCUAAAAAUCUCACGUUAAUCUAAAAAAGAGAAGGAUUUACAUCGUCAGAUUUAUUUUAUGAAGAUCUAACUAUUUAGAUUAAUCCAAAUAAUAAAUAUAUAAAUUAAAAGGAUAGCCAUCCGUAGUAUUGUAUGUAUGUAUGUAUGUAUGUAUGUAUGUAUGUAUGUAUGUAUGUAUGUAUGUAUGUAUGUAUGUAUCCGUGUCAAAUACAUAUCCAUGCGUCGGGAUCCUCCAAUCUCAUCAGCCGCCAUGAAAAAUUCCAACAAGGAACAAUGGGAGGUUCAGUGAUCGAUCAGGAUUAGGUGGUAGUGUUGCAGAGGCCAUCAUGAGUUGAUGAUUACACGUACUGCUACUGCUUGCUACUGUGGGAGAAUUAAUUCUCUUACUCCAGCUUUUAAUCAACCAGAGACGCUAGAUGAUGCAUCAAAAUGGCAAGCAUUAUUAUUGUGGGCUUUACAUCAAAACACUUUCUGCCCGACAAAAAUCUAACUGCGUCAAUACGAAACUACAAAUCUAGCUGUAUCAUUUUGAAAAUAUUUAUAAGUACUAACCCAUCAACCCAUGUUUCUGCCCAUGUUCCAUGGUCACUCAUAUAUAUUUGGCAAGUCAAAAAGGUAACAGAGAAAGGAAAGGGCAACUAGAGCUAUUGUGUGGAUGCACAGGUUGAAAAUAUACUAACCCGCCAGCUUUCCAUUUAAAAGAAAAUUCGGACAGAAUAUAUAAGAAAAUUAACAGAACUUUACAUAAGUUUGACAAUAUUUAUCAAGCUGUGAGAAUACAAAGAUUUAUAGCUAGAUAUAGAUUCUCACAUAAUUUAAUCUAAUACUACUCCACCCGGUAACAUAUCCGCUUUAAAAGAGGAAAAAGAGUAUGGUAAAUAUAUAUGUGUGUCAAACCGUCCAUGGAGCAUACCGAUUUUUUUUAGUGAUUUAUCGCUUCCUUUCGCUUACUAUAUCUUUAAUCUGUUGUUGUUUGAUUCAUUGUUGUGGAAGAGUCUUCAGUGAGAUUGGUUCAAGGAACCGAAAUUAGUCUAGAUAGGUGGAGAUUAAUGCCUCACCAAUAAAACGAUGAGAUGCAGGAUAACAAUAUUAACAGGAGGUAGGAGGAGGGAAGAUAUGGAGGCACACUUUUUUAUUGAUUUAUCGUCUCUGUUCGCCUACCAUAUCUUUAGUCUAUAGUUGUUUGAUUCAUUGCUGUGGAAAAGUCUUCAAUGAGAUUGGUUCAUGGAGCCGAAGUUAAUCUAGAUAGGUGGAGAUUGAUGCAUCACAAAUAUAAGAUGAUAAGAUGCAUGACAACAACAUCAACAAGAGGUAGGAGAAGGGAAGAUAUAGGGGCACUCAUACCAUUGCUCCCCCAAGAACAACAUAUAAAGUUGCAAAAUGAGCAGAUGACUACAAUAGUCAAUUUAGGGAGUCUGAAUGACUGAACUCGACUUUUGAUAGGAGCUAGUUCGAUACUUUAAGUAGUAACAAGACCAUGGUUAGAUAUUUCCUCUAUGAUGUAUUGAAGUAGAAUAGCAGGGGAAGAUGUAGCCAAAAGAGAGCACUUUAAGAUCAAUUCCAAGCACCAUGUUAAGAUCAGCUGAUUUUUCAAUGAUAUGGAAAUCCUAUUGGUCAUAAUAAAAACACUACAAAAGGACGUGAGCGUCACAAUGGAGGUACAGAUGAAGGUUUUCAUGACAAAUAUGAAUGUGAAUACCAUGCUAUUCAAGAUGGAGUAUGUGCACGCCAUAUAGAGAAAAUAUACCAAGGACAAUGAGACAUUGGAGGACAACAUGAGGUGAAAAGUGGAAAAAUAAGGUGCUACAACAAUAUGAAGGUGUCGACGGACAAUGCGGGGCGGAAAUCACAAGACUACAAUAUGGAAGCUAAGAUAAACAUAGCCAAUAAAGAGUAUGUGAAUAACAGGUAUGGGGAUCUAAAUAGUGAUGGCCACAAGCUAUGAAAGUAGAGCAAAAAGGGAUAAAAAUACUAUUGCAAUAUGAAGAAGGGUGGGUUCAUUUCAUUGAUACCGUGGACUACACAUGCACUAAGAUUAUAGUCUUCAGCGUGGAAUGGAAUUAGAUGAUGCAUUAAUGCGGUUGUUAAUAUUGACACUGGGAGAAUAACAACUCAAAAAAGCCUAUACUUAGCUCAUAAUUGUGAAUAAAAAGAGAAAAUACAUAGAUAAAAAAUAUAUAUCCUUAACUGUCACUACAAUAACAAAAACUAUUCUAGCCACGCUAUUAGCGCGGGCCACCUUGCUAGUUGUCACUAAGCAUAUGUAAGCUUUCAAAUUGAGGCUCAAGUUAAAAGUCCAAACUUUUAUAAAUCAAGGUUUAAGUAAGAAAGCCUUCACUGGUCAUUAUUUAAUGGACAAAUCCUCCUUUUAGUUUGCCCUAAAGUAUCUCGCAGGGACUUUUGUUGGUAAAUUGCCAAUGCUCUUGAGGGUGCUGCUCAGUCUGCUUCUGCAGUUCUCCUCAUUGUUUACUAGCCUAUCAACUCGUGCUUCCGCACGGACUAAUUAGAAUAAAUAUAAAAAUAAGAUUUAUAGCUAGUAAUUAUAAUUAUUUUAUCACACGUCCUCUUUCAUCUAUUAAAUGUUCUAACACAUACUCUAAAAUAUAUAUUUAUCAUUAUCUAGUUUCAAUAGAUUUUAUUUUGCAUCACACCUCCAUAUGUGUUUGAUAUUUAAUUGAACCAUUUGUUUGUGAAUUGGUAGUCUUAUCUCUUCCAUCAUACAUAAAUGCAUGGUGACACGUAUUGUGGAUAGUGUUUUAUAUAAAUAAUAAACUAAUAACAAUAGAAAUAGUAAUUUAGAAUUUUAUAUUGGUGCACUUUAAUUUUUUUAUAAUCAUAUAAUUUAGAUUCAGAUUUAGAGGUUGCUUUAACUUUUAAUAAUGAUUUAAUUGGAUAAUUUAUAUACAAAUUUAGGGGGUUAUUUGCAUUAUUUUUAUAAUAGCAUAGGUGGGUAAUUUACAUUAAGAUUAGGGGUUACUUUAAAUUUUUUUUAAUAAUAGCAGAGGUGGGUAAUUUAGAUACAUGUUUAGGGGUUACAUUAGUCUAUUUUUAUAAUUGUAGAGGUGGAUAAUUUAUUACGAAAGAUAACAGAUUCAAUGACCUUAGAUUAGAAUUGUCGGAUUGAUGGUCGGAUAUUUCUAAUUUUUAUGAGAAUAUUUAAAAUUUCUCUAUUUUUUAAGUAUCCAUCUAAGAUAGAUGGCUUCACGUGGAGACUUCAAAAGCCUCCGAUCAGUAAUAGUAAGAUUAUUGUCGCUCAGUCUUCGUCGGACGAAAGAAGGUUCCUGUUCUUAUCCUUUCAUUUCAUGGUCAUGCGAGUCCAAAACCAUUCAUUUUUCUCAUUUUUUAUCUCUCUAGGAUCAUCAUCGGCUCAUCACACUCGUGGCCGCCGCACUUGCCGGAGGAGGCAAGAUCGCAGCUGUGAGGCUUCCCUACUCGCCAGAGGAGAAGACGCACCGGCACCAGCACAACUCAGCUUGUCGGAAGAGUCGAGGACUCGACGUCACGCUCACCAGAGGUCAGAGGAGAUGGGGGCGCGGUGCAGUUCGACGAAGGAAUUGACGAGGUCACAACUCACAAGUCACGGCACACAAAUCUGCACAUCGAAGCACAGGAGCUCGUAGUCGUAGCUCCAUGGUCAACCGACUGCGCUGCCAGCAGGGGAUUAAAUCACGCGUGAGGAAGAAAUUGGGUGGCAUCUGCAGAUUUUCAGGGAUUGGGAGCUCUAGCCACCGGCGCAAAUAUGGCUUGAUUUGCCACCGGUGUUGGGCGGACGAAAAUACUGGACAUCAGUUUUGGCAGCUGUGGAGCUCAUUUUCUCUCGUUUGUUCCCAAAAUUUAUUUUUAGAAAUAUAUUUAGGGUAAUAUAAAGAAAACCCCACUGCAAUAUCUUUGUGUGUCUCAUGUAACAUGAGGGGCAAAUUUCCGUUUGCUAAGAAGAACAUCGACGACACAACUUGACUCCAAACCUAUAUAAUGUAAAAAAUUAUAUAAAAGUCUGAUAACAAAACAAGAGAGUUCUCCAUUUUAGAAUCAUAAUUUGAGCCACCCAAAUUAUUGCAACAUUAAGAAAAAACUUAUUGCAACAACCAGGUAAAACUAGCGCAACAUCUAUAAACACUACGGCAACAUUCAGAAAAUAUCCUCAUUCUCCAUAGAUCCGAUUGUUUUGCACAAUGAAAAAGACAGAUCUGCUUACAAAACAUCUAGAAAAAACUACUUCAACAUCUAAGAAUAAAUGUUGCAAAAAAUACGAAUUGUUGUUGGAACAUCGAGGCAGAAGCUACCGCAACAUAAGAAAAUAAUACCACAAUAAAUUGAUUUACUUCUGGCAACACAAACUACACGCUGAGGUUGUCAUCUCUGAUGUCAUGGCUAAAAAAAGCUUCUGCUGCCGUCUUGGUCUCUCGCUGCUCGGCGGAGCGCAUGGCUGCUCUCAUUGCCCUCGAUUGGAAAUCAAAGAGAGAGAGAAGCUAGUGUAAAGUGGUUGAUGAAGAGGAUCCAGGUAACAGGCCCAAGCCUCUAACGACCUUAAUUAACAGCAUGCUUCGACCAGGGAUCUUAUACGAGUGGCACGGAGAAGCCAGCAAGCUUGUUGUUGUGCUUCUUGUGUCUAGGGCUUUUCCCAUGGUGAUAUCAGAGGGUUUUAUAUCAUUAAUUCUAUGACACAUCAAUUUUUGUAAGUAGACCCCCUUAUUUAUUGUAUUUACAUUCUAAGGACCUGCCAAUGAGGAGUUGACCAAGAACCAAAACUACUAGGAGUACUUUGAGGAGCUUGAAGAGCCGCGAGGUUUCCUUUUCAAAAAGAAAAGAAGGGCCGUCGGGUUCACAUCAUUCUAACCUUGAAUAUCUAUUACAUUAUAAAUUAGGGUUUUUAAUGUUCUUGCUCCUGUUUCAAAGUCAAAUGGUGAUUUUACACUUUUUUUUGAUUGUGCGAUUUUACCUCUGCUUUUUAAAAACGAAGGCAGCGUUUACUCCUGUUCCAUGAAGGCCAGCUAAUAGUGUUAAAAUUACGAUAAAAAAGACUAGUAUGCCCAUACUGAUUUGCCCCUAUUAUUAUGUGUACUUUAUGAUUUCCCUUAUUUUGAAAAAAAUAGACAACAUUUUGACAGGUCUAAAAAGAAUUUUAUCAAGCAAAUUUGUACCAAAUUUUUAUAAUUUCCAAACAUGAGCGAAAUUUGAUAAAUUUGGCUGCGCCGAGGCAGCCGCGCGGGGUCGCCGCGCGCGCCCACGCCUGGGCGGCUGCAUGCGCCCUCGCCGGGGCUGCCGCGCCGGCGCUGGGAGGCUGCACGAGCCCGCUCCUGCUGUCGUCGCCUGCUGCUGCUGCCGUAGCUAGGGUUCCAACAGGGAGAGCAGGAAUCGUGUGAGUUCGGGGAUGAAUAUGGAGAGUUUUUGGAUAAAAUUAGGGGUACUAUAGUCUUUUUUCCAUUUCUGUAAAUAUUUUUCCAAUUCGAUUAAGUUUUUUAGGGGGCAUCCAACUAACGGUUAAAAAUAGGGGUAAACAGCAGGGUAAAAUCGCACAAUCAAAAAAUAAGGGUAAAAAUCACUAUUUGACUUCGAAACAGGAGCAAAAAUGUUAAAACCUCUUGUAAAUUGGUAUGCUAGCGUUUUACUUAUUCACUUGUAUGAUGACUAUGAACGUUUAUAGCCUUACUUGUACCUUAUAUGUUGUACAUCCUAUUACACUUUAUAUAUGCUGGAAAUGAUAUGCUAGUUCGUUUGCAUGAGUGUUGGUUUGGGAAUACUCUUGGCACGAGUAUAGUGUGCUUACUCACGAAGGAGCCGGUGGAAUAGGUUUGUUUUGCAGGGACGAGCAUAACUCAACCCAAUCUUUGGAUUGGGCAGCUGGGAAUGUGUGUUUGGACAUAUUUUAUAGAGUAAUUGUGGCUAGUAUAUUUUUGAUGACUAGUUCUGAUGUUGAGGAGUUGGUGGUAACAAGCUGCAGCAGCAGACCAUUCCGGUGGAUAUACUUUUGGAACGAUGAUGCUCGCUUCGGCAAGUAAGGACCGAAUUAGUAGGAUCGGGUGCUGGAACUAUGUUAAACGUGCACACCAUUCAUCUAGUAUGAGGCUAUAUCCUGUCCGAGGCUAGAAAGUGUGGUACGAAGCCUGCAGUAGAAUAAAGUAUCAGUGCAACAGGAAGAGGUGCUAACUUCAUUAUCCCUAAUUUGCUAGGCCUAAACUGGUCACGUAGGAGAGCUUCACAGGGUGACUCUUUGCUAAGAGAUACACCAAAAUUUCGAAAAAAUAGAAUGAUGUAGUAACUACUAGUAUCUUCGACUGUUGGGGUAUCAUGAAGUUGGUUGAUCUCGGUUGUCUUCGCUUCGAAUAGGUCCAAGUGUACAACCUUUGCAAUAGGAACUAUAUGCAUAGGCACUUCCUUGCUCAUGGACACCCCUUCAACUGGCUUCGUUGAUUAGAGUAGCAUUAUUUGUUUUCUAUCUUCCUGUAGUGGUUUUGACUAUUGGACAUUUGAGGUGUGAGGGAUGGGAACUCUCACAUCGCCUUCGGAUGUUUUUGAAGGUGCUGUGUGGAUUGGGAGCUUGGGAUGUUUAUGGCCCGAUCUAUUGGAGUUGAACUUUAUUUAAUUACUAUUUAUGAUGUUGCCGCAUAGGAAUACCUUGAUCCAUUCUUUCAUUAGUAAUAGUACACUUAUAGUUUGCGCAUUACGAAUGGUGAUGUGAACCAAUCUUAAUUUUUCGGGAUAGUUCGUAAGGUUGCAGGCUCUGACUCAAACCAUAAGUUCAACAACCAAGACUGGUGGCACGACCGAGGGGUGCCAUGCUUUGCUCAAGUGGAUGCCUGUGGAGUCGUUGUGGCCAAGAUGAAGAUGAAGGUUGAUGCUUGGUUAUCGCUAUGUUGGAUUUUCCUUUUUAUCGUUUAACACAAGGGGUAUUUAUAAAACUUUCUACAGUUCUUUGGAUUUGUAAUAAUUAGAUCUUUGUGAUGCUUUGUCCAUUGUAUGGAUGUGAUAUUUAGUUGAGAUGAGUUCUACACGUGAUAACCGUUGAUUCUAGAAUUAUUAUAAGGGUACAGGAAGUCGGAUUCUUGCUUCGAGAAUUCAGUUCGUUUCAAUCUCAUUUGAUUGUAAAGCUAAUAUGAUAAUUUUAGUAAUAAUAUAGUAAAAUUAUGUACUAAGACUGGAUUAAGAGGAUUAGAGCGAGAAAGGGAGGGAGAUAUGGGAUGGAUGGGAAGCUCUGAUAAGGCGACAACCGAUGAACUGUUGGGCGAGAUUGGAGAGAAUGAGAGAUGAAGCUGAUGGGUCGUGUAUGGUCUGAUUGGUUGCGUGUAUGUCCCAACAUGGCUCGUAUGUGUGAGCCAAGCUCACCUCAGCUAGGCUGAGUGUAUGCGAGUGUGCUAUAUUAUUGGUUGUAUUUUUGAGUUUGGUCUAUAAGAGAUGUUGUUUGGUUGCCCAUAGAACACAAAAUUUGUUAAAUAAUCAUCAUCGUGAUUUUCAUUUUGCAUGCUUAUACUCCAAUAGCCCUCAAUGCAUCUUAUGAUAGACUAAUAUUCUUUAAACUACAUUAAUAUAACUUAAUACAUAUUAAUUACGUAUCAAUUUAAUCAUUAGCUAUGCUAAUCAACGCCCUGUGCGAGCCAGCCUCGCUGGAAACGUUCGCUCCUGCGUUUCUGGCGAGCCAGACUCUAACCUCCAUUUUGCAUCUGUGGAGGGUGGCUCAGUGGCUCCGAUGGGAUUAUAGGAAUACAGGCAACUAAGAUUGUAUUAGGUAUGGCUCCAACUCUGUUUAGAACAGCUUUACUCUAAAACUUUAGAUGGAGCUAGAUCUGAGUAGAGUUGAAACUGUCUAGAUUGGGUGUUUGGCUACAAGAGUAAUUCCAGCUCCAAAAGAGAGGGUUUUCAGGAAGGAUUGCUAUUAUUACCUCCAACUUAUGGUCCCACAUAUCAUCAUGUACACUACGUUCUAUUUGUUAUUUGUGGGAGCCACUUGUCAUCCUCUUUUAUUUUUAUUUUUAUUUUUUUCCAUGAGCCUUAUCCUUUCCUCACAUCACAAUAGAGGGUGGACGGAUGAGCUCUCAAGCUCACUCGAGCGCCGGCCGCCCACCCCUGGUACGCUUCUGCAGGGACUCGUCCGCGACCGCCGCUCGCCUGCGCUUGCUGACCGCUCGCCCCUGCCCGGCCCGCGUCUUGCCUCCGGUCUCUGCUUAUGCGCCUAGCGCCACCCCUGCGCUACCCGCCUGCCCCUGUGCUGGCUCUGCUCGGUGCCGUCGUACUCUCGCCCCCGCACGCCUGCACCGCACCGCCUGCACGCCGGCUAUCGCGCGCCUGCUGCCGCUCCCUCGCCCCCACGCCAGCUGUCGCUCGCCUACUGCCCGCCACCUCCCCGCGCUGCGCCACCGGACCACCCGCCCUCGCGCUGCCAGGGGAGGGAGGGAUUCGCAAGGGGAGGGAGGCGACGGGCAGACACAGGAAGGAGGGAGUCGUCAGGAUAGGGUUAGGGAGCGACAGGGGGCUUGAGAGAAAAGAAAACGAACCAUAUUUGCGGAUUUUGGAGCUGCAACAGGUGCCAUUGGUGGACAUGAAGUCGUCGGUAUAUAUCGGACUUGGGACGGCAACAAAAUGAAACAUCAUAUGAUUAUUUCGGGUCCGGUUACAGCAUGCGGGGCCAUAGGAGCAUCCGAUGUUUCCUGGGCUCCUGGCGGGACCUGCGCUAUCCCUAUCGGACCUCUUCAGCAAAGCAUUUCCGUUCCAAUAUUCCACACGGCUGAGUGCCGCGGGCGCUGACCGGAACCGAGAGGGGCAAGUUCCUUGCUUCCGGAAUCAUACAUAUAUAGCCUGGCAAUCAACAGCCGGUAACAUGGCAACUCGCCAUAUGGUAGCAGGCCUGCACAUGCUGUUGAAGGACGAGUCUACGGUUCAGCUACGAACUAACCCUGCCGUUGCACCUCCCUCCCAGAGCGCAAAUGAGACGUCCGAGAAAUGCGGCGGUCCUGGGCACCAAACAUCUAUCUGAAGGAUUGUUAUAAAUCUAUUCAAUAUACAAGUCCAGGUGCAAUCCGCUCAACAUACAAGUCCAGAUGUCUCUCUUAUAUACUUGUAUUUUAUUAACUGUGAUAUAGUUAUCAGUAGUUCGUUAACUAAAACUUAUUUUUAUGGAACUUUUGUAUAUAUUGGUUUGAAGUUGGUAAAUUGGCCCUCUCUAUAUUUUGCUUCACGCUCCGCCGCUGUCAUUCGGUGAUAUGUAAUGUGCUCGUCAACGAUCAGGGCGUCUCUAAUAAAUUAACCAAUCACGAGAACCGUUGAGCAAGUCCAAUGUGAUGUAUACUUAUUAGGACUCCUCCAAUAAAACUGAUUUAGCUAGCUCAUAACUAUGCCACAUCUCAGUUUUUUAUCCAUGUAGAAUAGAGAGAAAGAAGAGCUAUCUCUUGUUCAAUAGAUAGCCUCAUGCACCCUAAAUUAGUGAGGUUGAUAUGUAGACCUACUUAAACGUAUGAGCUAGUGUCAACUAUUGGAACACACAUCUCUUGCACUAUCUCUUACAUGUAUAUGAGCUAGCAGUUGGCUCUAAUCUUUGGAGGAGGUCUUAUACUUUGUACGUAUGAACGUCACUUGUGUUUUAAAUAAUAAAAAAACAUAAAGUUCAACUUGGAAAAGUAUUUGUUUAAUAAGUACAUUCGACGUGCACGCCAGCAGAAUGUUUUGCUUAAAAAAAUUGAAAGUCGUCUCUUUGUUGUUGGACGUUGAAUGGAUGAGGCGCGGGGCUUAAAUGCAAUAAUAGUGCCAGGGUAACAGGGUUCCAAGUCCAUUCCCAAAUCUCUCCGACCAGCUGCGCUCCCCCACGGAAUUGAAGCUUUUUGCUGUUCUGCCUGCUCGCGCUCGCGGGGACGAUGAUCGGCGGCGGGAGCGUAACCAUUCAAAAUCAGGUCAGUGACUCGCUCGGUGGUUUCGUACAUAUGCAAGCGUAGAUCGUCCGCUGGUUAAUCCAUGAUGCGGCAUGCAAAAGAAAACACUGCAUUUCCAUUAAGGCAUGAACCUAAUAAAUCGAUCACAGCCAUGCUCUUCUGCAGAUCGUUAUGUUAAAAAUUGGCCUCGCAGUAGACACAAAUGCCACCAUGCUCGCGCUCUUCCUAUUACGUGUUCUCAUGAGGUUAUUAUUGGAUUUACAACAUGAAGAUUUUUAUCUCUACUACCUGUGCUUCGUUCCUUUUCCAGCUAUAACAUAAGCAACACAUUUUUUAGGUAAUCAGGAGGGGUUGCUCCCUACUGUGUAUAUUUAUAAAUUAAACAAGGACUGAAAGAAUUAGAGUUACAAAUCAAGAACCGAAAAAGGUCUCCAAGAAAAUUACAUAAAGUUCUCUAGCCAUGUUUCAAUUUCUCUAACCAUGUUCCAUAAGAAACAUCCUCAAAUAAGAAAAAUUGAUAAAUCUAAUCUGUUAGCCAACUUGGUUAAGAAAGAGUCCGACGUGCCUGUGAUCGAAAUUGUGUCCGGCAUGAGAUAGGAACCAUUUUUUCCAGGGGAGUAGGACCGGUUCAUGAACGAAUUUCAUGAGCAGGCAGUGAUUCAUGUGCUCCAUGUAUCUACUUUAGAAUGUCAAAUGGUUGAUUUCUUCUCAAACGAGUUUACGCGGAUAUUGCUAGGCUCUAUGUCAAAAAUACAGAAUCCUAGGGCGAAAAUUGUCCGUAUUAUUGGCUCAGAUUUCUGCGUGGUUCAGUUGUAGAGGCUCCUUGCAUGCAUGCAUGUGUGAUUUUUUUUUUCCUUGGGGGGGGGGGUAUGUUUGUGUGUGGGGUUGGGUGUUUGUACAGAGUUAUAUUGCGUUAACUUACUUUGGAGACAUGCAAGCGACAGUAAUUAAACUCAUUUGAAAGCAAUAUUGAAGCAGUAAAGAGUCCGUGUGUGGCCAAAGUUACAAAUACACAUUUGCCUAUACUAAAUAGUCCAUCGUGCUUUGCCAAAAUUAUCUACUGAAAUUAUUUGAUAACAUAAGAUUGACACUAAUAGAUUUGUUACAAAAAAUGCUUUCAGACUACAAGAUUCUUUCCAUUUACGAUAAUAAUAUAUUCUAUAUAUACAAUUAGCAAUGAUUGUUUUUUUCGAUUUCCAAGCUUUUCUUUCCUAACCACCCCUAGCAUGAUUAGCACGAGUUAUUUCAACAACUUAAAAUAAUAAUAAGUAAAAAGAAGUUAUGUGCCGCUAUUUGGUUCUUGUAUCAAGAAUCAUGACAAUGAAAUAUGUUAUGUGAAAUGGGAAUGGUUUUGUGUAGACAAACUCGUGUUGUUUGCCAUUUGUCAUGGACAGUUUCUGAUAUUCUUUUUGUAAACAUGCGUGUUCGGAAAUGGUUUUGUGUUAUGAACAAACUUGUGUUUUUUUUCCACUUACAACUCAUCACUUUUCCAUCUCAAAUGAACAACCUCCCUAGCUCGACCUCUUAAUAGAUCAUUACAAUGUUGUGGGCUAUCAUUGUUACUCGUUACUCCGUCCUAUCUUUUUUAUAGGGCUUAUUAGGAUUUUCAAAGUUCUCUAUGACAAGAUUGUAAAAAUUUUCAAUACAAAAUUAGUUCAGAGGUUUUUAAAUAGUAUGAUCAAUAAUAGAAUCUUAAACAAACAUGACAAUCAUAAAAACAUAUAUAGGUUAUAUUGAUCAUAAUCAUAGAGGCAAACUAACCCCCUUAAUGCACGUCAUUAAAUCAUGUAACAGCAUUGAGAUUUUGAUGUUGCUCUAAUAAUGGUAAUUACAUGAUGAAAUAGUAAUAGAUGUAAUGAUUAAGUUGCUCUUAGCACGUGCCCGUUUGUACGAUUGUACUGAUGUAUUAGAAAAUUUGCUAAAUAUUCAUUAGUUGGAUAAAAAAGUAUAAUAUCUAAAUUAUAGCUGUUGAGGAGAUCUAUAACCUUAUAGCAUUUGAAGCCAUUUUGGUGUCCAAAGUACCACUAAAAGUUACGGACAGAACAAAUAAUCCUAUUGCCAUCAACAAUCAAUGGCAAGUGAGAUGGUAAGCAAGCAUAACUCGGGGGUGGGGGGGGGGUGGGGGGGGGGGGCGGUGGGGUUCAAAUCGUGAGAUCUCAUGCGCCAUUUAAAACUAUCUUAGUAAGGUUUUCUUGAGUUAUCUAUGGGAUGUCAAUUUUUUAUAAUAAUACGUGCAACAAAGUUAUCUUGUAUAUAAAUGCCUUUUAGAUAUCGUAGUUCAGUUUCCUCACUAGUAAUUUUAGAAGAUUGUCAGAGAGCAACAGUUGCUUGCAUUCUUAAUUUUUCUUACCAGCCUGCUUCUGUAAAAAUGUUUUUUUAAUAAAAACAGCACGCAGUAAAGGAUAAUUUACGGCCGGCCGUAUUAUAGACCAUCUGUACGACCUACUCUUUUUUACAAGGAAAAAUUUUACAGACCAACUUUCCUCGGCAAUACACCAGGGUGUCUGCAUGCUGCAUGCAUGUGAGGGGCAAGAAGAGAAGGAAAAAGGAGGAAUGAUGUAAGCGCAAUCAUGCAUAUGUGUGAGGGGAGAAAAAGAACAGGUAGCCGUGCACAUGCAUGUAGUUUCAGAAUAAAAAGAUUGUAGUUUCAAAAUCAAGCAUCGAAAUUAAAAUUUGAUUACACCUUUGUGUUUAUUUCAAUAAGAGCUUCAAAAUAAGAUCUCACACCACUAUCUUUUAAUGAUAUAUUUUUUAUGAGAAAAAAUACUUUUUAGUGUUCUCAAUUUAUUUGCUUACAAUUUUUACAAAAUUUUCUUAUGGCUUUACAAAAUGUUGCUUCACACGCUUGACUUCAAUUAACUGGAUAUUAGUGUUGAUACUACGAAGAUAGAUUGCUUGGUGUGAUAACUGGACGAGGGUAGACAACUUUGUUGUCUAUUAGAGUAUGUGAAGUUUUAUUGCAUGACCAAUAAUAGGCAACUUUAGCAGAUGAGUUGGGCAUUUUAACUAAUUUAUUUUAAUAUUUUUCCACUAUGCAUAAAGCAAUUUAUGUGUUUUUAAAAAAUAUUAUCGAAAUAUAUGCAAAUAGGGCCUUAUUUUGAAGAUCUUUUCGAAAGAGAUACAGUUGUGCAAUUGGAUUUUGAAAUUGAUGGAUAGUUUAAGAACUAUAGUUUUUUUAAAAAAAAUAAAUUGCUUGCAUGUGCCACUCUAAAUGAGUGGUUGUCAUUAACCAUUGGUGCGUACCUAUGGACAAAAUUACGGCCAGUCCUGAAGAAAUCAUUAUCCACAGUAAAUUGUCCUUGUCGCUUACUGUUUUUUUGGCAACACAAACUUUGUCAAUGACAUGCAGACCCUGCUAAACUAUUUAUCGAAUCUCGCAAGUGGCUCAACCUUACGUGGGGUUGAUUGCCCCUGCUGCAAAUUAUUUGACCCAUUGUGUAUCCAUAAAGAAAUUAUUCGCACUUAAAGUAUAAGAAUUCAUCAAGGUCUUUAUCAAAGAAAUAACCAAGAUCAACGGCAUACUUCCAUGCACUAUGCAAUUUAUCUAUCUAUCUGUAUAUAUAAACACUCUUCUGAGUCUUGGGGUCUACUAAAAAGUACGAUAGAUAUGUACAGUGCACAGGUAAGUAGGCCACAAGAAAAGGAUUUUGGACCGCCAGUUUCUCAGGUGUCACCGGCAUCUUUCGAAGAAAAGAUGACGGUGGUAAAACCCUCUGAGGUAAUGAAUUUCUUCCAAUUACAUCGCCUCACCCCUUUUGAAACGCAUCAUAGUGCAUGCGGAAGUAAUAUAUAUGCAUGCGCCUAGCUACACAGUCUACUAAGCGGUCUCUCUUCUUUUACUGCUGGUAGUCCGGACUGGCUGACUUCAACACGCCGUCAGAUUAUGCAAGCCUAGAUAUGCAACUCGCACAAUACUUCAAGAAAUCGGCCUCGGGGAUCAUCGUGCCGGUGCUCUUCGGCUUCCUGCCGCUGUCAUCCUGCAACGGCACGAAGGCAGCCAUUGCCUUCAGCGUAUUCGCCGUGCUCUCCUUGCUGUUCACCGUCGUGCCGCUGUUAUUCGCGGGGAAGAUGCAGAAGCAACCAGCAGGUGACAGUCGCACCAACACAACAGAUGCCCAGAGGAGGCAGCUCGACAACCACAAACGGCGCAUUGAGAUGCUCUGCUACGCCGCGUACGCUUCCAACAUCCUCUUGAUGUGCACAGCGGUGUGCCUCGCGGCCGUCGUCAACAAGAAGUACUCUGCUCUCGCGAGCCCCUUACUGCUGGUCUUCUUCGUCAUGUUCGCCAUCUUCAUCGAGUGCGGCCAUCGGAACAAGUUCACCUGGGGUGCCCUGGAGUACGAGAGCCAGCAGUCGGACCUCAAAUUCUUCUUCGACCUCUCCUCCGAGGUCGCGCAGAACGCGUUGACGGGGCUGUCGGGCAGCCUCCUCGGGAGCAUGAAGAACGCGGGGUGCCUUCAGGGAAACAGUUUCAGGACAACCGAGGGGUUCAUCCUGUACGCCGUCGUCAUGGGGCUCUUUCUGAUGCUAGUCUGCACGAUACCACCGGCGCUCGAGUUCAGCAGCACCCGGGAGAAAGUCGUGAACAGGUUCCUCAAGUGGACAGCCUACUUCUCGCUCGCGCUCAUCAGCCUGGCUGGGCUCUUCGCCGCGGCCACUGUCGUGCAGACGUACGUGGUGUUCGCGACGGUGUUGAUCGUCGCCGUUGGUGCCUUCUGGUUCUACAUGGUGCAUUGCAGCGAACCAUCUGAGAAUGUGCCGCUCUGCUGGCCAGACGCCAAAGGUCGCCACGCCGCGGGCGAGCGCUCGCUUAUGUGGCUGGGGAUCCACUCGGUGAUGUUCGGCACGCUGAUGGCAUCCUACUCGGCGGUUCUUAGCGGCCAGCGGUUGAGCGCCCUCUACAAGGCCGGCGUCUUCUUCAUCUUUGCCGUACACCUGACCAACUUUUCGCGGAUGGUCCUCGUGCGCGAGGUGCAGGACAAAGGGAACGAGGCCUGGGUUGUCAACGUCACGGGGAUCGCCAUGGUUGUCCUCAUGCUGCUCGCGGUACUCUUACUGAUCCUCCUGGCGAUGUUGCAGCCUGAACAACUCAGGAGCACCUUCAAAGUGGCUUAGCUCAGGUCACCAAUCGUUUUUCUUUUUCUUUUUCUUUUCAAUAUUUAAGAAGAGAAGAUCCUUCCUCACUUCACCUGCAUACCCUUCGUAUGUCCUCUGCAAAUCAAUCCCAGUCCUGGCCUCACUUCUGGUUCCUCUCCAAUAGUAUCAAAGCUUGAUAUUUAUUGAUACAAAAAGAAGACAUCAACUAACGGAGGAAUCAAAUCGUGUGUUGCAUUUUCCGUCGUGUAAGUGUCUCAUCAAUAAAUAAAUAGAUGACGUCCUCCUCUAUUUCAAAUUAUAGGUCGUUUUGAUAUUUCUAGGUGCAUAGUUAGUACCAAAGCGACCUAUAAUUUGGAAAGGAGGGAGUACUUAAUUAUCCUUGAGUUUGAGCUUGGUUUUCAUCAUGGACAACGUUGUUCAUUCAGGAAUGAAUUAUUUCAUAUCCUAAAUUGUCUUGAGGAUUCUUUGAUGUUAGCAAAUAAUGCAAUACCAAGAUCGAACACGAGACACGAUUUUACGUGGAAAACCCUUGCCGGAAAAAAUCACGGGCGCCAGCCGGCAAAACUCUACUAUAUCGGAAAGUAUUUACAGAACGUGGGGGAAUUACAAUGAGGCGUCACCUCUCCCCGACGGCUUACAAUAUGUAUUUAUAUGGUGGAACACGUGACCUACUUGGGCCACAACAUAACGGGCCAAGGUGUCCCUAAAACCCAACUAGAAUUCGGAUCAAUAUCCAACAAACUCCACCUUAAGAUGAAUUCCAUCUUGCAGCAAUGAAGAAUCAACAAUAAUUUUUCUUCAAUAAUAAAUUUCACCAGCUCCAAAAAAAGUCACUAGGACUUCAAACUUUAAUACCAACUAAACUUGAACACAGCUCAAACUUAGAUGUAGGAACAUGCUUUGUCAUCGUAUCAGCAGGAUUAUCAUGAGUGCUUAUCUUGCGUACCUUAAUGCCACCUUCAGCAAUAACACCUCGAAUAAAAUGAUAUCUCACAUCAAUGUGUUUUGUUCUCUCAUGAAACAUCUGAUCUUUUGUGAGAUAAAUAGCACUUUGACUAUCACAAUGUAUGGUAACGCAAGAACAACUAACCCCGCAAAGUUCAGACUAUAAACCUCUCAACCAAAUAGCUUCUUUACAAGCUUCAGAAAUAGCCAUAUAUUCAGCUUCGGUAGUAGACAAAGCAACAGUAGCUUGCAGACAAGCUUUCCAACUAACAGCACAACCACCAACGGUGAAAACAUAACCCGUGAGAGACCUCCUCUUAUCCAAAUCUCCAGCAUGAUCAGAAUCAACAUAGCCAACAAGUCCAUCUCUAGAUUUACCAAAUUGCAAACAAGCACUAGAAGUACCACGCAGAUAUCUGAAAAUCCAUUGAACAGCCCUCCAAUGCUCCUUACCAGGAUUAGCCAUGUAUCUGCUGACAACACUCAAUGCAUGAGAUAAAUCAGGACGAGAACAUACCAUGGCAUACAUAAGAGAACCAACUGCACUGGAAUAUGGAACUCUAGACAUGUACUCAAUGUCAUCAUCUAAAUUUGGACAUAAAUCUGAAAAUAAUCUGAAAUGUGCAGCUAACAGAGUACUCACUAGUUUUGCAUCAUGCAUAUUAAAACGACGAAGAACCUUUUCAAUAUAACCUCGCUGACUGAGGUAUAACAAACCAGAUUUUCUAUCUCUGAUUAUUUCCAUACCAAGAAUUUUCUUAGCUGCACCUAAGUCCUUCAUCUCAAACACUUUAUUUAAUUAUGCUUUUAACUUAGCUAUUUCUGAUUUUUCUUUAGCAGCAAUCAACAUAUCAUCAACAUAUAGAAGCAAAUAAAUAGCUGAACCAUUAGCUGUCUUCAAAUAAACACAGCUAUCAUAAUCUGACCGCUUAAAACCAUUAGAGAGCAUAAAUGAGUCAAAUCUCUUAUACCAUUGCCUAGGAGAUUGCUUCAAUCCAUAAAAGAGAUUUCUUUAAUUUGCAAACAAGGUUUUCUUUUCCAGGAACAACGAAACCUUCAGGUUGGUCCAUAUAAAUAUUUUCAUCUAACUCCCCAUGCAAGAAUGCAGUUUUAACAUCUAAUUGCUCAAGUUCAUAAUCAUGCAUAGCAACAAUACUGAGCAACAUGCGAAUAGAGCUAUGCUUUACAACUGGGGAAAAGACAUCAUUAAAAUCAAUACCUGGAAUCUGGCUAUAGCCCUUAGCAACCAACCUCGCUUUAUACCUUGCAGGCUCACUUGGGAAAAUACCUUCCUUCCGUUUGAAAAUCCAUUUACAACAGACAGGCUUUUAUCCUUAAGCAAUUUUACUAAAUCCCAAGUACCAUUCUUUUCAAGCGACUCCAUCUCAUCUUGCAUAGCGGUCACCCAAUUGUUGCAAUCAGCAGAAGUAAUAGCAUCAGAAUAAUUUGAAUGUUCUGAAUUACCUUCGAUAUCUUCUGCAACACUCAAAGCAUAAGCAAUAUUGCAUUCUUUAAUUAAUCUUCUAACCGGCUUACGAGCCCUGGUGGGUCUAUCAGCUGCAAUAGAAUGUUGUGGAGGCUGCACAACAGGAGAAGAAUGCUCAACAGAAGACGAAUCAUCAACAAUUGGUGAGUUAUCAGGAAUUUGUGCAUCUUGAAUAGCAACAGUAUCAUUCUCUGGUGUAUUAUCAACAUCAAUAAAAUGCUCCACCUGCACACUUGUUUUUUGCUGUCUCUCAACAUGAGCAUCACUAGACAGGUUGUCAGAUAACAUAGGAGUUUCAUUAAAGAUAACAUUCCUACUAAGAACAACCUUUUGAGUUUGUGGAUUCCACAAUUUAUAACCUUUAACUCCAGUUUGAUAACCAAGAAAGAUGCACUUAAUAGCUCUAGGCUCUAAUUUACCAUUAUCAACUUGAGCAUAAGCAGUACAACCAAAAAUUCUCAAUUGUAAAUAAUCAGCCGGAGAACCAGACCAUACCUCAAUUGGAGUUUUCUUAUCAAGAGGAAUAGAAGGUGAACGAUUAAUAAGAUAGCAAGCAGUGGAAGCAGCUUCAGCCCAAAAACGCUUAUUCAAGCCAGCAUUAGAUAACAUGCAACGGGCUCUGGAGAUGAUAGUUCUGUUCAUACGCUCAGCUACACCGUUCUGUUGAGGUGUAUGAGGAAUAGUAUAAUGCCUGACAAUGCCUUGAGACUUGCAAUAUGCUUUAAAUUCAUUAGAACAGAAUUCCAUCCCAUUAUCAGUAUGAAGAAUUUUAACCUUCUUCUCAGUUUGAUUUUCAAUCAUAACCUUCCACUGUUUAAAUGCUGAAAAUGCUUCUGAUUUAUUUUUCAAGAAAUAAGGCCAUACCUUUCUAGAAUAAUCAUCAAUUAUUGUCAACAUAUAACGAGAACCACCAUGAGAAGGCUUGCGAGACGGUCCCCAUAAAUCAGAAUGCACAUAAUCAAGAAUACCUUUACUUGUAUGAGUUGAGGUAUUGAACUUCAACCUCUUGUGUUUUCCAAACACACAAUGCUCACAAAAUUUCAAUUUACUGACGCUAUGUCCAUCAAGAAGUCCUCUCUUGCUCAAAACUUGUAAACCAAGCUCACUCAUAUGCCCGAGACGCAUAUGCCAAAGAUUAGUAGCAUCAGAAUCAGAUAAUGAAUUUGAAAUUACAGCGGCAUCACCUGUAAUUGUAGUACCACGAAGACGGUACAAAUUUGCAGAUUUCAAAUCAGCUUUCAUCACAAUAAGAGAACCUUUUGACACUUUUAAAACUCCAUCUCCACCGGAGUAUUUGUACCCUUUGCUAUCAAGAAUACUAAAAGAAAUUAAAUUCUUAGUCAUAUCUGGAACGUGCCUAACAUCAGUCAAAGUUCUGACAAUGCCAUCAUGCAUCUUAAUUUGAAUAGAUCCAAUCCCAACAAUUUGACAUGGUCUAUCAUCACCCAUUCUAACAGAACCUCCAGAUUUAAUAGAAUCAUAAGUGAUAAACCAAUCUCUAUUAAUGCAUAUAUGAAAAGAAGCACCAGAAUCAAGAAUCCAUUCAUCACCAUUAUUAGCACAUCCAGCAAAAGCAACGAGAGUAUUACCAUCAGAAUUUUCUGAACUAGAAACAGCAAUAGAAGCUUUACCUUUAUCAUUGGAUUCAUUUUUCUCUCGAUAUGUGCCAGUUCUCUUCUCUUUGUUUUUCAAUUUAUAGCAUUCAGAAAUAAAAUGAUUGUCCUUCUUGCAAUAAUGGCAAAAUUUAUUACCUCUGCCUCUAGAUUUUGAACGGCUAUGGUGGCCAUUAGAACUUUUACCUCUGGAGCCAUUAUUGGACUUUUUCUCUGUCCGACCAUGAGCAGCCAAAGCUUCAACAUUGGAAGCAGAACCAUUAGAAGACACCAUCUGUUUCAUUUUCUCCUUGGCUUGCAAGGCCUCACAAACAUCAUUCAACGUGAGAGUGUCACAACUAUAUAAUACGGUAUCUCUGAAGUUUGCAAAUGAACUAGGCAAAGAACAUAACAGAAUGAGACCGAGAUCCUCAUCUUCAUAUUUUACCUCCAUAGCCUGAAGGUCAAAGACGAUCUCUUUGAAGACCGUCAGGUGAUUUGGCACAAAACCACCCUCUUGCAGCUUGUGCAAAAAUAACUUCAUCUUCAAAUGCAUUUUGCUGGUAAGAUCCUUUGACAUAUAGAUCGACUCCAGCUUAAGCCAUAGAGCGGCUGCGGUUUUCUCCUGUAAAACCUCUUGCAAAAUAUUAUUAGAUAAAUGAAGAUGAAUUUGAGACAAGGCCUUACGAUCUCUUCUCUUUUCCUCCUCGGACCAAGAAUCUGAAUUUUUGUUUCCGAAUUUAUCAAGCGCAUCAUCCAAAUCAGCUUGUGACAAAACAGCACGCAUCUUAACUUGCCACAGCAAAAAUCUUGUAUCAUGAUCUAGCAGCGGAAUAUCAUACUUCAUAGAAGCCAUUAGAUAAAAUAACUAGAAGAAUGCUGAAAUUAAAUAGCUGAAAAUAAAUUCCUGUGUGCACUUCCUGGGUGCACGUAGCAAAAAUCAGGUAGAAACAAGUCUCCUAGUAGAACAGAUGUGUGCCCGUAGCAAAGAGUACUCUUCAAUCUCGAUCCGCGUGCACAGCACCCAAACUCCUCAGGCAAAUCUCCUCACGACAGGACACGACAACACGUGAGGAACUGCUCUGGUAACUUUUCUUCCCGACGCGAGAACCCAGAACAAAACUAACUGACGAUGGCAGCAGGAAGACAACUUCACCUUGGACUCGACAGGGAGUUGCCGAUCUUAAUCGGCACGGAAAAUGAAAUCGGCCGAGACGUGAUCUAGCAGAUCAAAUCGACGAUGCAGGAGCAGCAACGCAGUAGAUCAAGGUGGAUGAGACCUGGGCUGAACGCCCGGGCAGGCGGACGUAAUCCGGCGGCAGCAACGAACAGGGCCGAAACCCUUUUUUUUAACUCGUGAAUCUCGUAACUGGCUCUGAUACCACUUGUUAGCAAAUAAUGCACUACCAAGAUCGAACACGAGACACGAUUUUACGUGGAAAACCCUUGCGGGAAAAAACCACGGGCGCCAGCCGGCAAAACUCUACUAUAUCGGAAAGUGUUUACAGAACAUAGAGGAAUUACAACGAGGCGUCACCUCUCCCCGACGGCUUACAACAUGUAUUUAUACGGUGGAACACGUGACCUACUUGGACCACAACAUAACGGGCCAAGGCGUCCCUAAAACCCAACUAGAAUUCGGAUCAAUAUCCAACAUUUGACAUUAAACGAAAUAAAUUAUUCCAUAUCUAAAUUAUCAAUUUUUUUUUAAAAAAAUAACAUUAUUUUAAUAAAAAUGUAAAAAUAGAUGUUAAUAUCUCGAAAUUGCAAUUCUAGUAUCACGUCGGUUACUGUUGAGCAGAUAGCGGGGGAUCCCUAUCUAUCUUCCGAUAGAUAAUUAGUUAUACAUCUUUGAUCCAUCAGUGGUCCAAGUAUACAUCUAACAGGUCCAUAACGGCCCAUUAAGCACUAGUACAUUAGAGUUGCUAUGCCGUUUCUGUGUGGGCAAUGAAAAACAAUAUGGUUUGCUAAUAUAUAAUGACACUGCAAAGAAUAUGCAUGAACUUCCGCGGCUAAUAAAUAUAAUAUAUAAGGCCCAUCGUCACAUGGACAGGGACAGGUAGUACUUUUUUUUGUCGCUCGUUUUCUUAAUGCUCUUUGUCGCUCUUGUCAUAUCCUUAAAACUAAACUAGUGAUGGGUGGUAUUUAACUUUUUUUUUCAAAAGAAAACAUGUGUAAAUUUUGAGAUAUCAUAUUAAAGAUUUUCAAACACUGGGUUCAGCAUUUCUUUAAAUCUUGUUCAACAUUUCUUUAAUUAAAUUUGGAUGCAUCACUAGAGAGAAAAUCAAUUUUGAAAUUUGAGAAGCAAAAGUACAAAUCGUCCAGCAAUACACACCUCCGCCUAGGUACUGGCGUGCAUGGACCGCAUACGAACGUACUUCCUCCACCCAUCUGCCUAAGCAUUCCAUCUCGUCCAUCAAAAUAACAUUACUUGCGAAUCUUAAAGCGGAAGAUGUGUAAACAAAUAUCGUCAGGAAGAUAUAUAGGAAUCCAGAAUAGCCGGGCUAUCGGCUUUGGGCCAGCCGACAGGCCCGUUGGUGCACCAACAUGGUGCCUAUGUGGGCUGGCUCAAAGGGUUGUCAACCUAUCCAUGGUCUGAUUGGGCCCACCUCAAGACCGAAAGGGUUGGGGCUGCAGGGGUAACCCACGUGACUAGGAUAUAAAUCAUCACAUAAUCCUCCACCAUCUUCUCCGUUUCUCUUCAUUUUCUUCCUCCUGACCACUGCCACCUCCGCCUCCUUAUCCACCGCCCUGGCCAGCGGCGGGCCGUCCGCCCACCACCUCGCCACCGCAGCCUCGGCCUUCUUCUUGCCCCUGCCGCCAGCCACCGCCACUGUGGAUCCAGCCUUGAUCGGCCGGCCGAACUGCUACCACCGCCGGACCGCCACCGCCCCGACCUCCCCCUUCUAUAGCCACCGGUCAUUGGAAGCCCGACAACCCGCAACCCUAACCCCACCGCCUCAACCACCACCCUGGCCGCCGGCAACCUCGCCAGCGGCCGCUCCCCCCCCCCCCACCUCCCAGCCCCAGCGGCUGCUCCACCCUCUCUCCUACCUCGGCGGCGUGGCAAGCGGUGGCGGUGGGCUGUUGAUGAGCCUUCUACGGCCCAUUGACUCUUUAUUUUCAAAAUUGGAUAAUACUAAUUGUAUAGGACUAACUUGUGUCCAUGUAUGCAAUAUGGAACAUCCACAUUCUAAAUAAUAUGUUUGAAAAGUUUGAUGAACUUUGGAGUAUGUUUGCUAUUUCUUUUGGAAGGUUAAAUGAGGACAACCAAUCUGAAAUUCCAAAGCAGUGAAUGUUUGAGAGUUGAAAUUGAAUAACACUAAAUAGAUGACAUGAACAGAUUAUCAUGUGCGCAAAAUAGAAUGUAAACAAUUUUUACUGCAUAUUUGCAAAGUUCUUAAUUCUUAAUUACGUUUCUAUUUUCCAACUAUGUAUGUCGAGAAAAAAUUUAAUCAUUUUUUAAACUGAAUGAAACCAAUUAUAUAGAACUAACUGACCAUCGUAUAUGCAAAAUAAAACGCACACAUGCUAAAUAGCAUGUUUGUAAAGUUUUGCAAAAUAGACACUUUGGUCCCUCAAUUUUGAUCUGAGGGUCAACUUCGUCCCUCAACUUUUAAAUUGGCCAAUAUAGUUCAUUAUACUCUAUAAUAACAUGAUAUAAAUAUAAAUAAUCUAUUUUAUCCUUGGCUCAUUCCUCCUCCUCAUUUUCCAAUAUUUGUAUCAUGUUCGCUCAACUUCUCGCAAUAUUUUAUAUAAUGGUACAGUUACACAACAAGUACGUAUAAUUUUACUCUCUAUAUGUCUGCAACACGAUAGGAUGCAUGGGUAAAUAUUUUAUAUGAUGAUGUAAAUAGGUCUAAUUUUAGUCUCUAUGCGUCCGCAAUAAAAUGCGAUGCAUGGGUAAGUAAACUUAUAGGUUCCAAAUUAAAUACUUGUAAUGUUCAGUUUCUAAAUUCAUAGAUGCCACCACACCAUGUGACUUGCAUUGGUUAAAUAUUUUUGUAGUAAAAAAUAAACUAUUGCAGAAUUUAAAGGGGAAUGAGCUAAGGGUAAAGUGAACUUUUUGCAUAAAUCUAAUAUUAUAAUGGAGUAUAAUUAUGUUAUUAUAGAGUAUAAUAUUAAUAUAAGGAUGAGUUUGACUAAAAACCAAAGUUGAGGGACUAUAUUUAAAAGGUUAAAGAAUGAAGUUGACCCUCGGAUCAAAGUUGAGAGAUUGUAUUGGCCAUGAUGAAAGUUAAGGAACUACAUUUUGCCUAAAGUUUUCACAAUUGUUUGAAUUAUAUUUGCUGUUUCUUUUAGAACGUUGAAGGAGGAUAAACAAUCUAAAUGUAUAUGCGUCCGGACCCACGUGUCGGUGACCUAGAAGCACGUUAGAGGAUCUCGUUCCACCGCGUGGAGGCUACUGGCACCCAGCAGCCAACAGACUACUACAAUUACAAUAUUUAAAAUAUUACAUUUUUUACAAUUCAUUUUAAAGUAAUAUUAGUUAAAAAAUCCUUGUUCUCAAGAAUUCCAUAUGACAGUAAUCUUACGUCGUUUAGUAUUUGUUGUAUCGUAACUAUAAAGUUGAUUCAAGCCUUUACAACUUCAACACUCCCCCAUCCGGAAUACAGCUGACAUUUAGGUCAAACAUUAUUAUCUGACCAACAAAAGGAAUAACUUAUUUCAAAUAGAUAAAACUACAAAUUAUGAGUCAGUUUCAUAAUGAAUCUACUAACAUCAUUUUUACGUUGUUAAGUCUUUACAAAAAAAAGAUUCAAUUCUUAAGUCAAAACUUGAAAAUAUUUAACUUGAUAAACCUAAAUGUAGCUAUAUUCUGAAACAGAGAAACAACCUAUCAAUCAAGACAUCAAAGCUAGACUGAGCAACCAGGCGCCACUACUAUGAACUUACGAUACAAAUGAAUUUGUGUUACAUACUGAAAUGGAUUCUUAGCCUCUCAUCAGGUCCAAAAACUUGAUAAUCUGCAUGGUUGCCUCUACCUUGAUACCCACGCCGCCUGAUCCAGCCUGGCCACGGAUAUCGCUUGCCCCGCCCAUGGAGCCACAACCGCCGAUGGAGCUUAGCUCCUCUACUUCAUCGCCGAGGUCGCCGCCGCCAAGGCCGGCCACAGGAGCCCGGCGGAAUAAAUGGAGAGCGAACACCGGCAGCCAUGGAGGACGCAAAAAUCCUUUGGCAAUCAUGGGGGAGGCAAAAAUCAAACCAGGAGGAGGAGCUAGGAGGAGCUGAUGAAGGAUUUGACUCAUUGGGUGGACGUCGGUGCUCGCUGCCGUCCAUUUUCGCUAGGGGAGGGGGGCAAGGGGCGGCAGCGGCGCUAGGGGAGGGGGCAGGGGGCGACAGCUGCGCUAGGGGAGGGGAGGAGCGACGGGAGGGGAGCGCGGCUGGGGGAGGGGGCAGGGGGCGACAGCUGCGCUAGGGGAGGGGAGGAGCGCUGGGAGGGGAGGGGGGUAGGUGGCAACGAGACGAGGGGAGGAGCAGGAGUAAUCGAACCAGUACGUUGAAAUGAGUGGCAUGGUGGACAAUUAUCUCCAUAAGUUGGUACAAAACUGAUGUUUUUGAGCACCCCUUGUGAUACUCCAGAAAAAAACGUGGAUCUAUGUUUGGAUGGUAAUUUUAUAGAGUAAUUUUGUAGAGUUGGUGGAGUGGAGCAGUUUUUUUUAGAGUAGAGUGCUCCCAAACAUACCCUAAGUUUGCCUCUUUUCACUUUGCACCAUUCACCUAUUGUCCACUGUUUUCACAAUUGCCCUACUAGGCUUAAGAACCAGGGGCAAUGUUGUAAACAUUGGGGAACAGUAGGCCGAUGAUGCACUGUGGAAAAAAUGACGGUAAACGCAUAAUAAGGCUUCAAACCGGGAGCAACCACACAAAUAAUGCCCCAAAAACAAAUAGAAAAAAGAAAAGGACCAGAAAGAGAAAAGGCAAACGAACUUCUUUUCAGUUAAUGAACCUAUCCACAGUAUCCAGUCCUACUACAAAGCACCGGCGAGAAUGAUUUGUAAUUUGUUUUCCAUCAGUGGCAACGCAGACCUUAGAUCCAGUGAACCUGCAGUUGGAAGAGAAAAUAAGGUAAGUUAGUUUUAGAAAUCACUUUAUUUUUGUAAAGAUUAUAUACGUUGCCUCUUUGAAUGGGCUUCUGAUGGCUUGAUUUCUUCAUUCAUUGUAAGAUUUAUUAACAAAUCCCAAUUGCAACAAAGGAAUGCAUAGAAAUACAUUCAAAAAGUGCAAACCUUUCGAAGUCAUCACUGAAAAAUGAAACCUCGCCUCCAAGAAGUGCAUUCACAUGUUUCAGUGCACUCAUCUUGUCCCCUCGAUACACCAAGAUCAACACAUGCCUCUGCAGUCAUCAUAUGACAUUGUCCUAAUAAUUUCAAACAGACUUAAAUUUGCAGAGAGAUCACCCAUUUCUUAUGCAAGUUACAUUAAUAAAGGAAUAUUUUACGGAAAAAAUGUACCUGCUUAGCUUGAGAAAUUUUGUACUGAGCAUUCUCUGUCCAUGGACUGCCGAAGUAAACUAUCAGUUUGGAAAAAUCCUUCUUUGCAACUAUCACUGACCAAUUCAAAAACAGUAUAUAUUAAAUACAAUUAGAGAUGUCCGGGACAGAAGUAACGAUGUAGAAAGCCAGGCAUUUUGGAACAUUGAGUUGGUUCGCGUGACCAUCUCUGGAAUAUCCCAACGCUAUGAAUAAUUUGUACAACAUUGCAACAAAGCAUUCCCAAAACAAAUAUUUGGCCAUCCAUUUCUACCCGAUGUAGGGGACAAGACGUGGCCUAAGGUUCAAUAUGGUAACACAUCACUUUGAAAAAAUAUGCCAUAAAUAUUUCAGUUCAGUAGGAAUGGGAGGAAAUUCCAAACAGGUUUGUAACAGGUUCAGGGUCUAUACAUGCUAUGGAGCAUAUCUGCUGAAUGAAUAGAUUUGCACAGAAUCAACAUUAAAUACACUGAUAAGUCAGAGAAGUACUGAAAAAAUCUAUCUUUAAAAAAAUUCAAUAUUAACUGCAGCCAUGGGACAGUUAGGUAUCACAGAAAAGCAGGCAAUGUUUAAAAUGAAGAAGAAUCAUCAGGGGUGGAACCAGGCCCCUUGCUGGGCAUGCUAUUUAAUAGCCUAAUUCAUCUCAUAUAAAUCUAUGUAGUAUUUAGACCAAAAACAAUAUAAUUUGGCCCAGUUUCAACUAGCCCAGCAGCUGUCUGGCCCAGCCCUGGCUGGCAGGCCAUUUCUGACUGCACCCUUGCGAAGCAUUAUCAAACUCCUGUACAGUGAGGACCUAUAAUGCUUUUCAAACGGUAAAUUACAAGUUUAAAUAUGCCUUCUGGAUGGGGAAAGGGCUGCGGAGGUCAAUUCUUAGUCCUGUGAUGUCAGUCACAUUGACCAAUUAGUCUGUGAUUUGCGAUUGAAAGAACUGUCAUCAAUCAACAGCAUAACGAUGCCAUACAUAAAUUUAUCUCAAAAAAAGUUACAAGAACCAAGAGGCCCACUAAUUUUAGGACAGAUGUUCAUGGGGACAUUAACUCAGUUAUGUUACUACUACCAAGAUUUCCAUCUAUGGAUUAUGAUGGGUUAAAAUUUUCAGCAGUGAUCCACAUCACUAACAUCAGAAUUUGUGAAGCUUGACUUUCAGAUCCCACAACCAGUGACAAUAAAUUAAAUUGCCAAUCUCGAAUUUAAAAUUUCAAUUGUAGUGACGAAUUUUUUAUAUCGGAAAGGUUGAUGUGGCGUGCCCGAAGAACCCCAAAACUUUCAGAUCAAAGAAGCCAACUAUUUGAUACAAAAUCAUGAUCCUAUCAAUUCAAAAAGGCAGAACCUCUGGGUGUCAAUCAGAGGUUCUCGGCGCGAUCGGUUGUUUCCUACUGUUUCCCCCCAGGUUUGUAGCCAGUACAGACGUUUUCCUCAACUGCGUGCGAAAUUAAUAGGACAAGAUGGGGAUGCUGGAAACUAAACCAGAUUUUGAUUAGGGAGGCAGGAGUAGAAGCCAAUCUUUAAUCCCGUAAACAGAAGAAUAAAAAACAGAGGUCUGAUUACCAAUUUUGCUCUACCAAACUCAGAAUCUUGGAUCGAGCAAACCCUAGAAAAGAUUCGUUUCAUGUCCACGGAUAGAGGAAGGGAGGGGAGCAACAAAAGGACUCGUUUGCAGCUCUGAGAGCUGAAACCGGAAUCUGGAUACCCAUAAAAAUUAUAACUUGCUAGAAAGGGAAGGAACAGAGUGGAUUACCACAGUUGUUAGCACGCAAGAACUUCUCUAUGACUACAGAUCCGCUUGGGUCGGCAGUCGGCAGCCUUUCUCCCGCGAGGUUCGUCACCACCAGGACGUCUUCCCGCUCCAUCCGGACGCCGCCGACCACCACUGCGACGUCCGUGAACAUCCAGCGGAGGAAACGGGGGCCAAUCGCCAUGGUUGGUUGGCGGCUUCCUCUCUCUCUCUCUCUCUCUGUCUCUCUCUCUCUCUCUCUCUCUCUCUCGAUGCUUCUGGGGUACGGUUGCUUUUCUUUUCUUUUCUUUUUUUCUGAAAGGAUAGGGUUGGUUUUCUCUGAUAAGUGGGCUAGGGUUUUGGGAGCAGAAGAGGGGAGAAUAUAUUAUGGCGUUUGGAUUUUUUUUUAAGAAAAACUAAUUGUGGCGUUUGGAACUUCGGAGAAGAAUGCUGUCCGGGAAAGGGAACGGCGAACGGGUCCACGGGAUAGGCAUCUUGAGCGGUCUCAAUGUCACUCUCAGAUCAUGUUUGGCUCCUCUGUAAUGUUAUUCAUUAGGGGUCCUAUUUUGAAUCAUCUGAAACUAAAAUUUAGUUCGAACUAAAUAUUGGAUGAUUAAAUACUAGGUAACUAAAUUUUAGUCCAUGCGUUUGGAUCCAUGGACUAAAUUUUAGGUAGUAAAUCAUUUAAAACAUAUAAAUGGGUGAAACUAUACUUUAGUCCAAAUUAGAUGGGUUUUAUGGACUAAUGGACUAAAUUUAUUUGGGAUGAAACUAAACUUUAGUUCAAAAUUUAGUCACCUGUUUGGAUCACCUAAUGAAUUAAACUUUAGGCCUAAGUUUAGUCCAUAGAUCCAAAUAGAACCUUAGUUUCCUGUAAUAUCUUAUGCAUAAAAAUACAACUAUAUUUUCUUUCAGUAAUAUAAUAUCUAUUUUAAAUACUACACGAAGAUACCGGCAAGCGGCUCCGCUACAAUUAUAGAUCCACCAUCUGAAGGACUAUAAACAGAAAAUAAAAAAAUGAUAGAAUAAUCUUAUAGCACUUACAAAAUUUUAAAAAAAUCAUCCCGAUUACUGUAAAAAGAUAAAAUAUUUAAACUCCGCUACCUCCGUUACGUAAUUAUCACAAUACCUCUACCUGCCCGCAAUUCGAGAGGUAUUCCAGCUUUAAGAGUAUUUUUCAGAUUUGGAGUAUAUAAAUUAUCUACUCCUACCGGACCACGUUUCUCAUGUAAUAUCGAAGAUAACCUCCGACCGGCUUGCUUCUUUCUUCAUUCAUGCUUCAAACUGCGAGUUAAAUUUUAUCACUCUUGAGGAUCUUCACGCCCGAGGUCGGCUUUCCUCUUCGUAGUCGCGGACCUUCGGCCAGAGGUCGGAGGUUACCGUCUCUAGUUCACUCAUGCCGGGACACUGAAGAUCUUCGACAUCCUGGCCAUUGUUCCUUGCCAAGGACGAUACAGCGAGAGGCAGCAAAAGAGAUCGGAGGUUAUUAUUAUGGUCUUUCGUGCUGGCUUGGCUCAGCCAGGACCUCCGACCGUUCACUUCGGAGGUGGCGAUCCCAUCACACGUAUCUGUGUGCUCAUCAUCUAUGCAUCACAGCCUUCUCGCUCACACAGUGAGUUCAUGUACAAGUCUGACAACCAGAUCGAGCACUCUGCAUAUAGAUAAACUAAAGCAAGCAAGCCGGAAUCAUAUGCAUUACUGCUUCCUCUUGUGCACAGUUUUAUCCUUAAUCCAUUUAGUUUUUGGGAACUGCUCCAAACGAUGAAACAGACGACGAGCAGCAGUGGACGGGCAGAUCAUGCCAUCGGCAGCCGGCUGGUGAGCAUCGGGCAAGGCAGCCGCAGGCAAGCAGCAAGUAGGUAUCAGCGGCGGCGAGGCGUGGAUGCAGACAAUCUCGACGGUCGAAACGCGGUUAAAGUGCGCAGCAUUCACGCGGUCACACCGGUGGGGAGGAAAAGGCACACUGGAAGCUCGUCAAGCCGGCAGGGCGGAAGAGAAGUACGGGUGGGGGUCCGGACGACGGGCGAGCGCAUAGGCGUGGGCGCGGGAGCAACGAACGGUGGCCACGGCACGCGAGGCUAGUGGAUGGCUGCUCAACUCGAGCUAUGGUCGGUUGACUAAAUUUAUAGUCCAUCGGAUAUUUGACACCAAUUAAAAAUAUUAUAGUCUAAUUAUAAAAUUAAUUGCAUAAAUGAAGGUUAAUUCAUGAGAUGAAUUCAUUAAAUUGAUUUGACCAUGAUCAUGUUGUGCUACAGUAAAUAUGUAUUAAUGAUAGAUUAAUUAAGCUUAAUAGAUUCGUCUCGUGAAUUAGCUCCGUGUUAGCUCAUGUUUAAUCUCUCUAUUUAGCAUCCAAACAUUUAAUGUCACCUGGACAAAAAUUUAGCCUCUGAAUCCAAACAUCCCCUUAACUGCAUGGAAUACAGAAGAUAGAAGGACGCUCACGAUAGUUACGUUUUUCUUGACCUCCUCACAUAAUUAUUCUUUUACAGUAUUAUUAGGGUGACCGAAAUGGGACUCGAAAGUGGUCCACAGAGAAUAAACCAAUACUCAAACCUAUCUAAAUACAUUGUACAACCAGCCUAUAUAGUAGUCCAUAGUAAAACGGUACCGUAUGUAUUUGGGCAGCCCAUAAAAAAAUAUUAAUCUCUCUCCUUAUUUAUUAUCUCUCUCCAUACUUGCUUGAACAUUGACUUUUACUCAAUUGUGGGAUCCAACCUACUAUAUUCUUUUGCUUCAAUAUUGUGCAAAGAAUAACAACUAAAGAUCACUUUAUAUGGAUCCUAUCUACACGAACUACUUGCUUCAAAUAUAUUGGUCUUUGCCCUUAGACCAAACCGUUUAUAAUUUUAGUAUGCUAACCACUAAUCCAAACAGACUUUUAAAUUUACUGGUGGAAAAUAAUUAGGGAGUAUAAUUUAAUUGUAAGAGAUUCCCUUCCUAUUGUCACCUUCCACAGCGUGGAGCCGGUUUUUAUAGGGCUAUAAAAACCGCUGUUGAAGCACGUUGUGGCCGCCCUUAGCCUUUUCCUAAGGCAGGAAAAGUUUUGUUGGCACCGAGGGCAACACUGUCAAUUCCCACCCACCGGUUUCUCCCAGAGAUGACGAGACGCGCAAACGGCACAGAAACCCCUCACGGCCCCACCGACGUCGCCGCCCCUCUACCUCCCAGUGCCGCCGUCCGUACCCCUUCUCCCGCGGCUGCAUCCUCCGCAAUGCCGCACCACGCCAACCCGCCGCAUCCCCCUGCGGCGCGGAGCUUCCUGUCCCGGCGCCGCGUAGUCGUGGUCUGCGCCGCUGCCGCGGCGUUCGCGCUCUUCCUGGCUGCCGCCCCGGUCGCGGAGGACCCCAGCCGGCAGCGCGCUUACCUAAUGGGUCCCUUCCGAGGUGGGUCCCGCGAGGAAACGGUCGUGGCGGGAAGCUUGGCGGGCGCCUCCUCCUCGCCUUCACCCGCCGAAGCGCCGCUUUCUUGCCUCGGUGAGGUAGGUGCUUGGUUUCCGUUGUAAGGAGGGCUUGGAAAGAAAAAUGACAACCUUUUAAUGGAUAAAUGGUGCUUGUUUGCCAUUGCUUAAUUGGAAAUUUAGUCUACUUGGAGAAAUUUGACCAACCUACGUGGAAUUUCAAUUGCAAAUCAACAGCUGCUUGGUGGCAACUUUUGAAGCCCCGAGUACAUAAGGUGUAAACCCUGUUAUAAUCGUAGCAUAUUUUAAGAGCAUUUUUGGGAAUUCUAAUGAAACUCGAUUUAGUAGCAGCUUAUAAAAUAUCUUUUAUAUUCAGUGUGCAUGUAAAUCAAGCGAAUGGGGAUGCCAUUGAAUUUGAUUGCAUAAAACGAACUGUCUGUUUGCAGACUAAUUUGUCAGGCGGGAUUGAACCAACACCAGCCCCUUCUAUGUUUUUGGUCCCUUCACCUUCGCCUGCAGAGAAUUUUGAUGAUGGUUCAAUGGAGGAACCCGAACGUCCUGAGAUAAAGGUAUCAAUCACUGCAAAAAUUGACAUUUCUUCUAUGAAUGUCAUUGCAUGUCGUGGUAUGCUCUAUUUAGUCAAGUUAUGCAUAUAUUUAUUUUUAACAUAAUUCCGGGACAUACAUGUGCAUUUAGUUGUUGCAUGUUGUGUUAUUUUUCAAAUUCAUGCAAAUAGGAAACUGCUUGAAAACUGUUCUUUUAAAAAGAAAUCAUGUUUUCUCUAACAGUUUCUAAUAAAAGGUUACUGACACUUCAGGGAAAUCCACCAAAAGAUCCAGCUCCUUUUCUCCAAGAGGUACAUAUCUAAUCAUGGAAGUUUUUGUUUGGCAGCUAAAUGUUAUAUUUUUCUUAAUCUCCUUACUUGUGAAGCCCAUUUCUACUGGUUUGCCUACAAUGAGUUCUGAUGUCAAUGGAGAACAUGACAUUGAUAGAAAACCUGUUCUGCCUCUAAGGCCAGAGGUUGAUGCUUUGCCUCUUUUAGUAUACACUUUAAGUUUUUAGUAUUAGGAAUCAAUAUCGUAAGAAUACUUUUCUUGGCUCGUGAAUUUAGCAGGCACCACUUUGGUCAACAGCAGCUGACGAAGAGCUUAUAUAUGCAAAGAAAGAGAUCACUAAUGCACCAUUGACAUCGGAUGACCCUGAUCUAUAUGCACCCCUGUUCCGGAAUGUGUCCAUUUUUAAAAGGUAAGGCAUCGGUUUGGCUUCUUGUCUUACUUGCAAUUCAUGUGUUUCAUAAUUCCUGACCAAGGAUGGAAGGCUCAGUUCUGUGGUAAACAACAUUCUUAUUUGUUCGUCCAUUCAUAAGGGUAACUAUUUUUUAAUUUGCUUGACAGUUGACACUAGGAUCGCUUAGUGGAAGUGGAGUUGUUCUAUUUUAUCGACUUACAUAUGUUCUUACUGGAAUACUUCGUUAAUCGCCUGCAUUUAUGAUGUACAAUUCUGUCAACCACCUGUACAUUGGAUGUUCAGCAUGUGAUCUGAAAUACCAAAUAAAGGAAGCUGCAAUGAUAACUUAAGUUCCUAAUAUGAUACAUUGUGUUUCUAACUUAUCACACUACUGUUUGUAUGUUGGGCUGCAUUGGCUGUUUCAUUUCAGUAGUUCUUAUUAAAUGUGCUCAACUCAUGCUUCCAGGAGUUAUGAACUGAUGGAGAAACUUCUCAAGGUUUUCGUAUAUCAUGAUGGAGCAAAACCUAUUUUUCAUUCCCCAGAAUUGAAAGGCAUCUAUGCAUCUGAGGGGUGGUUCAUGAAAUUGAUGGAGGCAAACCAGAAUUUUGUUGUGAGAGAUCCAAAUAGAGCCCAUUUAUUCUAUCUCCCAUAUAGCUCUCGUCAACUGGAGCAUAAUCUUUAUGUGCCUGGCUCAAAUACUAUCGAGCCCCUGUCUAUCUUCGUCAAAAAUUACAUUGACAUGAUCUCUGCCAAGUACCCAUAUUGGAAUAGGACAAAAGGAGCUGAUCAUUUCUUUGUUGCCUGCCACGACUGGGUAUGUUUUCUACACUGUAUUUUUCUUCUUCUUUAAAUGACCAUCAUAUAAAUAUGGAUUUUAAUUAAUGCCAUUUUUUACUCUUAUCUGAUCAACUUUUUUUUAGAAAAUGUUUGAUCAACUAUCCAGUAAACCAGAGAUUUACAUUUGAAACUUGAAAUCAAUUUAUGUUCCUGACAUUGUCUUUUCUCACAGGGGCCUUACACAACCAAAUUGCAUGAUGAAUUGCGGAAGAACACAAUUAAAGCUCUCUGCAAUGCAGACCUCUCUGAAGGAAUUUUUAUCCGUGGUAAAGACGUUUCCCUUCCAGAAACAUUUCUUAGAGCACCAAGAAGACCUCUAAGAGAUAUUGGGGGGAGACCAGUUGCGCAGAGAACUAUCCUUGCCUUCUUUGCAGGGCAGAUGCACGGUCGAGUUCGACCUGUACUUCUCAAGUAUUGGGGUGACAAGGAUGCAGAUAUGAGAAUAUAUAGUCGGCUGCCACACCGAAUCACUAGGAGGAGGAAUUAUGUUCAGCAUAUGAAGUCGAGCAAGUACUGUAUCUGUCCCAUGGGAUAUGAGGUAAAUAGCCCAAGGAUAGUCGAGGCAAUAUACUAUGACUGUGUUCCAGUAAUAAUUGCCGAUAACUUUGUGCUUCCAUUCGAUGAUUCACUCAACUGGAGUGCGUUCUCUGUGGUAGUACUGGAGAAGGAUGUACCUAAGCUAAAGGAGAUCCUGCUUGCAAUACCCGAGAGUCGAUACAUCACCCUGCAAUCAAAUGUGAAAAGGGUGCAGAGGCAUUUUCUGUGGCAUCCAAAUCCCAUCAAGUACGACAUUUUCCACAUGAUACUACACUCAGUUUGGUUUAGCAGGGUAAAUCAGAUGCAAAUCAAUUAGAACCUAUCCUCCACAUACCUCAAUUUCAUGUGAUGGUUGUUGGCUCUCAGCUGAUCCAUUUCUGGUGUGUGACCUUGGUCUGAAGGAAGCAGCUGAUGUGGUAUUAUUUGGAUGGUGGUUUGGUCACUGCAGCUGUUACUCACUGAAGGUGAUGAAUGGAGAUAGCAAUCUGACAAUAGAACCUGACAUAAUCUGUGGAUAAUACAGUUGCAUAUAGGAGCGGCUAAGAGUUUGUAAGUUUUGCAUUACAGGUAAUUUCCCUGAUGGAUCAGUUUGAUGUAAAAGCGUUGAGGAAAACUGGGAAGCGACGAUUGGUAACCAUGUGAAGACGUUCCUUUUCUGAAAGAUUCUAAAAUCCUUUCAUUUUUUUAACUGGGGGACGGGAUAGGAUGCUGAGAUCUGGAAACAUUGUAACUGGCGAAAAAACAGGAAGAAGGCAAGUUUGCUUUUGUGAGGAGUAAAUGUGUCGCAACUUAUCCCGACUCACCUUUUUGGGUGGAAACUGGUCCUUUUUUCCUCAUUCCCUCGUGAUCUCACGUUAUGCUGUAUCUCGUGCAGGGGCGGGCCUACAUUGUAUAAGGGUAUUCAACUGAAUACCCAUUAUUUCGGGCAAAAAAAUUAUAUAUGUAGUGUUUCUUAAGUAUAUGAAGCAAAAAAUGAACAUCACAUAGGCACCAAAUAAACUUUGAAUCUACGUAGUAGCCCACCUUCUCUCUCUCACUGAUGGCCCAAGCUACCACUCAAGCCUAUUGGUGGGCCGGUCAAAGCCGGCCUGACUUAGACCAACCCCAGAUGGGUCGAACACCCCCAACCCACCCCCCUCCCCCCUCCGUGCCGGUUGCCCAUGUCUCUAUAGGUCUACUCGCUCCCGAUUCCCCAGCCGCAACUAUAGCUGGCGCGCCUAUGACGGCCGCAACGAGGGCGCGAGGUGGCAACUAAGGCAGCGUGUGGCGAGGCACCGAGUAGGCCAGCAGCGAGGUGCGCGAGUUGCGGCCAGCACGAGGAUGGCAAGGGUGCGAGCUCUGACCGAGCCUGCCUUUUACAAUCAAAGUUAGCUUAGGAAUGUUAAGUUCGUCCAUAUUUUGUAAAAGAUAUUAUUGCAAUUUACACAAUUUCUAUAUAUUGAACAUUUCAAGCGUAUAAUUUAUAUUGUCGGUACUCAAUUAUAUUGUAUUAAUAUGUAAUUAGCCUGUUAAAAAGUUAUACACCCUUUCAAAUUUUAAAUACCCACCUUUCAAAUUCUGAGCCCGCCCCUGAUCUCGUGUCUGCCGUUCAGCGCCUGGGUGUUCCCUACCCCACUCUGAAGUCCGAAGAUCUCUACGGUACACUGGAACUAGACCAGGAAAAUAUGUUGGGACCGGGGCGAUAGUUUUUAUAUAUAAAUAAAAAAAAUCUUACUACCAAAGCAACAAUCCGUUGUAGUCUAGCUGGUUAGGAUACUCGGCUCUCACCCGAGAGACCCGGGUUCGAGUCCCGGCAACGGAAUCUUUUUCCAUGCUCGGUUUUGCUAAUUAUUUCUUUGACCCACUGACGAAGUGCACCAUUGAGCGGGGUAACGGGUAACGACCCUAUGUCUAUUUUUCAUCCUUUCCGGAACUCAACAUCAAAACCUAGGACAGCGCCAUGCCCACAAUAAAAGAAUGAAAACGUACAGAUUGAUGGGUCAUCCAUCAUUUUCAUAAGCAAGUCAUAUCAUAACAUAGGCCGUUUUAUUAUCUUAUUAGCAGAAUGGGUUUGUUUAUUUUGGUUUCCUUCCCUAGCUCAAUGAAAGCAACGGAGGAAAAAAGAACAACUCACAAAACUGUCACGCUCUUACAGUGCUCUUACAAAAAUACACAUCUAUACUGCGUCAUUUGGGAGCAUAACAUGGUAUUCUAUCAUAUCAAGACUCUUCCGUUAGUUCCGACCAACGAGGCCAGCUUUCCUCACUCUCUGAAUGGAGCCAGGCAGAUCAGCUCCUGCCAAGUAGGAGCGGAGAAGAGGAAGCAGGCAUGUCAGGGAAGCUCGGAGGCUGACAGGAAAAAGCCGCAGGUGACCUGUUCAAUCGCUUGAAACUAAGGGUGCCCUCUGUGUUCAACUGUUGAUGCAAUUUGCAUGUGAGAAUCAGCACAUUUCGGCAGUCUCGUUACUCAGGAAGAUUAAGCCGGUCGAAGAGAACCAGAAAACUCUGCUCGGGUACGCUGUACAGGAAACCAAGCUCGGCACCUCCAAGGUGUGGGAUUGUACUCUGCAAAAUAUGCAUUGCAUGUCAAGGGCAACAUACAACAACACGAAAUUCUGAAGGAAAUAGGUAAAUUGUAUAAACAGUUCCAAAUCGUCUGGCGGGAUGUUGUUCUCUAGCUAUGUAAACACCUUCAUGCAAUUUUUCUAAUUUGCAAAAAAAAAAUACUGAACACCGAAGUGUUUGGAUAGGCAGCUGUCUUUUGGUCUGUGCGGGCAAGGUUAGGGUUAGGAUGAGAUUUUCCUUGCUGCCACGUGUCACAAGCGCGUGGAUACAGCUCACCCAGGCUGGCAUGGUUAGCUUUGCCCACGUGAGUGAGGUGAGCUAACCUGGGAAUUACGUCUCCUGGUAACAUAUUGGUGUUUCAAAAGAUUGUGUCCUGUCUAUAUAACUCCACAUUCUAUAAGUUCCCAAAAAGACAACACAAGUGAUUUCACCAUAAACCAAACUGUAAGUUAUGGCAUGUCAGGUUCGAUAUUAUGCCUGCAGUUACUACUUAAUACCAAUUUCAGGAGCACUGCACAAGCAAAUGAAAAGGAACCACUGUUGAUAUUUCAUUUUACCUUGCCAUUGAGCACCAAUAGCUCACCAUCCACCCAUCGAGGAUUUUUGAAUCCAGGUUGUGCUAUUCUACCCUGACCUUUAUAACUGGCAAUCUGCAAAGAAAAAGAAAAAGAAAAGAAUGAAACUUCAUUCUAGAAUGAGAAAGUUGCAUGUGACAUACAGCUCAAGACUUGAGAGCACUAAGAUAUUCCUCAGAACAGAACUUGUGAAUCUAACUAAAGCAAGUGACUUUCAAUUGUCACAAUAUACCAAACUAGCGUCUGAGUUAAAACAUAUAGUAAACACUCAGAUAUGCAGACAGAACUUACCACACCAAAUUCCUCUGGGUAUGCGCCACGAUUCUCAAGACGCUUUCCCUUCCCAAUCUUAGCACGGAAUGUUAUCUGUUACAAACUAUGAUCAGUAAAGGGACCAUGGGAGCCUGAUUAACAAUCUUUUUUUAAAAAAAGAGAAUGCAAACCUGGCCAGCAGGGACACUCAGAUCACCAGUCAACUUUACUGCUUCAACGUACUCGAAAAACUCAACAUCAUCGGUACUGUUCCAGUGGCCGAACUUCCGACGGAGCUGCACAAUUUCUGGCCCAUAUGGACUAAAUGCUCCCACAUAGAGACCUACAUGAAGCCCGGAAUGAGAAAACCACUGUAUCAGACUAUACAAGAAUAGGUCAUCAGUUUAGCUGAGAAAACUUUACCACUAAAUGGAUCUGUGCUGUUAGUGUCCGUAAUGAUCCGAUUAAAAAUGGUAUUCUCGGUCAGCUUGACUCGGGCCUUGCUUAAUGUAAGCCUUAAAAGCUCCUGAACUUCUUUAUUUAUCUGUAGUUAUCAUGCCAUUUGUCAGUUAACUUGCUUGCAAGAAUAGAAACGUGAUUUGAAAAACUGGUGGCAAAAGACAGUUACCAUAACAGAAAAGCACCAGACUAUCCUAAAUCAAGAAAUUCUCAGAAUAUAGCAUCUGAUAGCACCAACAGUCUAAGGAGGAAAUAAUAAGAUGUAGAACGUUAAUUGGUGCAAGUAGCAAUUACUAGUUCUUUUUGGGUAAGAAACAAAAUCUAGAGACCAAGAGAUGUUGGAAACAGCUUGCAGCCAGUUCCCCCAAGCUUUCUGUAACUUUAUAUACAGGGCAAGCAAUCAUGCUUGCUUAUACUGGAAGGCAUGCAAGGCUACUGAUGUAGUAGUAACAUCCUAAACUAGGACAGUAACUAGGGACAAAGACCUCUAGAAUGACAUGAAAGUCCUUAAUGCUUAGAAACUUUCAGAAUUUCUGUACAUGGAUCAUAAGAGUUUAACCAAACUGUGAACAAACAUUGAUGUACUUGAGUAUAUCUCAUAUUCAUAAUAUUCAAAGUCGCGACAUAUAUAACUAAGCCAAUGUCUUUAACUCAUUCCUACCUUUGAAGAGCUCUUGGUUGUGCCCCAUAAUGCCUUUGCGACAUCAGAUGGCAUAAGCUCUGAUGCUAAUUUGGCUGCCAUAUCGGCAACUUUCUGUUUUGCAGCCUUUGUUUCAGCCAGAUCUCGGUCAGAACCUUUUCCAGGUAUGUAAAGCUCAAAGGAGUCCUUUUCCAUGUUAUUUAUUUCAGCUGGAACUCGAACAUAUGAUUUUGCUCCAGCAUCUUCUUUGUUGUGAACCACUCCACUGAUGAAAAGCUUCACCUCCGUACUUUUACUUUCUUCAUCCAUAUCUUCUUCUGAAACAUCUUCCUCCUGCUCGAGUUCCUCAGCGGUAGUCUCUUCCAAAGAGUUUUCUGAUGUGCUCUUCACAUCAUCUUGCACUAAUUCUUCCGAUGAAUUUGCAGCCAAUUCAGUUUCCUCAGACACAUCUAUAUUUAUUACUUGAACUUUGAAUUCAGGAAUCCGAGACUUGAAAAAAUUCAAAACACUUUUUAAUCCUUCAACACUACUAUCCUUGUUGCUACCAACAUCUUGUUCUUUCUCCUCAACAUCCUCACUUCCUUUUACCGUAGUAUCUGUACUUGCUUCCUCUGUAACGCUAUCAGACAUAGCACUACUUUCUGAUGAACUUUCAUUCUCCACCUUAGCUGGACCUUCUGUAGCUAUCGCUGAUAUGGAUGAUGCACUUGAAGUUCCUUUUGUUGGUCGCAAGUGUACCACCUGUCUAAUUUUUCGUAAAGACAAAUAUCAAAACUGUGCAUAACAGAGAGUUUCUUCUGAUUUCUUGACAAAUGCAUAAAUAUUACAGUACGGAUGAAUAUCACUUUGAUCACCGCACCUUCAUAGUAUAUGUCUCAUCAUUUUCUCUGACAAGAAAAAUUUCAAAUAAUGGAGUCCCUGAAGAUGCAGUCACCAAUUGCCUUCAGAAAAGGAGUAUUUGGUAAGUUGGAACUCUUGCCUGAUUUUAACUUAUAAUAUUGAGCUAUGAACUGAGAGAAACCACCUUGGGCUGUAGCUCUUAGCCACAUAUCUCCCAACACCAGGGCUUAUUCGCACAAUUCUCCCAAUGGAGUCAUCAGUGUCCUUAGCAUAUCCCACCCACCAACCUACCUGAAACAAAAAUGGUUAGAAUCCAUCCCAACCACAAUUCUUGUGGGGUCACAUCAAAAGUGCCUUUCUUAAUGAUACAUAUGGUUUUGGCUAAUCUUGGUUCAUCCAUGGUGAUACCGCUCCGUUAAAGCAACCUAAGGCCGCAGGACAUUAUCUUGGUCUUGCUUACCAAUUUUAUAAGGAGAUUGGCGUUUUGCCAUAUAAAUGGUUUUGUUUAGCAAGGGAGAUCAGGAGGCGCUAAACCUGACUCUAGAAAGCUAUGUUGCUGAAUAUAACUGGCAAUCGAAAGGCACCAGAAAUGGCAAUAUGUGAUAAGGGACUUAGUAAUUACCAAGCUGGUUCCAGCAAGCCUUGACAACCUUGAUGCAUCCUGAUACCGCUGUUCCUCUAUAGCAUUCUGCAAGAGUCAGGAAGAGCGAGAGCAAUACAAGAGAACAAAUAUAAUAGUUAGACCAAUCAAAUCUAAAUCUGCGGGAAAUGAAACUAGAACAUAAGGGCUGACACAUCUCAGUCCAAAAUCGGUGAUGAAACAGGAUGGCCGUCAUAUCACAGCAGUGACGGACCUUGAGCUCGGCCAUAACGUGGGCAACGGUGUCGCUGCCGGUGGCCUCGAGGAUGGUCCGCUUGAGCUUGGCGGCCUCGGCGAAGUCCUCGUUCUCCACCGCCUCCUCCAGCUGGAACUGCGCGGCCGGGGCAGGAGCGUAUCAUCAGAUUGGUUCGAUUAGCGGCUCGAGGGUGAUGAAUUGGCGAUUACCUGUAGGAGGGACGCGUAGCUCUCCGCCUGCUCGACCUCGUCGAAGUGGCGGCUCCAUCGGGUCCAGUCCCAGGUGGAGGGCGACGACGCCGAGGCCGCGGUGCAGAAGCAGCAGCCGGCGGCGCGGCGGGCGGGGGCGGGGGCGGCGGACGGCGGACGCGCGGCGGAGGGCGGCGAGCGGCGGGCCGGGACGGUGUUGAGGGGCGGGCGCGCCGCCGCCGGCGUGGCGCACGCGGUGGCCGCGGGGGACAUGGCGAUGGGUGGGUGGGGCACAGCGGGCAGAGAGCUGGCUGGCACGCGAUUCAGAUAAGGAGGUCGGGCCUGAGUUGAUUGGAAAGUGGCGAGCGAGCUAGCCAGGAGCGGGGGCCCACCAGCAUUGUUGGCAUGUCGUUGCUUCUCGCGUGCUCCCUCUCCCACUGCUAAAUGGGCCGCCGCCGCCGCUGUUGUUUUCUUUUCGUGGUGUUAGGUUCUAGUUCCGGAAUACUAAAAUUUAGUACUUAAUAUCUAAGAGAAUCUUAGUAUUUUGAAAUAUUAAAUAAAAUAUAUUUAUAAAUUUCUUUUACAACUGGAUGCUAAUUCGCAAGAUGAAUUUAAUAAAUCUAAUAAAUAAAGUAUUAGUGAUGCUACAGUAACUAUCUGUUAAUUAUGGAUUAACAUAUCUCAUUAGAUUCGUCUCGCGAAUUAGUCUGGGAGUCCUGCAGUUAGUUUAUAAUUAGAUUUUAUUUAAUAGUUUUAAAUGAUAAAGAAAAAUUAUAGUUCUUUGGAACCAAACACAUUCUUGCUUUUUUCCGUUAUAGUUACUUUAUAGAUAGCUGCAAUUGUUGUCCACAAAAUUUAUGGAAAAUUCAAAAUUCAAGCGCUUCGGAAGGGCCAUUUAUUCGAGGCUGGGAUCAGUGUGAACACGAGUCAGUUUUCCUCUUUUUUAAAAAACAAUAUUCUAAUAUGUCAAUAAUCCUUUUGAAAUUAAUUGUUUCCCAGCGACUUUGCCAUUGCCAAUGAAUAGUACAUGUAGCAUAACAAACUUCACCUACCCACUAAUUAUCGACUUGCUAUUACAAAAUCAUCACUCCUUGGUAGCCACGGCAUGAAACAACAAUGAUGCAUUUGUUCUCACUUUUCUCCACCAAUAGAUUGAUCAGCUCGGGACAAAAUGCCGUAGAUUUCACGUUUCCAUCAAAAAAGCGAGAGGAUCAAGCUCCAAGUGUCUACUCCUAGAAGAUAAAAGAAAAAAAACUUAGAUAGUUAUAUCCCAUGCUUAAUUUGUAGCGGACAUCUUAUUAUUAUGCUACAUUUUUCCAACACAUCCUCGCCUGUGGCAAACACAUAAAACAGUAUUAUUAGUCGCCCUGUGCGCGACAUUUAGUUUACUAACUUUAUUUUUAGAUACUUUCUAGUUACAGUGGGUAACGUUGAGCAAGAUUUGAUCAAUUUGAUAACUUGAACUGUCCUUUGAAUGGAACAACGAUGGAUCAAUCAAAGUAGGAAACAUCUUUUGGUUUAAGCACUUUAAGAGCUCCGUUUAUGUACUUCCUAUGAAGCCUGGCGGUACGGUAGCAACCUAUUGCUGGCUGAAUAUGAGCAACGAAAUGAUCGGAAAUUAUUGUCAAAUCUAGUAGUAAAUGAAAUGCCUGUACAGUACGAUCAAUACUAGAAAAAUGGUAAUGCAAAUACUUCCUCCGUCCUGAAAUAUAAUAUAAGAUAUUGAAUGGUUAAGAAUCUGUAGCUAAAUAUAAGGCAUCCUAGAUGCUUUGAUUACUAAUUAUUUAUGAAAUUAGCAAAAUAAAAAUCAAACAAGUCAUUAAAUAGGAAUACAUGCAAUAUUUCCUUAUCUCUUACUAAUCUGUCAUGGAAAUGCUUAGACGCCCUACAUGACAGAGGGAGUGAGUAUAUGGCUAAACGAUAGGUCUCAGAGCAUCUCCAACAGAUUACCAAAACGUCUCACCCUAAAUUUCUUUUUCUUCCAUUUCUCUUCCUCUUAUGAAUAUACACUCUCUUUUAUCUAUACUUUCUCAUCUCAAUAGUUCAAACUUUUUUAAUGGAUCACAUAUAACUAGACAAAUAUGUCAAAUUCAUAAUUUUGAAAUUCAAAUUUUGAAUUCAAAUCACAUUGCCUUGCCCAUCAGUGACAAUGGAAUUGAGCAAAACAAGCUGAAAUAGGAGACAAACAUAAGCUGAAAUUGCCCACCAACAUCAUCCUAGGACUCACCGAAAAGAAAUAUAAUUUUGGUAAUGGGAUAAGAGUAUCUCCAACAAUUACUCAUCCCUCUCUCCAGUAAAAAAAUUGAUGCUUUCGUGAUUGGAGGUGCUCCAGCAGAUUACCAAUCAAAUCCUCAAUACCUAAAAGUUUUUGGCAAUCAUCAAAACACACCUUCCUCCACUCUAAGUGGAUUUAUCCCUCUACCAUAUUCUCGGUGAUUAGAUUUUGGUAGUCUACUGCAGCAACCAUUACUAAUAAGAUAAAUAGUUAUUGGUAAUAGAGAGAGAGUAUAUUUUGGGUGCGAGGUAUGAGUAAAACUGUAAUAGAUGCUCUAAGAUUUAAUAUGUUGGAGCAACUUCUAACAUCAGAAAUUAGUUUUUUAGUAUUGGGAAUGGAAAUAAGUAAUUUGUUGGUGAUGGUCUUAAGAACUUCAGGAUGAUAAAAUAAGAGAUGGUCGUCAUGACUGAAACACUGUAAUUCGCGAGAAAGGUUGCACUUGCGUUUGCGUGAGAACGGAAUUUUGUGAGAAGCACUGCCCAACAGGUGACCUCGGGGGCGACGGACGGAAGAGGAAGACGACCGAAGCACGGCGAGGUGGUGGUAGACUAGCAGCAAGUCUAGUCGCGCGACGACGACCAUCAUUCCCCUGUCAUCCACCCCCACACGGCCACGGGCGCAUCGAGCGAGAGCUACGCAUCGAUCGAAUUCGUUCGUCAUCAUGAAUCCAUGGCGGUCACGUCAUCACCUCCGCCGUGCCCGCGCCUACCUACCCACCAGCUCGCGCCCCUCCCCGUCCCCCUCCCCCUCCCCGUCCUUUUCACCAAUUCCCUUCCUCCGCGCGGCACCCGUGACCCCAGCCCGCGGCCGCCCCUCACCGGCGGCUGACCGAUUCCAAUUUCCACAUUUCGUUUCGAAAAACUAAUCACGCCGAUUCCGCGCUUGGAAUCCGUCCCGCCCCUCACGCGGCGGCACCGCGCCCCUCGCCCCGCGGGUCACGUCGCGUCGCGUCGAGUCCACCACCGCCACCACCGCGGGGCUCGGCUCCUUCCGCGCAAUUCCACCGGCGAAACUAGAGUGGAGCGCCGACUCGACAAGAGUCCCCCCGGUCACGGCCGCGACGCAUCCCCGAACCCUGCGGUGCGCCGAGCUCACACGUCUCGCCCAAGCCCAAGACCGGCAGCCAAUGGACCGCCUCGCCGACGGCCUCGCCGCGGCAUCCAUCUCCGACCCCGCGGACCAGGGCGCCGCGGCUGCCGGAGGCGGGCCCAGCGCCGAUUACCUCCUCAGCGUCAUGCGCGCCGUCGAGGGCGCCGACGCCACCAUCCGCAGCCAGGUAACCCGCUUCGUACCAUCCCCGACUUCGCUUCCCUGCGUGCACGUCCCUUCGAACUCCGUCGCGUCUCCCCUAGCCCGCGGCUGUUUCAGUUUGUUUUAUUGUCGCAGCAGCUUUGCGCGAAAUGGUGAUGAUUGCUGAGGGAUAAUAUGUACCGGCUGGUUUUGAAUUUUUGUGAAUUUUUAUUCCAUUUCAGAUGGAAGAGAAUAACCGCCUUAAGGAGGAGCUGUUGCGAAAAACACAACAGCUACAGAGGAUCGUAAGUCUAUUUCUGUUUCAUGCGGGAUUUUAGUCUUACCAGAGGCAUAUUGUUCUUCACGCGAUGAUCUCGUUCUACUGUUUCCAUCGUAUAAAAAUUUAAGCAUGUCAUGUACCUGCACUGCUACCUACGUGUUUUUGUUGAGAUUUAUGCUCUAGCAGCUCUACUGAAAAUUGUUACUGAAGCUUAGGGUGAAUUCUGUCAAGUUCCAGCAGAGCAAAAUCUCAACUGGAUCUGUGGUUUAUCAUGCAUCUUGAAACGCCUUCCCCCUG
rnacentral:lncRNA from 1 species